rnacentral:lncRNA from 1 species
GGACCUCACAGGUACUAUGGAUGAAAGUGAAACAGCCAUCUUCAAUCACUUGAAAGAAAAGCUAUGUGCUUUGAAAAAAAGUCUCUAACUUUUUCUCACAAUUGAAAGUGAAUACUGAAUUGAAUAAACCAAACUCUUUUAAGUCAUAUAUAUAUAUAAGUUAUAACAUCAAAUGACAAGGAUUACAUGUAUGGUCUUUUUCAUGCCAACCCAGUACGGCCUGCAUGUGAUUGUAAUCUGGGUCACCCUGCAAUUUGAAGAUCCUGUAUCAAAUUUGGCCAACAACUACAAAUUCUAUAUCUUUUUUUACGAACAACAUGUACAGGCCGUGAGAGCCGUAUGCCUCCUUGCCUCCCCCAAUCAUUUAGCAGUACCAUUCUCUCAAUCACAAUUCAAUCAUAUCCCUUUUGAAUUGUUUUAUGGACAUGAAAGGCUGGCAGUGCUUGGUGGUCUUUUAAGAAAACCAAAAAGAAGGUAUCAAUGGGUUAAAAUCAAGCCAAAAGAACAAAACUUAGACAAGAUUUAGCCUAAAUCUAUAGACCUCAAAUACAAGAAUCUAGCCAGGCUUUGCUAGUCAAAUUAACUAGGUACGUCUAACCAAAAUGGUCUGGUUCAUCCAAUCAAGUAACCACUCGAUUUCCGUAUCAUUUUGUGUACCAUACAAUUAGCACUAAGGUGGCUUGUUUAUUCGCAGACAAUGAGACAAUUUGACCCUCUUUUUAAUUACUUUUUAUUCCCAAAAACCAAGCAUUAUAGUUAAACAUUUUUGGGUUAAGAGGGGCGGCAGGUUGUUGGCAGUACUGUCACAAAACAGCCUGAACCUCAGGAGUCAGAAAUGCCCACAUUUUGUAAUUUGUGUCACAUGCACUUUGCAUAACCAUGUUGGAAGGACGCAAACCUAGCAACCUUAAAUCACAGACAGAGUAAUGCUACACUCUUUUUUCAUUAGGAGACCGCUAAUUGAUGCAUUUUUAAGGGCACCCUUUUCUGCCUUUGCCUAAUUGUGUUCACCGAUCAAUAAACAAUCUAAUUUGAUUUUUUUUUUUUCUUUUUGGGUUUUAGAUUUUCAUUGUAAUUGAACAAAACUGGAGAGAGAAAUGCCCAUGCCCAUGUCCACCUGUGGUCAAAACUUAAAUGGGGGAUAUAUUAGAAAAUAAAAAAUAUGUGAUAUCCCCAUGCAAUGGUACAUACAAAUAUGAGAAUUUGGGUCUUAUUCUAUUCCUUUCCAUAAAAUUCAAAAAAGCCACAAUUACAAGGAAUAGAUAUAAAUACCUUUUGACCACUUUAACAAAAAUCUGUGUGUGGAUAACAGCAGACAGUACAGCUCCCCAGAGUAGUAGGCUAGUAGCAGAUCAACAAUCAAUAGCAGAUAAUGACUGAUGCCAAUCAGGGGGAGAAGUUUUGCUGCGACCAUGGUGAUUUAGUUGGAGGAUUAUUUGCACAUAGGAUAACUUUUGUCUGGAUGGUGAAUACAAAAUGGGGAAAUUGAGUUCUUAAGGUUAUUAAUGCCGGUCGACAAUCUGGCUCUGCUAUAUGCUCAAGCUGGUCCUGUAAAUUGCAAUUUGUUGCAGCAUCAUGGAAUUAUAGAUCUUAGGGAUAACGGCUAGAUGUAUGAACCUUCCCCAUGGCUUCACAUCCAGGACGGGCCUUCCACUUGAGGGAUUUUGUUAUCAUUGUCGUUCACCAUAAGAGUUGUUUGUCCUGGUGCAGAUAGAUUGCAGGUGUGCUAAUAUGUUACAUUCAGCUUUCUUGCUUCACCAAGGAUGAGUCUUGAAAACUUAAACCUACAACAGCCCCGUAACAAACCUGGUGGCCCAAAAUAACAAGAAGUGUUUCGAUUUAGUCAGGAUAUUGUAUGAUGAAAGAUAUACGUAAUGGCCUUACAUGCAUAAUAAUAGAAAAAGAAAAACCACAAUUCACAUUUCGAGCCUUAAUAGAGCACAACUAGUGAAACCCACAUAAUCAUAUUAUAUGGACAUCAACUACAUAUAAGCAUUGAUGUGAAAAAGGUUCUGCUCUUUCAACAUUCACUCUUGAAGGGAUCAAGACAAGAGGGUUCAAAAUCGUGAUUACAGUUGUGUCAAUCCAAGAUAUGACAACUAGGCAUUUGGAAGAUGACAAACUUACAAUUUCAAAUUUAACAACCUAACAGCUCCAAUAAUCUAAAACUAGGUAACCAGAAAGCAUACAAAUCCAAGCAGCAUUAACUUUAGCAUAUCUCAGAAACAAAACAUAGGAUUCACCUCAGUACCUUUAAACUCGUGUAAUAUCUCUCUUCAAGUAAACAAUAAACUAAACAAACACAACCGGGUUAAUGUCAUUUGCUUAACCUUGAGUGUUACAGUUUCACUUUCACUGAGAUUACCAAGUUUAGUCGUUACUGAAAACAAAACAACAGCACAGUCCAACCUUUGUAAGUUUCAUAAAUUUAGAAAAACCAGAGGCCACUGUUGCCAAUAUGGGAAUUGAUAAACAUCACUGUGGCAUCUUGAGUUACAAGGAUAUAAUCAAUCACAGAACAUUUGAAAACACUACUGGAAUCCAUGGACAAAAUAUGGUUGUUAUAGAAAAUAGAGAAAAUACCAGUUAGGUAGCAAGGCCAUGUUCCCUUGCUUUCUUAAGCCACUUCAGUGUACCCUCCAAAGUUGUAUAAGCAGCAACAUCAGUUACACUCUUACUCUCAACUGCAUAAUCAAACACUUCAUAAGCAUCUGCCACCCUCCCCUCCCUACAAAGUGCCCUCACAAGUGUAGCAUAAGAAGCUGUAUCAAGCUUCAUCCCACAUUCUUUCAUCACCCCAUACAAGUCUAGCCCUUUCUCUAACAAUUUUGCUUUACACAAUCCAUGAAGCAAUGUAUUAUACGUGCAAACAUUCGGUUCACACCCCUUUUCUUGCAUCUCCUCCAACAACCCUAAUGCACCCAAGACAUCCCCUUUCCGACACAAUCCAUUCAUCAAUGAAGUGUAUGUCACCGCAUCCGGGAAAUGACCCAUCUCAACCAUGACACCCAAAUACUUCUUAGCCUCAACAACUCGCCCACAUUUCGAUAACCCAAAAAUCAAAGUAUUGUACGUUACAAGAUCAGGCUCCACACCAUUCUCCUUCAUUUUCUUCAAAACCUCAAGUGCCUCAUUGCCCAAAUUCAACGUACAACAACCUUUCAUAAUUGUAUUGUAAAUAUAGCAAUCAGGCCUAAUUCCCUCCUUUGCCAACACAUCCACUAGCCUAGUAGCCUCACGUAAAUUCUCUCUAUUAGUCACAUUGUCAAUCAAAAUUGUAUAAGUGAUAAUAUCAGGCUUCAAACCGAAAGACGUUUUAAAUUCUUCAAUAAAAUCAUAAACAGUACUCACAGCACUUGACUUGCAGAGACACUUAACAAGAAAAUUGUAGGUAUAAGAAUCCGGUGCUGCGUUUUUAAGCGACAUUUCUUUGAUCAAUUCCACGGCAAGGCCAACAUUAUUAGACGAACAGAGUGACCGGACUGCGAUAUCCGUGGUGACCUUAUUGGGACUGAAGCCAUUGGUGAGCAUAAAGUUGAGGACUUGGUGUACGGGUUUGAGGGUCUGAUCAGGUGCUUUGCAGGACUGGGAAAGCAAAACGUGGUAGGUCGAUCGGUCGGGAGAGAAAGUAGGGUGGGUUUUGAUCAUGUGGUUGAAGAGAGAGAUGGAGUCAUUGAGGGUGGAGAUUGAGGCAUAGGAUUGGAGGAGGGCGUUGUGGACGCGAAGGUCAAGUGGGACUUUUGUGGUGGUGACGAUGGAGUUGAAGACCUUCUUCGCGUCUGAGAGGUUGGCGGAGGUGAAGGGGUUUCUGAAGGUUGGUUCUCUGGUUUUCUCGGAAAGUUGGGGUGGGAUUUUCUUGGUGGUUUUUUUGGGAAAGUGAUGGGGUCUGUGAGAUGGGGACUCGUUUGGGACUAAAGAAGAUGGCUUUUUAAUAAGUGAGGUUGAAACUGAUGAUCGAAGUGAUGGUGGGAUUUUCCCCAUUUCUUCUUCUUCUUCUUCUUCUUCUUCUUCUUCUUUGGUGGGUGGAAGCUCUGUGCUGGUGAAGGUGUUAGGGUUUUGCAGGGGUUUGAGAUUUGGGGAUUGCGGGUGCUGUGAUGGGUCAUGGGGAGGUUACUCCUUUAGGUUCGUUAUUGACAUUGUUAGCGCUAAAGCCCGGUUUUUUGUAAUGGCCCAAAAUGAAAAGCCUGGAUGUUGAUGAAAAACGACAUAUCGUAAAUUGCAAAAGAUUAUGACCUUAAUAAAUUUAGAGAGCAAGUGGAGUAAGUAACAAAUUGAAUGAAAUUACCAUAUGCCUUUAAUUUUAAAGUAAGUUAUUACAAUUGUCCUUUAGUAUAUUAACCAGAGUUUAUUUAGAGGAUGUUCUAUGUUUAAAUUUCAUGGCAAUCGAAUCAAACAAAGAACGAUGUUUUGAUAUUUUUUAUAUAAUAAUUGACAAGUAAGUAGUAUAAGGUUAACUGAUAACUGGAAUGUUUAAAAUUAUUUACAAGCUCAUUCGGUGUUUGCUGCUCUCAAAUUUUUUAUUUUUUAUUUUUGGUAAUAUCACUUGUAUUUAAAGAAAAUUAGUGCAAAUGGUAAGUAACAAGCUUUUAUUUAUGAAAUAGAAACGAGACAUUUCCUAUUACAUAGGAUGAUUAUUGUAUUAUUUGGUAGACCGUACAUAAGAUUAUUUUAGCCUUUUGUAUUUUUCAGGCAAAAGGCCUUUGGUUAUAACAAUCCAAGUUGUCCCCUGGGCUCACUCCCAAAAUCUCAGAAUACCUUUUGUAGAACCCAAUCCUAUCAGCCACCCUAGCAUCUUGGCCACGCCCACAUUCAAGCCCACCGUUGAUUAUAUUGGUGAUCACUCCAUACCCGGGGACCCGACCCGCCGACUUGUCUGCAGCAGAAGGGCUCCACCUGCCAGUGAUGACGUCAUGGCUCGAUGGCUUGUUUCCCUGUGGGGUCAUCCAGAACCACAUAGCUGUCCUGAAUGAUACAACCGGGUCAGUGGCCACUAGAUCCGGAUUGGCUAUCAGAUCCUUUCCGAUUGCAUUACCCGCUGGACCAUAGUUGUAGUUGCUAGAAGAAAAGUCAACAAAGUAAACAGUUCAGUCAAAGUCAACAAGUCAAUGGACCGGAACUUGUUAUGUGAAGAGAUAAGAGAGAGACUUACUGCGUGAGUUGGAUGGGUCCUCUGCCGUAAUAUUUCUUGCCGGCAGCGCAUGGGUAUUGGGCGGAUGGUGUACAAUAUACGUCUUGGUUAUUUUCAUUGAUAAAACAAUAUCCCCAUGCAUAUGGUCCAUCUGGUGCAGUUGCCCAUCCUCCUGCAUAAUCAAAAUGAAUAAAAAUUUUACAAUUAAAUUAGUGUUGGUCCUCUUUUAAAGAUAAGAAAACCGGUUUAAAUUGACCAAAAAUGUAGUCCCCCAAUCUAAAAAUCCUAGCUCCACCUCCGUGCCUAACUAAGAGGUAAUCCGCAAUAUAAUCCAUAAGUCAAAAUGAUCAUUAAACAAGUUUUAUACCAAACAAACAAUCAUGACCAAUGUUAGAUUACUGACCAGUAGUCUCAUGAGAGGUUUGAGCCAAGAAAGCAGCAAGCUCCUUCUUCCUUACAUUAACAUCCCCAGUUGUGCCAAACCCAUUAAAAGUCCGAGCAGCAGCAACGAAAGCAUCAUACUUGUAGAACCCAUUACUUUUGCAUCUCGCGUCAUUUCGAUACUUAAGCAUCUGGUCAAAAACAGCUGAGCUAACGACGCUGCUGACAUCACCACCACCGCCACCACUUGGGUUUGGGGUUGGGGUUGCGGUCGAGGUACAUUGGCUCUGGCAACCAGUGGCGCAAUAAUCAGCUGUGGUGCCGCACCACCCAUGUUGGCUGCAGCACAGCCCAUUGGGGCACACUGCAUUUCCAGCUUGCCUCCCACAUUGCUCUGCUGAGAUCCCUAACAGCAAAGCUAGGGAUAAAAUGAUAAGACUCUGUAACUUCAUUUUCCUUUUCUGAAAGUGUUUGAUGUCUUUUUGAUCUGUGGAUUGGGUUUCGUGGGGAUGUGUAUAUAUAGCUUAGCGAGGAGCGUUUUUGUUUGACUAUUCCUUUCUCAAAUGGAAAAUGCUAGGGAGAACAAUUUUAGAUACCAACUUGUGUGUCAACUCUCUAAUAGAGUGUGGGACCCAUUGUAUUGGUGGGCUUCACCUCUAUUAGAGAGUUGGUAUCUAAAGUUGGUCUCCCUAGCAUGACCCUUCUCAAAUUGGCAAAGUACCCACCCCAUUAAUUGUAUUUGCUUUUUUCUUCUAAGUUUGUUUAGUUGUGGAAAUUGCACAAGAGGGUUAUUUUUAGUGACGGUGUAUUUGGACAGGCUGCUGGAAAAUAUCUGAAAAGUUUGCGUACGGAUUGAAUAGCUCGCCUCAGAACACGUCAGUCGAUUGAAAUCUCAAAAUUGAAGGAUAAGGGCAGGAAUAGUGCAGACCUAGAACUAGAGACUUAGUCGUGCUUUGAAUAUCUCUUCUUUUAACCAAGUCUAUAGAAAUCAAGGUGAAUGUGACUGAUCAAAGUUACCCCAGUAGUAUAAUUUUCUUACUAUUUCUUACUUCUUUGUUUUAUUCUUGUCAUAGAUUCUUAUCUUUCGCUCACACAGAACUCUCUAUGUAUUUGAAACUUUUUAUUUUGUCUAUGUAAAAAUAUGUCUGCCUACAGGAAAAGGAAAAUAUCAGAGGAUAUAUCAGUUUACGUGGGGUAACGGGAACUGUUUGAAAUCACAAGCUUGCAAAAGGGAUUUCUUUAUCAAUAAGAGGAAAAAGACUUCUAGUAAAUAGAGAUAUCACUAUUUUGCUAUUAUCGGUCAAUAACGUUAUAAUUCAUGUGAUAACAUUUAUAUGUGGUAGAGCAUUAUUAACCGGAAAUAGCAAAAUAGUAUUAUCCCUAUUGUAACUAAGUUUUUCUCCGAUAAGAGUUGCCUGAUCAUUAUGCCUUACUCCAAGUGGAGAUAAGAUUAUUUUUUAUUUGUGAAAAAAAAUAUAGCAUUAUAUUGAUUAGCGAUAAGUGUUGGAAAUAUUGGUUUAACCAAUAACUUUUCGUUUACCUAACAAAAACCAAUACAUUUUCAGUCACGAGCGGCUAGCCGAUCAUUUAGGUGAGAAAUUGAAUGCCAACUUUGCCAAGUACCGUUUUUGUUUGAAGAGAAAAGCAUACAUGGUAACAUGGGUGAAUAUUCUUCCUUGGUCUCCCCACAAACAAGAAGGAAAUGAAAUUGUUAAAAGGACUAUAUGUUAACUCUUGGGCUUCGGCCCCGGUCGCAUUAUUUUGGGCUGAAAUUUUAUAUGUUGUUUUUUUAUUAUGACUUUUCAAUUUCAAUGGCCUCUUUCAUAGAAUAUUGCAACCGCCACACCUUUGAAAAUUGGCCGACCAUUAGCACAAUGUAUGGUCAUGGUUCUAAUAACGGUGAAAUAUAUAUAUAUAUAUAUAUAAAGUAAAAGGCAAAGAAUGGUGAAACAUUUAAAAUAUCAAAAAAUGCUCUUUGUUAAUUCAAACAUUAAGAAUUAAAAUUAUUAAUUAAAAGAGGAUAAUAUGGUAAAUUCAUAUUUUUUAAUAUUAAAAAAAUUAAAAUUAAAAACAAAAUAAGAUAAUAUGUCCUACUUUUAUGGAACACUAGCCCCUUGACACAUGCUCACGCAUGUGCCAAGUGGUUAGCUUUCUCUUAUUUAUGUAAUUUUUAGAAUUUAUAGAUUAUAACUUGAAUUUUUUGAAUAUUAAAAAAUGUGAAUUUACAACAUAAUCCUCUUUUAAUUAUUAAUAAUUCAAUUCAUCAAGUUGGAAUUCCCAAUGGGCCUUUUCAGGUAUUUUGAACCUUUCACCAUUCUCUGCCUUGUGGUUUAUAUAUACCGAUAUCCAUAACUACCCGGUUACCUUUUAUUAAUUCUAAAAAUAAAAUAAAAAAGAAAAAGAAAACCAAUUGGCACAUGCGUGAGCAUGUGUCAAGGGGCUAGUGUUAAUGAAAGCACAAAAUUCAUAUUCCUAAGAAAUGGAAAUCCAUAUCAAAAGGGGUUCGGGGUACCAUGUCCUCUAACCUGCAAACUAAACCGGGUUCUCGGUGGUUGUGUUUUUGGAACCAAAUAACCGUUUGAUUGCAAAAUACAAAAAAUUAUGUCCGAAUUUCGGGAUAGUAAAAAAAAGUUUAGAGAGUGAUCAAGAAUAAAUCAAGAACUAUACGUAUGAUUCCACUAUGCAUUCGUCCUUAAUUCUUAUCUUAAUUAAUUACUCUCACGCGAGACACCCAAAAAGAAUUUGCAUGAUUAACUCUCUUAUUUUAUUUUCUUCCUUUUAUGUGCCGAGUCAGCGGAGCUAGUAACGAGAUCCGCAUGGUUUCUUCUAUAUAACUCAUAUAUAUAUAUAUAUAUAUAUAUAUAUAUAUAUACAGUCCCCUUCUAUUGAGGGAUCCCUCAAAUAAAAUUAUUUGAGGGACGCCCUUUAGGGUACCUACAAUUUUUUUCCCAAUGAUCCAAACCAUCUAUUUUUUAGGUCUUCAUUCAUAGAUCAUCCUAACAAAAAAUUAGACAAAUCGGAAACCGUUUCGACAUCCAAUUGUGUCUUACAAAAUCAAUGAACACGGUGCUUCAAGAAAAUGCUAAAAUUUCAAUAACUUAAUUGAGUGGUCAAAUGAUAUCGGAUUCAAGUGAUUUUUUGUAGGGAUGAUCUUUGAAUGAGUAUCUACAAAAUAGACGGUUUGGAUUAGUGAAAUACAAUCCGGAGUGGGGCCUACAAGGGGUGUCCCUCAAAUAAGCUUAUUUGAGGGAUCCCUCAAUGGAAGCUCUCUGUAUAUAUAUAUAUAUAUAUAUAUAUAUAUAUAUAUAUAUAUAUAUAUAUAUAGCCUAACUUAUGUAGAAUCAUAUUAUGCGGAAGACCCUAUAAGCUAGACGUAACAAACCAUGAAUAAGGGUUGUCUUGUUCAGUGCUCAGCAAACUACAUGCCCUUGUCACCUAUAAGCUUCUUAGAGCGAGCAGCUGUCGUCUAUGGCGACAAGGUUUCGAUCGUCUACGGUGGCCAGAGAUUUUCAUGGAAGGAGACGCAUCAAAGAUGUUUCAAGGUCGCUUCAGCUUUUGUCCUCCUAGGGAUAUCUCGCCAUGACGUUGUGAGUAGCUAUUAAUCUUAAUUCUUUCAUGAACAUGAAUAUAUCUUGUGGUUUAAAUUUCGUAUAAAAUGAAUCUAAUUAAACCAAACUUAUGUGUGUUUUUAAUUCAAGCAUUACAAUACGUAUAUUAAUCCGUCAGUGUACUUAGAGUAAGCUAAUACAUGUUUUAGGACGUCUAUAUAAACUUGUGAUCAUGUUUUCCAAAUGGAGGAAGUGCAUGGACAUGUCAUGUUGAGAGAUGGAGAGAUCGAGUGAGAGAGAGGUAGAUAUUUGAUCUGUUUGAUUAAAACCAGUGAGGAAAGCAGGUAGCCAUGAAUAUUGCAAAGCCAUCGAAGCAAUGACUAGUUUGCCAAAAAGACUGAGACUUUAGCAAGUCAAUAGUCCAUUGUACUUUAUUGCGUGACUGUCGGGGUUUGAUAUCUUUUUUAAUAUUUAACAAGUCAAUACAGACAACUUGGGACGAUAUUAUUUACACAUUGGCGGGUCAAAUGGACAAUGGCCAUGAGCCCCAUGAUCACCGAACCACCAAGUAACAUGGUGAGCCUCCUUAGCUAUAUGUGCCUGUCGGCGUUUUAUUUAUAUAAAACUGUCCCAUGACGGCUGGCUGACCAACUUCAAUUAAUCUGUCAACCAUAGAGCUGCAAUUGCGUGCACAUACAUGCAUCAUAUACUAUACAUAUAUAUAUAUAUAUAGCUACAAAGUUAAUAUAUAAACAACUCUAGAAACUUGUACUUCCGUUUGUUUCUUGAUUCGUCUCUCUUUAUUAUAUUGAUCUCUUUUGCUAGCUAAGCUAUGACAAAAUAAAAAGUUGUGUGAGUCUCGCAUGAUUUCCACUAACGGAAAACUUUGAUCACGCACAUAUACGAAUAUAAAUCUAUUAUGAAAUUCACAUGCAUCUGUAUAUAAUACUAGUAGGGUAAUAUUCGUUUACCAAUUUUAUAUGGUUGAUAGAUAGUAUGUUAAAAAUUAACAGUGUAUAUGUAAUGGACAAUAGUGGAAAUCAUAUUGUGAAUCCAGCAAAAGAGAUCAAUACAAAGUAAUUCAUGCAUGUGCGUCCAAGGUGACUGACGAACGUAGCUUUUGAUGUCUUUGUUUAUCCUUUGUUGUCUAUUGCUAAUCGAUUCCAAUUUGUAGAUUUUGUCUUUUGUUUGUUUUUCUUUUCUUCUUCUGGACUAGGCGGACAAAGAUAAGGAUAGAUAGAGACUAGCAGAAAAGGAUGAGAAUACAUCCACCCCUCUCCCUAUCUUUAUUGAGAAUAAGAAAUCAAUGGAAACACAAACACUUACUAAAACCCAAAAGUUUCGUCAGUCAAGUGCCUUUUUUAUUUUUAGUCCUGCAUGCGUUACACGCAUUCAUGCACUUCAAGAGCAAGUGAUCCUAAUUAAAACAAGAAGAUAGUUUUAAGUGAAACGGUUGGACUAAGUGGAAUUCCUGCAUUUGAAUUCCACCCGGCCUUAUGCUAGAGAGAUAAUCCACUUAUAUUAUGACAUGUGAAUAAAUUACACUAGGCGGUCGAACAAUCGUAUUAUUCUAUAACUUCUUCUUAUGUUAGUCCUACCUCAAAUACAAGGAAUCAAUUUUACUUAUGAAAGUGAUUAGAUGAGUGAUGACGUGAUCCCAGAAUAAGAGAGUCUCUUACGAAAAAAAGAGUCUAGCAUAAUUAAUCGUAUAAAAUUCGCAUACCUAGCUAUGACAUCACAUCCUGAACAGAACCAGUAUUGUGACGCUAAUCUUUAACAAUACAAUAAAGUGCAACCACACAUAUAGGUUGAUUAUUAUAACUUAAUGGUCGUGUCACUAAUUGAUUAUGUCACUAAUUAUAAGAUAAUUCAAGAUCAUGUCACUAAUUGAUUAAUUUUGCUUUUAAUUUGAAGUGGGAUCAUGUCAAAAGCCAAUACUUUUUGUGUUGGGUACGCUCUUUAGUGUGAACAUAUUGUCCAAUAGAGAAAAGUAAUAAAGGAGAGGAGAUGUUCACAUUUCUUUUUGGUAGAGCAAUCACAAUCAAAGUAGUACACAAUGUAGUACAAGACCCACAGUCAGUCAAAGUAAGAUAGGCUUACAAAUAUAUGCGCGCAUACAAACAUACACCAAAAAAAAAAAAAGUAGGCUCAAUUCGACUAACUAGCUUCUAUCUACUUUUAAUUUAGUAUUAGCAAGAGUAAAUAAUAUAGUUUUAUCAUACAUAAAAAGAAAUAUUUCUCAUAGUUCCAUUUUGGUUUUUUUUUUUUUUUUGGUGUUAACCGAAUCCUAAAAUGAACUGAGUACACCAUAUAAUCUAAAUACACCUUAACAUUGAAAUCAAAAUGUAAAAUUAACUAAGUAUACCCCAUUUAACUACCAAAAAUGCCUCUAUUACACCCUAAUAUAUUUUAUCACACAAUACCAAAUUCAUUCGAGAGCUGACUGCUGAACAAUAUUAGACCACUAAACUCACCUUGCUCGUGAACUUGCUCCUUAACCCACCUUGUUGUCCUUGUGACGGUUUCUGUGCUUCUUAUGAUCUUUAGUAGUUGAUAUCAUGGUUGGCAUAACGAAGACAAUCAACCCUCUUUAAUUUGCUUCUUGUUUUGUUACCAAUCUUCUUCUCUGUAGGACAACUACAACUCAAAUAACGAUUGCAGUCAAUUAGACAAAAAGUUGUUUGAAUCAUAAUUUUCGGGCUGCAGUGAUGAUUCUGUCAUCCAUCACUACUAGUGUAGGGGUUUAUAAGCCAAAUGGCAAAUGCCACAGGGAAUUAAAGUUAUAAAGAAAUCUUGAAACAUAUAUAUCAGGAAAAAAUCCAAGAAAAAAGGAGUCCUGGAGACAUAACAUGCUAUAAUUUAGUGUAGGUUUUUCUCUUACGUUUGAUUAGAGUUGAAUAUGGUGAGUAGUGUGUACUUAUUAAAAUUACAUUUGUUUCACAAUUUAAUAUAUCAUUUUGGUCAUUUUAUGUUAGGAUAAAUUAGUAAUUCAAUAAAUAAUUUGGUAAUAAGGGGUACUCGGUUAAUUUUAGAGUUCGUUUAACAACACCAUUUUUCUUUUAAUUGAAAGUAAGAGAAUUUGAUUGUUUAACAUUCUCUAAUAACAUGAAGAAAAUAUACUACUAAACUUGUAGUUAGUUGUGGUUAAUCUACCUCAAUAGUGGAUUCUACAUGCUUUAUAUUAGAGGCAGGUCUAAUGUACCUAACAGUAGCCAAGUAAUUAAAAUUGUUGAUUUUCUUCCCUGGCCAGGUUGCAGCUUUUGCACCAAAUAUUCCAGCACUCUAUGAGCUUCAUUUCAGCGUUCCAAUGGCAGGGGCAAUUCUUUGUGCACUUAACAUUAGGCUGGACUCUCCCACAUUAUCAUUGAUAUUACAACAGUUGGAGGCCAAAGCCAUUCUUGUAGAUCAUCAGUACAUUGAAGUUGUCCUCCAAGCACUGGACAUAUUGUCCCAAACAAAGUACAAUCCACCUCUGCUCAUUCUUAUCCCAGAGUUUGACCAAUCAUCAUCAUCAUCUUCUCCCAUUGAUCUUGACCUUCCACCAGGUACCCUGAAUUACAAUGACCUGCUGCAGGCAAAAGCAGAACCCAACUUUCAGAUUUUAAGACCCAGCAAUGAAUGUGACCCAAUUUCAGUGAGUUACACUUCUGGCUCAACUGGAAAUCCCAAGGGAGUUUUAUACAGCCACAGAGCUGUGUAUCUUAAUUCAUUGGCAGCCAUUUUUCAAAGUGACAUGAGAAAAAUGCCAGUGUUCUUAUGGACAGUCGAAAUGUUUCGGUGCAACGGUUGGUGCUUCCCUUGGGCAGUUGCAGCUCUUGGAGGCACCAACAUCUGCCUCAGAAAUGUCUCAGCCAAACUCAUUUUUGAAGCAAUUCGUCUCCACAAGGUAACACACAUGUGUGGUGCACCUUCUAUUUUGAACAUCCUAGCAGAUGCCUCAGAAAAUGACCAAGCCAGGGAAAUAAAAUCAAGGGUGGAGAUUAUUGUUGCUGGUGCAUUGCCAGCACCUCAGAUUUUGACCAAGGUUGCAGAGCUGGGAUUCAAUGUGAGCCAUGGAUAUGGCAUGACAGAGGCUCUUGGGCCAGCAAUUGUCACACCAUGCAAGCCUGGUCAAAAGCAAUCUCAGUACAAUCUGAUGAUGGAAGGGGUUGACGUGAAGGAUCCAAACACCAUGGAAAGUGUGGAAUUUGAUGGGAAAACAAUCGGGGAGAUUAUGUUCAGAGGCAACACUUUGAUGCUGAAUUAUCUAGAGAAUUCAAAACCAGUUCAUGAGGUUUUCAAGGGUGGAUGGUAUAGGACUGGUGACCUGGCAGUUAGGCAUCCAGAUGGAUACAUUCAGAUGAAAGACAGGGCAAGGGAUAUUAUCAUUUGUGGUGGUGAGGUUAUCAGCACGCUUGAGGUGGAGGCAGUUUUGCUGACUCAUCCACAAGUUUUGCAGGCUGCUGUUGUGGGGAGAUAUGAUGAGGUUUUGGGGGAGACUCCUUGUGCUUUUGUGAAGUUGAAGGAGGGGUUUGGUGGUGGUGGUGAAGCAAGUUCUAGAGAGGUUAUAGAGUUUUGUGAGGGGAAAUUGCCUGGUUUUAUGGUUCCAAAAGUCGUGGUAUUUGGGGAUUUGCCUAGCCCAACCGGGAAGAUACAAAAAUUUGUUCUGAGGGAGAAGGCCAAUCUUGUGGGAGGCCAGGAAUAAAUCUCUGAUUAUGGCCAUUGGAUUUGACAAUUGGCAAACAGGUUUGUUGGUUUUCAUGAAAACUUUCAGUAUUUGGGUAGUGGUGUGGAUGAUUAAUUACUUAUUAUUUUUUGGGUAUACUAUAAUAAGGUUACAAUAGCGUUUUUCUUUUUCUUUGAUACGUUGCAGGAAAUCGAACAAUAAACAUAAUUAUUAUACUAUGAUGUUCUUCCAAAUCUAAGUUCUCCAUAUAUUUGAAGUAACUUGUGUUACAAAAGGAGAUCCUUAGGAUGUCAAUCAUGAAAUUGAAGUCUCAAAGUGAAUAUUGUGACAACCAUUUUGCCAUAAUAGUCAUAUCAAUUGUAGCAAUAGUUUUUGAAUUUGUGCCCCAAUUUGAAUUCGAAAAUGGCUUCUAGAGUUCAUGAAUUCCACUUCCGUUAGCACCGUUAUAUUUGCUGUUAAAUUUAAUGGCAAAAUGGGCAUUUCAUGUCUUCAAAUCUGCAAAAUGUUGCUACUAGGGUGUGGAUGAGGGUGUGCUAAGUCUUCUCCGCGUAAUCUCGGAUUGUAGGCUGUGCUAAGGAUGCUCAUCUGAGUCCACUUAUUUGGAUCCGCAAAUGCUUUAUCAGUAUUCAGUAGCAGCCUGUAGUCAUAGAGAGUCAACUCCCACCCAUUAUACAACACCAAACUCAAACUGCAUAUAUAUGCUUUGGGUUGGGACUGCCAAGUAAACAGAAAUAAGAAAUAGAAUUAUCUGCUAUACCAUAAACAAGUAUAUACCAAUCUAAAAUCUUGAAAUAGUCAAUACACAGAUUCCAUCUUGCAGAAGUUACAGCAAAACCAAAUUUCAGUUGGUCGACAAUACUUGACAUCACAAUCAGCUAAACUAUUUCUUUUUUAAAAAAUUAGGGAAAAAAAAAAAAGAGAAAAAAAGGGGUAUAGCCGACCGGCUAUACUAUUUGUUUUUUAAACAAUUAAAAACAGCGUAUAGCCGCGCGGCUCUACGUUAUAUAAAAUUUACCAGGUUGUCUGCUCCUAUCUAUUUCUGUAACAAUUUCAACUGUAGUCCCAUCUUCUGUAGCUAAGAGUAAACAUUCCAUUCAUAAGAAAUUUCAUGCUUCCAGUUCCAGAGGCCUUGUGUCCUGUGCUGCUGCAAAGGAAUCAUCACACGUUGUAGAGUGAAAAACCUGAGAUUUUAACUCUCAAUAUUUGUACAAAACCGGAUAGGAAGAACGAAUUGAAGGAUACAAAAUUCUUUCUCUUACCAACUUCAGAAGAUCUCCGACAUCAGUGUCAUUAUUUAUUUUUUCUUACCAAAAAAGAAAAAACAUGAGAAGAAAAGAAAGCUCCAACUCCACAUCAUAUCUCAUUGAAAAAUCAGCAAAUUACUGUCCAACAACUUCUUAAAUUACUGUGACAAUAGUUAUGCACAAUGUUGGACUCCCUUUAGAAGGUAUAAGGUAGUUCUUUGUUAAUAAGUUAUAAAAAUAUGGAAUGCAAAGUUCUUCACCACAUAAAAUCAGAUUCACCUUGAUACUGUCAUAUCGAUGGAUAAUGCCAAGUAUAUUAAGCAGCUGUCUAUUGUACUCGUGUAUUCGCUUUGUCUGCACAUCAAACAUUGCAUCUAAACUAACCUGCAGCUGAAAGUGAUAAAUUUCAGUGUAAUCUAUUAGACAUACCUCCUAGACAAAAGAGAAAAGAUGAACAGGAUAAGUUCUAAGAACUUGUGACCACUCAUUGCUUCAAUGUAGUCAACGAGCCUCAUUUUGUUAACCUUCUUAACCUACAACAUGAGCCUAUUUAAAAAUAUAUGAAUAUACUAUACUAUAUGAAUAGAAUAUUUUUAAAAGUAUCUAUAAAUAGGCUAUACGUUUAAAAUGCAAUCUCAGUAUAAUCUGAUGAUGGAAGGGGUUGAUGUGAAGGAUCCAAAAACAAUGGAAAGUGUGGCAUUUGAUGGGAAAUCAAUAGGGGAGAUUAUUUUCAGAGGCAACACUUUGAUGCUGGGUUAUCUGGAGAAUUCAAAACCAGCUCAUGAGGUUUUCAAGGGUGGAUGGUAUAGGACUGGUGACCUGGCAGUUAGGCAUCCAGAUGGGUACAUUCAGAUGAAAGACAGGGCAGGGAAUAUUAUCAUUUGUGGUGGUGAGGUUAUCAGCACCCUUGAGGUGGAGCCAGUUUUGGAGGCUGCUGUUGUGGGAAAAUAUGAUGAGGUUUUUGGGGAGACUCCUUGUGCUAUUGUGAAGUUGAAGGAGGGGUUUGGUGGUGGUGUUGAGGCCAGUUCUAGAGAGAUUAUAGAGUUUUGUGAGGGGACAUUACCUGGUUUUAUGGUUCCAAAAGUUAUGAUAUUUGGGGAGAAGGCCAAUCCUGUGGGAGGCCAAGAAUAAGAUGCCUAAUCUCUGAUAUGGGCAUUUGAUUUGACAAUUAGGAAGAAAAAAAACAUCGUAUAGCCAUACGGCUAUACUAUUUCUUUUUAAAAAAAUUGGAAAAAACUGAGUAUAAAAUUACAAAAACAUAGUAUAGCCGUGCGGCUGUACUAUUUCUUUAAAAAAAAAUUAGAAAAAACAGAGUAUAUCUGAUAUUUGACAGCAUGAUAUAAUUGAAUUUUGAAUAUCUUGUUUAUCAUGGUAAAACAUCUGAUUCGAGUUUUUAUUUUAACUCCAUACUGCACAAGAUUUGUCUGUAACCAGGUUUGGUAUAUCAAAAAACUGAACAGUGUUUUUGUGACUCUGCAGAAAGAAGAUAACAUUAUUAGCGGGGGAUCAUUCUGAAAAUACUGACAAGAAAUUGCACUGUUUCUUCUGAGUAGAACAAAGUGAGAGAUGACCUAGAUCAUCAUGAAAAUUAUUUCAUUCCUCCGAUUUCUGUAAUUUCUAUUCAUGUUGUCCUGGUUACAUGAUCAAUAAUUUUGAUGAAUAUGUUAAUGUAGCCUUUUCGAUUGGUUCUUGUAAGCAACUACAAUUCCGAAUGAUCGAAACAAAAGUUCUGUUACUCGUAAACCUUUAGUAUGUGUGCCAUGGCUAUGAAGCUAAAACCUUUGCGCCAUGGAAGAAUAGCUUGUACUAUCUGGCCGACAUUUUUAUUGCCUCUGUAAGUAAAUUCAGGGUGUUCAAUCAACCUGACUGUUGCUUUGAUAAUUGCUACUAGUAAAGGAAAAAAACUUGUAUACCCUGGUUGUAUGCACAGGUUGUCUCUACCUCUCUUCUCACGUGACUUGUUUUUGUACAACUCAUAAUGUGCAGUGACUCUGUAAUGCGCUAAAAUGAAAUUGGAAAUUAGGAAAAACGGAAUAUAUCCAGACGACUAUACUAUUUCUUUUUGAAAAGUUUAAAAAAGGGAGUAUAGCCGGGCGGCUAUACUAUUUUUUAAAAAGAAAAAAAAGUAGAAAAAAGGAGUAUAGCCGCUAUUUCUUUAACAAAAAGUAAGUAAAAACCGAGUAUAGGCUAUACUUUGUUUCCGAACUUUUUGUUAAAGAACGGCUGUACUAUUUCUUUAACAAAAAAGUUAGAAAACAUAGUAUAGCCGGGCGGCUAUACUUUCUUUUAAAAAGAUGAAACCCCGAGUCUAGCCGCGCGGCUAUACGAGUUCUUAAAAAUUAGAAAGACAGAGUAAGCCGGCCGGCUAUACUUUAUAUAAAAUAUAUAGGCAAAAUGGUCAUUUCGUGUCCAACCCCAUCCCCACACCACCUCCACCAGUCAAAAUAACCCAAACAACAAAUUAAUUAACAAUAUCGAGAUCAUGCUUUGGACGUGAAAACUGAGCUCUGCGUACAAUAAUACACCAACCAACCCGUUUAUAAUUCUAAAUGGACCGACUGACCAACUCAUUUAUUUAUUUCUCCAAUUGACUAUAGUUUGAUCACUUAGUUCAUGUCCGAGUCAAAGAACACUGCAGACUCGCCCGAGUCAGCUACCCAAACCCAACCCUCCAACUCAUGGCCCUCAGCCACAACUUCUCUGUUUCUAAUCCUAAUACUUCCCGUCAUCACCGCCACGCUCAUCUACCAACUCGACUCGUUCGACCCAGCCCCUCUGCCUUAUCACGAGUUGACUCGCCGCUUAACCAGGAGAGCUCCGGCUCACAACCCUCGCAUGCUUCGAGGGUCAGAGCGUGUGGGCUUUGGGGUCUUGCGGGCCCCCGAGGACGUGCAGGGACGGACCCAGAAAUUUUGUGUCGUGGGGUCAUAGUGUAAAAGUUUAAUUUUUUUUUUGAAAGAUUAAAAUAACAUUGAAAAUAAAACUAGAGUACAUUCAUUCAUAAUUCAUGUAAAAAAACAACAUUACAAAUUACAAUUGGCCACGACGAGGUUUCAUAUUUUGAAAACGUAGCAUUAUAGCUUCAUUUUCAAUACAAUCAAAAACAUCCUUCUCAACAUAAACAAGCAAGCUAUCACUCAACCAUUGAUCUCCCAUUUUGUUCCGAAGUGGACCUUUGAUAAUAUUCAUGACGGAGAAUGCCCUCUCGACUGAAGCAGUAGCAACCGGUAAAACUAGAGCCAAUGUAAUAAGCAAAUACACAUAAUUGAAUGCUCGAUGCAUCCUUGUCUCCACCAUUUUUUUUGCAAGAUCACCAAUCCCAUGCAAGUCAGAGAAAUCACUACUCGAACUCACAUAAUGAAUAUAAAGCUCAAGUUGAUCAUCAAGUGCCAAAAGAUCCCCAUAAGAAAAGUCUUGAGGAUAAAAUUGAGCAAGACGAAGUAACUUUUGUUUAUCAAAAGCUACAAAUGAAUCAUUUGGACUCAAACAUGCCAAACAAAUAAGCAACUCAGUAUUUACCUCAUUAAAACGAUCAUCUAACUCCGUAAGUUGCUCGUCAAUGACAUAAAUAAAGAGCUCCACACGAUAAUGAUGACGAUUUGUCUUUAUUGGAGCAUUACGCCUUGACCUCCCUGGAAGUACGAAGGGCUCAUCCAUGGUAGGAACAUCAAUAUGAUGUUUGUCACAAAAUGAAGACACCUCUUCAACCAAUGCAUCAAACCCAUUAUUCCUCAUCCAAUGUAGUUUUUCCUUGCAUGAUUUCACCAAAGCCAUUGCAUUCACAAUUUCUUGAUCUUUCUUUUGCAAUGCUUGUGACACAUCAUUUGUGAGUCCCAAUAUAGCCUUCAUUAAGAAUAGGUGAAACACAAACUGAAAAGUAAGCAUUUCCCUUUGAAUCUUAUUUGCUUCACCGGCACUAUCAUUGGGAUUAUCAUCAAUAAUCAUUUGAAGCACAUGAAUCACAGAUGAAAACAUAGAAAUGAUGCUAAUAAUGGUACCGUAAUGUGAGCUCCAUCGUGUGUCACCGGCACGUAUGAGACUUGUUUCUUGAUGCAAACCUCGCCCCGUUAUAAGACAAUCAUUUUCAAAAGCUAUCACAAGUUCUUCUUGGAGUUGUGCUCUAAGUGCAUCACGCCGCUUACACGAUGCUCCAACAUGGUUAACCACACUAUUAGUGGUUGUGAAGAAAGAGGCAAUAUCAAUAUUCUUCUUUGCUACGGCAACAAGUGCUAGUUGAAGUUGAUGAGCAAAGCAAUGAACAUAGUAGGCACAAGGUUGUUCUCUCAAAAUCUUUGUUUUAAGGCCAUUCAACUCACCUCUCAUAUUGCUAGCUCCAUCAUAACCUUGUCCUCGUAACUUGGAAAAGCUCAAACCAUUGGAAGAAAAGAAUAUGUCAAUGGCAUCCUUUAGUGUACUUGAAGUGGUGUCGGUAACAUGUUGAACCCCCACAAACCUCUCAAUUACAUGCCCUUUGUCAUCCACAUAACGCAACACCAUAGCCAUUUGCUCUUUCACAGAAAUAUCGCGUGCUUCAUCCACCAAUAUAGAAAAGAAUCUAUCUUUUAAACCACUCAUGAUGACAUCAAGUGUUUCCCCGGCACAUGCAUUCACAAUAUCUUUUUGAAUCUUUGGAGCUACUAACUUGAGAUUCCCCGGAGCAUUUUCCAACACAACUUCUUUAACUUUCUCAUCAUUGUCUGCAAGGAAUUGCAAUAACUCCAAGUAAUUUCCCCUAUUGCUUGAAGUGGCACUUUCAUCAUUUCCACGAAAAGAAAGACCUUGUCUCAAUAGAAACUUAGUGCACUUGAUUGAUGCAAUUAAGCAUCUUCGAUAUGCCAUACGAGCUUGUUCAGAGUGUUUGCUCACAGCCGUUUCAAUAUGUGUAUUUUGAUUCAUCAAAUUUGUAGCGGCUUCUCUAGCUUUAUUAUGAACACUACCAACCGGUCCAACAUGCACCUUCAUUCUUUCUCUCCCUUUCUUCUAAUUCUUAAACCCUGCUCCAGUGAAGGCUUCACUACCCACUUGUUCAAAAUUGGAUUUAAAGAGAUAGCAAUAAAGACAAAAUGCAGCAUCUUUAGAUACACUAUACUCCAACCAAUCAAAUUCAUCAAACCAUUGGGGAAUGAAGCGUCGAUUAAGUCCUGAGAUAUUACUUUGUGGGAAAGAAUGACCUCUAGGUUGACAAGGUCCUUUUUGUAGAUAUGCCCUUCGAACCUCAUCUCUAAUAUUAGCAUCAUACUCAAUCAUACGAAUUCUUAGUCCCGGGUCUGCCUGAAGAUUAGCCAAAACCUCAUCUAACUCACUUUGUCUUGAACUUGAAGUUUUUGAACUUCCCACACUAUCCGAACUACCCAAUGAUGACUUUCUCUUAAAAAAUCUUUCCAUAAUUCUACAUAAAUUAAUCAAAAUAAUAACUAAAAUCAAUUCAAGAGAACACCAAAUUUAUACCAAUUAACCACAAAAAAUUCAUAAAUGAAACAUCCAAUAAAUCUAAACAACACCAAAUUUAUACCAAUUAACCACAAAAAAUUCAUAAAUGAAACAUCCAAUAAAUCUAAACAACACCAAAUUUAUACCAAUUAUCCACAAAAAAUUCAUAAAUGAAAUAUCCAAUAAAUCUAAACAACAUCAAAUUUAUACCAAUUAACCACAAAAAAUUCAUAAAUGAAACAUCCAAUAAAUCUAAACAAUAUAAUACAAUCAUAAAUUCAAUUUCAAUUUAAGUAAUUUAGGUUUAGAGUUAGAAUUUACCUUGAAUUGUGAGGUGGUGGAAGUGGAGGCAAGCUUUUGGAAAUGGCGGAGCUGCUGGCAGCGGCGACAAUGGAGGAUUUGGGGCUUCAAGGCUUGGUGGGGAAGAGGGUUAAAGGUUUGUGGGGGGUGGGGAUUGGGGAUUUAGGUAUGAGGGUUUAGAAAAUAGGUAUUUUGGGAAGAAAAUUCGGGAGGAAGAAGAAGAGAAACUGAUAUGUGUUUUUUUUUAUAACACCUGGGCCAAAACGACGUCGUUUUGGCCAGGUCUUUUAAAAAAAAAUUUCGCUGGUCCAAAACGACGGCGUUUUGGCCAGCGGAUUUUAAAAAAAAAUUCGCUGGUCCAAAACGACGCCGUUUUGGCCAGCGGGUUUUUAAAAAAAAUUCGCUGGUCCAAAACGACGCCGUUUUGGCCAGCGAGUUUUUAAAAAAAAUUCGCGCGUCUGGUCCAAAACGACGCCGUUUUGGCCAGCGCAUUUUAGUCCAAAACGACGUCGUUUUGGCCAGUCUGUUUUAAAAAAAAAAUUAGAAGCUGGGCCAAAACGACGCCGUUUUGGCCAGCUCCUUUGAAACAGAACACAGCCCCCUGUUCAUCUUCUUCUUCCUCUUGUCUGCAGCCCCUCUCUCAUGGGGUCAUACCCCAUUUCAAAGCUACCUUGUAGCUUGCUUCCAUGGACUCCAUGGGGUUGUUUGACCCCAUUGACCCCACUGUGGGUCCGUCCUUGAGGACGUGGCUUAUCAUUCCGGGUCGGGGCUCAUUUACACGGGUUGUGAAGACGGGUGGCUCAAGCGAGUUAAACUCAACGACUCGGAAAAUCCCGAGUUUGUGGUGGAGAGCUGGGUCAACACGGGCGGCAGACCGCUCGGGCUCGCUUUCGGACUUCACAAUGAAGUUGUCGUCGCUGAUGCCGAUAAGGUUGGUACACGUAGGAAAUGUUAAAUAUUUUUUUGUUAUUUGGUUGUUUCUCUUCAAUAUAUUUGGAUUAAAAACAUUAUAAUAGUUACGAUAAUCAAAGGUCUAAUAUCUAUAAUUGUUUAAAAAAGAAAUAAUUAGUUUGUUUAAUCUCAGCCAUUCAUUUUGGCCUAAUUUAAUGGUUGAAAACUUUUUGAGUAAGAAUUACUUGUGUCAUGAUCCGCACUCAUAUCUAAAUGGGCUUGAAAAAACUAGAGUUUAUGUGACACCGUUGAUGAGCCCGACGAAUAAAUACAAAUGUAAUUUGUAAAUUACAAAUCCAGUAAUAUACUUAUGAAAAAUAUAAAUAUAUACGUAAAAAAAUAUAGGUAUAUUGUUUAUCAAAAAAAAAAGUACAUAAUAAUUUAUAGAAAAUAUAGAUACACAAUUAUUUAUAAAAAAAAUAAUAGGUACACAAUAAUUUAUAGAAAAUAUAAAUACACAAUAAUUUAUAAUAAAAAUAAUAGGUAGAUUAUUAUCCAUGAAAAAUCUAGGUACAAGAAAUGAGAUCCAAGUUCUAAAAUCUGUAGGGAAAGAUGGAACAAAAUUUCAAAAAGGCAAUAAGGAAAACUGCAUUUUUUGGCCAAGACAUUGUUGAUUGUAUUGAUGAAUUUUAAUAAUAAAACGGAUAAUUAAUUGCAGACAAAAUUUUUAGAGGGAAUCACCACAAUAAAUUGGGAACCAAAAAUUAAAACACCACCCCAUUACACGUUGAAAUAUAAAUAGGGGUAUUUUGGCAAUCAAAAAAUGAUAAUAAAUAAAAUAUUGAGCUUAAUAAGGUAACUUGAUCAAUUGGAUCUUAGUCAUUGGUUUUUACUUAUAAAAAUUGGGUAUUAUUUAGGGAGCUUUAGUAAUAUACCCAAAAUAGGAGCUGAAAUUAUAAAAAAAACCUACAUGAAAUGCACUUUAGAAACAUACCCAAAAAUCAUUUACUACAUACAAAAUGAGUGUUGAAUUUCCUAUAAAUUACAUGACUGCCACUAACUAACUUAAAAGAAGCCCAAUACAAAAAACACACAAAAAACCCAUAACAAGCCAGCCUAUAUUUUUUUUAAAAACCCAAACUUAACUAUAAAUAUAAAAUAAAAUAAAAACACGAAAACCAAGGGCAUGUCCCCACGACCAUUCCUUCUCCAUCAAACCUCUGCAAAUCAUGUCAUAGAAGUACAUUGUUAAUACCAUGUUAUAGAAAACACUGUUAAUACUAUUUUAUAAAAAAAUAUUGUUAAUACCAUUUCGUAGAAAAACAUUGUUAAUACCAAUUCAUAUAAAAAAACAUUGUUAAUACCAUUUCAUACCCAACAAAAUACAUUGUUAAUACCAUUUCAUACCCAAAAAAAUAUAUUGUUAAUACCAUUUCAUACAAAAAGACAUUGUUAAUACCAUGUCAUACCCAAAAAAAUACAUUGUUAAUACCAUUUCAUACAAAAGACAUUGUUAAUACCAUUUCAUACCCAAAAAAAUACAUUGGUAAUACCAUUUCAUACAAAAAGACAUUGUUAAUACCAUUUCAUACAAAAAACCAUUGGUAAUACCAUUUCAUACAAAAAGACAUUGUUAAUACCAUUUCAUUCAAAAAAUCAUUGUUAAUACCAUUUCAUACAAAAAACAUUAUUAAUACCAUUUCACAUUAAAAAAAAAUCCAGCAAGACAUCCGAUUGCAGAAACCACCUCCAAUUGUCUAUAGUUUCACCAGAUAUAAUCGCAAAGGCAAAAGGAAAUACUUCUACAAGAAAAAAUAAGUACACUGUUAAUACUAUGUCAUAGAAAUCAACUUAGUUGCAAGGUAUGAACAGUUGUUAUACUGUUCAUACCACUUACUGGAAGUUAACAACUACAUCAUUUUAUUUACAUAAUCGAUACAAUAAAAGUGUACAACUCCAUACCACUCAAAAUCAAUUACAUCAUUUCAUUUGCAUAAUUAAUUGAUCUUUCAUCACUCCACAUACCAUAAACAUUGAAUCGGAGCGGCUCCCACACAUACUGCUCAUUAUCAUUGUGCUUGUGGUAACAAUGACCUUAUCUCCAAACAUAUGAGCCUUUAGAAAACUGCUGUGACAUAUAUGUACCCAAAUGACCUGCAAUGAGACUUCGCCAACUCAGAAACUUUCAACCCAUGAAUUCCUUGCUCUAGCAGUACUCUAAACAAUUCACCCUUCAAAGUACUAGGAUGUAAACCGUACUUCACCAUAAGGCUCAUUUCCUAGAUAACAGAAGAUUCAAUUUGAAAAACCAAAUUUCACAUUUAUAGAUAGGUUUAUACAACAACAGAUAAAGCUUAUUAAUUGUAGAACAUAAAUAAAACCACCAUAAGAAAGUAAAUAAAGGCUCCUGCGCAUGUGUAGUCAUUAAAGCAAAUAAUUCCAGAGACAAGCGGAGACAAAUAAACAUAUGCUCAACAGUUGUUAUUCAGGAAUGCACGAUAAUGCCAACAAACAAAAGUGAAGAAACUAUUUCCUUUAACAUUCAAUCACUACAUGUUAUAUGUAAAACCUAAAAUUUCUGAUUUAGGUCCUUAAGUACGGAAAAUGAGUCUAUCCAACUGGGGCUCUGCCUCAAGGUAUAAACAGAUUAUUAGGGGUAAUGACAGAUCUGUUAUGUGAAUGGAAAAACCUUUACCGAUUCCACCAAAUUGACAGCCUCCUAUAUAUUUCCACACCAAAUUUUGAUUACCCAUUGAAGUCUCAAUUUUUCAUUUGUUGGACUAAAAUGGUGGAACCACCUACGAAGCCAUGAGAUUGAUUGGACAAAGCUACAACCCAAUUGGAAUAUGGGAAUGUAUUGGACAAAUGAACCCCUCCCAUUCACAUAACAGAUGGCAAAGCUCUACUUGCCAAAUUGAUGCACGGUUUGCAAUCAACUCUUCUAUGCUUGAAGUUUCUGGCUUGUUUUUUACUGUGACCCAGAACCUAACUAACCCAUUACCCAUAGUAUACAGACAAUUUUUCCACUUUUCAAAGCCAAGGUCGUCCUUUUGGAAUUUGGAUAGCACUUAACUUGCAGAAUACAGAUGUGUUGAUAAUCAAAUCUCAUAACAUCUCUGCAAGAACAACCUAUGACUUCAAUCUAUGCAAUGAGAGCGUAGACGAAAAAGAAUGGUAAGAGUAAUGAGAGACCAUUAGGCAGUAUUAGCGAGCACAAAAUAAUUAUUCCAAGCUUUUAGAGGUCGUAUAAUCAUGAAUAAGAAAACAGACCUCAUAAAUAUGAAAAAGCAAAUGCAAUAAUAGAUAGAGCAUAUGACAUCUUUCACGAACGAUGUCCUAUAUUUGUAAAAGAACUUAACAAAAUCAGGCCUCCAACAGUUUGAAAUUCACAUACCUUGAACAGUUUCUUGACAAUCUUUGGAGAAGAAUCCCAAGGUUGCAUACAGAAUGGCUGCUUCAUCUUUAUAGAAUUUAGAGGAAACUUGGCCAGCAAAUCUAAAAUCCCAAAAAUUCCUUAUCCACAGCUGAAAAUACAAUACAUGUAGACACAUACAUAUUACAACAUUUCAUUUUAGCUUCCACAAGACUGGGCCUCAUUUACGGUAUGUUACGACCGUCGAAGUUCUGGUCGUUCAUGCCUUCGGGCAUCUCUCAUGGCGUUCUCAUUGCUGAAGGUGACGAAGCCGAAGCCCCUGGACCUCCCAGUCUCACGGUCGUUGAUGAUCUAGAAACACAAAAAGAAACCAAAUCAAAUCAGAGUCGUCCGUCAAAACGAAAACGUCAGAGUAUAAUCAAACAAAUACACAAUAAUAAACAAAAAAUGAAAAGGAAUCUAUCGAUCUUCAAUCUUUGGGAAAGAAAGAUCAAGUAACAUAGAGAAACAGAAGAUCAAGUAGUAAAGGUCGAACGACCCUGCGAUUCGAUGAUCUCACCGAAUGGAGAAAGGCCUUCUCCAGUGCAUCAUUGUUGGUGGCCCAGGCGAGCCCUCCAACGAAGCUUAGAAUGAAGAGAUUGAACAAAAACUGAGGUGGAAGAACAAUGAUGAGAUUGAAGUGGAAGAACAAAAAAUGAAAAUUGGGGUUGAAGAUAAAGAUGAGAGACUGGAGGUCGUGUAAUGAGUUCUAAUCUGGUGUUGAUUAGAAUUCCAAUUUUAUGUUAAAAAGGUAAUAAAGGUAUUUCAUCUUAAUAAUUAAAUUAAAAAAUAUACAGCUGUCGAUUUUUGGGUUUAUUUUGAGUGUGUUUAUAUACAUUAAAUAGUAUAGGGUAUUUUUAUAGUUUUAUGUCUAGGAAUGGGUAUUUAACUAAUUUUGUAUAAAAAAAAACCACCUUACUAAGGACCAUCCGUAUUGUUAAUAAAUAUAUUUUUGAAUACAAGCGAUAGUGAAUUACGGGGUGUGGUGGGGCUGAUGCAAGUUCUAGAGACAUUCUAAAGUUUUGCGAGGAGAAAUUGCAAAAGCUAUUAUAUAUGGGAAUUUGCCUAGCCCAACUGGUAAGAUAGAAAGAAAGAAAAAUUGUGAGGGAGAAGACCAAUCUUGUGGGAGGCCAAUAAUCCCUGAUAUGGGCUUUUGAUUUGACAAUUGGCAAACGGGUUUGUUGGUUUUACACCCUUUGGUUACAUGAAAACUUUCAGUGUUGGGGGUUGGGGAUGAUUAAUUUACUUAUUCUUUUUUUUCUUUGUUACAUUGCAGGAAAUCAAACAAUAGACAUAGUAUUACUAUUAGUAGUAAAAUGAAAACGAUUUUUUCAAUUCUAAGUUCUCCAUAGACAUGAAAUACAGAACGAACCAACCACUUUGUUCUUCAUUUGGGGUCAACAAAAAACUAAGGUCCAAAUGCCACGUCAGUGGGCUCCCUAGUUGGAAAAAUCUUGGUCUAGAAGAUAAACACCAUCUGAUUCUCAUCCAUAUCCAUAUACACAAGAUAAGUCACCAGCAAGAGCAACCCACCACUCGCUCACCCCACCCCACCUGCACAAUAUCUGCAAGCAUGCAGAUGCAGUGCAGCCAAUAAAAACUCCACAGACACUACUAUAAUCUGAACACAUACAAUAGAGAAAACUACCGACCCAAAGUUAUUGUUAAAUUUAAUACACAUUUAAAGAAUAUAGAAAAAUCUAGAAGAAAUUAGAAAACUCAAGAAAGUUCAUUAACUUUGACAAAGUAAAGUUUUAAAAGAUGAUUAUUGUAAACUCUAGAAAAAAUUUAAUAAGAAUCUUAUAAUAAAGUAAUAAUAUUAUAAAGUAGUGAGGAGAAGAAGCCAAGUCCACCGACUUGGACAAUGGCGGCAGCUUUAGUGUAUAAAUAGAUGUUGUUGUCUCUUGUACAAGCCAAGAGAGUGAGAACGGGCCAAAUAGCCAGCAAAAAGAGAGAGAAUAGGCCAAUAAGCCUACUCCUCUAGAAAGCCUACUCCAAUAGGCCAAUAUCAAUCACCCCAUUUCUUUUGCUUGCCACUCCCUCUAACAUAUCGGCCCUAAAAUUGCAAACCAAAAAAAAAAAAAAAAACUAUAAAUUACAUAUCUAAUAAUGUACUUAUAAAAAAAUAUAAAUAUAAAUAUAUACGUAUAAAAAUAUAGAUAUACUUUUUACCAAAAAAAUUUACAAAAAAAAUAGGUACACAAUAAUUUAUAGAAAAUAUAGAUACACAAUAAUUUAUAGAAAAUAUAGAUACACAAUAGCAAGAGUGAUCUUAACAAAAACAAGAAGAUAGUCUUAAGUGAAACAGUUGGACUAAAGUGGAAUUCCUGCAUUUGAAUUCCACCCAGCCUUAUUUUGGAGAGAUAAUUCACUUAUAUUAUGACAUGUGAAUAAAUUAUACUAGGUGGUCGAACUACCGUAUUAUUCUAUAACUUCUCCUUAUGUUAGUCCUACCCCCAAAUGCAAGGAAUCAAUUUUACUUAUGAAAGUGGUUGGACGGGUGAUGACGUGAUCUCAGAAUAAGAGUCUCUUACAAAAAAAAAGUCUAGCAUAAUUAGUCGUAUAAAAUCCGCAUACCUAGCUAUGACAUCACAUCCUGAACAGAACCAGUGACACAAAUGUUGUGACACUAAUAUUUAACAAUACAAUAAAGUGCAACCACACAUAUAGGUUGAUUUGGGGACACCUUUAUAGGACUCACUUCGCAUUGUAUUUCACUAAUCUAAACCGUCUAUGUUUUAGAUAAUCAUUCAGAGAUCAUCUCUAUAAAAAAUCACUUGAAUUCGAUAUCAUUUGACCACUCAUUUGUGUUAUUGAAAUUUUAGUACUUUCCAUGAAGCGCCGUGUUUAUUGAUUUUGCAUGAUACAAUUGGAUGUGGAAACGGUUUCCAAUUUGUUUAAUUUUUUGCACAGAAACCGCAAAAUUCCACAGAAAUUCCCACAAUAUAAGGCUCAACAUCUGGUUCACUCUGAGGAAGUACAGUGUAUUCUGUCAAGUUGACUAAUUUGCAGGACAUUCUUGCAAAACAUCUUUCAAUCCCAAAAAUGCUCCUUUUGCUUGCUUUUCCAUCUUUACUCUUCAAACCUAGUAAAACACAAAACUAAGUAAAAAUGGACAAAACUCACUCAAGAACAUAGCAAGAAUCCAAGAGAAAAAUAAUAAUAAUGCACGAAAUAAUGGUUAUAUCCAAUAACCCCCAAACUUAGACUUUGUUUGCCCUCAUGCAAAACAAAGACUCAAAGAGUGUUAUGCCUCCACAUAUUAGUCUCAAUAAAUUGUCCAAGGUAUAUAACUCUAAAGAAUCAAAUAAGCAUCAUAUAAACCACAAGCAUGAUUCAAAAGUUAACAAAACCGUACACAACAUUCUCAAGUGUAGUGUGUGAAAUAGCCAAUAUCAAUACAACUCACUCAACCAGGAUAGGUAUAUGCAAAUCAAAGCUUCAACUUCAAACUUCACCAAGAAUGUCAUUCACGACGAAAACGCUCAAAGUUUGGGUUAAGUGUUUCACUCAAUAAAAUGAAUGCAUGAAAAUCAAAUCAAAUCCUAUAAGCUUGCUCUUCAUAUCACAUCUCCACAGAUUAAAUUCACACAAUUUCUAGGAUCAAAAGGUCUUAAAUUACGGUUGUAAUGGGGUUAGGGGUUAAGGUUAAAAGAAAGAAAGGAUAUGGAAAACAAAAAUAUUCUAUGAGAAUUAGUAGAGCACUUGAUGACCAUGAAGGAUUGCAAAUUCUCUUGUAUCUCGUGCGAUAUCACCAAUUAUGUACUUCAUUGGAAGCCAAAUUUCAUUGUUGGGCUUCAACUUCAUUUUGAUCAACAUAUUUCUCAAACUUCUUCAGUCUUUGACAAUAUUGAGGUAGCAAACCAAUUUUUUUUUCUUUCUUUUUUUUUUCUUUUCAUUCUUGUUUUUAACAAACACCAACCUCAAAAUCAUCUUUGCUUUUAUUUUUUUCUUUUCACAACUUUGAUACUCACAAGGUAUAAGGUGCAAAUCGCCCAAACUUAAAGCUCCACCAAUUUUUCAUAGAACAAGGUAGGUUGAAGUGUUUAAGUUUAUGGUUCAGGAUAGUGUGGUUCAUGAAAGAAAAUGCUUAUUUAGGCUCAAAGAGGCUAUCUAAGGGAUAAUGUAGUAGGGACAAAAGCUUGUUUGGCUAUGGUGGUGAUCCUAGGUGCCUUAAUCACUUCCUAGAUAGAAUCAUGUGAAUCAAUACAAAGCCUUGAAAAAUAUUGAAGCAAGUUCUAGUAAAUGAUAGUUGCACUCAUGAAAAGAAUUUACAAGUCUACACUAAAAUCCACAUAUAAUUCUCUAAGUCAAAAGCAAAUUGCAUUAAAUUGGCUAUGUGCAUUAAAAAUAUGAGAAUAAUCAUGCAAGAGAAAGUUAACUAAAGAAUCACACUUGAAAUUCACAAAAUGAUUACCAAUCCUCAAAAGCUAUAUAACAAGUAGAAUUCAAGUGUUAUCAUUGACUUGUGGAAAGCUUAAUUAAAAUGACUCAAGAAAAGGAAAAAAGAAAAUCUUUUUGGAUUUUUGAAAAUUUUAGAUUUUUUUGGGUUUUGUGACUUUAAAACAACUACUUAACUACCUAAAAACACAAAAGAAACAAAAUAAGACUCAAACAAACCAAGAAAACAAAGAGUUUCAAAAUGCAGCUUUUGGCAGUUUCAACCUCUAUUCAAAUUUUAGCACAUAACUUUCAAACUGCUGGUCCGAUUUUCACGUUUUUUAUAUGGUUAGAUUCAACACGAAAAAACGAAGAACAUAGUACGGUCUAAAUUGUCAACACAUUUACCAAUUAAAACAGUUUUUAAGCAAAACGAAACCCUAUGUUUUCAGACAUUAGAAAUUUUCAAAACACAAAAACAAGCAAUAAAGCUAAAUCAUUCCCCCCAAACUUAAAUGAAACAUUGUCCUCAACGUAAAAAGAAUCAAAAUACAUGCAAUGAAUCAAGCAAAGGGAGAAAAGAAUUAAAACAGUAUAAUAAAGAGUAAAGAGUAAGGGUUAGAGCUCCCUGGGCAUAUAAUCUCUAGUAGGAGAUGCUGCAAAUGCCAAGAUCCUCGCAUCAUCAUCAUGCAUUCAAAACAUGGGUUACCUCCCGAGAAACGCUUAAUUUAAAGUCUUUAGCCGGACUCAGCGACCAUCAUAUAUCUGGGGGAUCAUCGAGGUACAUCACCUCAAUGGUCUUGGUUUGUGCCGUCAAAGUAUGAAUAUUCUCUAUAGGAUCUGUGAGGCUUGAUUCAAUGAAUGGCUUCCCUAUAAUUUGAUCCACAACUUCGAUGUGAAAACAAUCAUAAGGAUCUAAGGGUCUGUCAAACCUUCAAAGACCUAAAAAUUUAUAGUAGUAUCUUGCAUCCGGAGAUGUUCCUUCCUUUUUUAUAUUCAACGGCAAUUUCCAUUUGGAGAGACGUUUAGUUUUGCUUUCAAAACCAAAAGAGUACUGAACAAAACCAAAAAAGUACUGAACAAAACCAAAAAAGUAGAGACCAAAACCAAACAAGUAAUUACCAAACCCAUCUCAUUCAUAGAAUUAUUAGAAAACACAAUUCUUACCGUGUUGGAAUUGAUAACAUUAAUUAUAUUCCCACUAAUAUUGAAGACAGGGGCCCCGUGCUUGCCAUCAUUUUGGGAAUGCUGAUGCAUACGGCUCUUGAAAUCGUCGGAGUUAUUGAGUACAGCCCCUGUAAACUUCUCUAUAAUCGACUCAAAAAUCCAACGCUUUACUCUCCCCCGCUUCAACGGUACAGGCCACCGCUUCAUCGCUGGGUAGCGAUCUGCGUCGGACGAUGAUGGGUGCACGGGUUGAUGUUUAUGCGUAUUGAAGCCGAGAAGUCAUUUUGGUCGGAAAGAUGCCCAAUCAGAAGAUAUAGAGAGAGAGAGAGAGAGAGAGAGAGAGAGAGAGAGAGAGAGAGAGAGAGAGAGAGAGAGAGAGCGAGCGAGCGAGUGACUGAACUGUUAGGAUUCUAAAGUACAUUCACCUUUUAUUCAUAUUUAUUAUUUUUUUUUUUUAAAUUUAUUGGUGGGCGAUUCUAAAGAACAUUCACCUUUUCAUAUUUGGUGGGCCGUACACUGUGCUCACAUACGUGUGCGGUUUUUUUUUUCUUACUAUUGAAGGAUAAGGGCAGGAAUAGUGCAGACCUAGAACUAGAGACUUAGUCGUGCUUUGAAUAUCUCUUCUUUUAACCAAGUCUAUAGAAAUCAAGGUGAAUGUGAUUGAUCAAAGUUACCCCAGUAGUAUAAUUUUCUUACUAUUUCUUACUUCUUUGUUUUAUUCUUGUCAUAGAUUCUUAUCUUUCGCUCACACUCUCUAUGUAUUUGAAACUUUUUAUUUUGUCUAUGUAAAAAUAUGUCUGCCUACAGGAAAAGGAAAAUAUCAGAGGACAUAUCAGUUUACGUGGGGUAACGGGAACUGUUUGUGGUGGAGAGCUGGGUCAACACGGGCGGCAGACCGCUCGGGCUCGCUUUCGGACUUCACAAUGAAGUUGUCGUCGCUGAUGCCGAUAAGGUUGGUACACGUAGGAAAUGUUAAAUAUUUUUUUGUUAUUUGGUUGUUUCUCUUCAAUAUAUAUUUGGAUUAAAAACAUUAUAAUAGUUACGAUAAUCAAAGGUCUAAUAUCUAUAAUUGUUUAAAAAAGAAAUAAUUAGUUUGUUUAAUCUCAGCCAUUCAUUUUGGCCUAAUCUAAUGGUUGAAAACUUGAGUAAGAAUUACUUGUGUCAUGAUCCGCACUCGUAUCUAAAUGGGCUUGAAAAAAAAGUUUAUGUGACACCGCUGAUGAGCCCGACGAAUAAAUACAAAUGUAAUUUGUAAAUUACAAAUCCAAUAAUAUACUUAUAAAAAAUAUAAAUAUAUACGUAAAAAAAAAUAUAGGUAUAUUGUUUACCAAAAAAAUUUACAGAAAAAUAAGUACAUAAUAAUUUAUAGAAAAUAUAGAUACACAAUUAUUUAUAAUAAUAAAAAUAGGUACAAAAUAAUUUAUAGAAAAUAUAAAUACACAAUAAUUUAUAAUAAAAAUAAUAGGUAGAUUAUUAUCCAUGAAAAAUCUAGGUACAAGAAAUGAGAUCCAAGUUCUAAAAUCUGUAGGGAAAGAUGGAACAAAAUUUCAAAAAGGCAAUAAGGAAAACUGCAUUUUUUGGCCAAGACAUUGUUGAUUGUAUUGAUGAAUUUUAAUAAUAAAACGGAUAAUUAAUUGCAGACAAAAUUUUUAGAGGGAAUCACCACAAUAAAUUGGGAACCAAAAAUUAAAACACCACCCCAUUACACGUUGAAAUAUAAAUAGGGGUAUUUUGGCAACCAAAAAAUGAUAAUAAAUAAAAUAUUGAACUUAGUAAGGUAAUUUGAUCAAUUGGAUCUUAGUCAUUGGUUUUUACUUAUAAAAAUUGGGUAUUAUUUAUAGGAACAAAAAAUUAAGGGUUGCAGGUAAGAUAAGUUGAAUUUGAAGGGUGUAAGCCAAAUUUACAUUUUUUUUAAAAUUAUGAACAAAGAAACUUGUGACAUUUUUAGAAACUGGAAAAACUAAUAAUGUAAUCAGUGUAAAACUUGAACAUUAUUUUGAGAUAAUGUAUCUGCUUAAGAAAGACGGACCUUAUAUGAGGUAGGGUAUGGAUGCAAGUUGUGCAUAAUAAAAUGAAAUUUAUGGCAGGGCCUGCUGAAUGUAACAAGUGAGGGUGAGGUAAAGCUGCUGACUGACGAGGCUGAUGGUGCAAAAUUUGGAAUUACAGACGGUGUAGAUGUAGCUGUGGAUGAUACGAUUUAUUUCACAGAUGCUUCAUACAAGUACAACUUGACAGACGCUAUUUUGGACAUUUUGGAGGGUCAGUCUCAUAGUAGAUUCUUGAGCACAACCCAACAACCAAACAGACCAAAGUGCUGGUCCGUGACCUAUACUUUGCUAAUGGAAUGGUGGUUUCAGCCGACCAAAGUCACGUAAUCUUCUGCGAAACCCCCAAGUACGAUAUUAGUUCACCAUGUUAUAUAUUGUAAUCCGAACGUGUGAUUUAACGUAACAUGUUAGAUUGUGUGUUUUUGUGCGUGCUAGUCUUGGUACGGGAAAUUGUGUCAUCAUCAAUGUCUCACUAAAUCCACAUAUCCAUGGUGUACACAUGCAUGUGUGACGCUUGCACUUCUCCUACCACCCAUAUUCACCAAUCCUGGGAUGGUAGAGUACAAUAUACAAGUGAGCAAAAUUUAUAAAUAAUUGCUUGGCUAGCAUGCAGGAUUUGUACGCACCGCUUGUUCCUUCCUGACAUUUCGUUCGGAUUUUUCUGCCACAGUUAAUAAGAAGAUUGAAGGUUUUGUCACUAGCAUAGCAGGAAAUGACAUCGGUGGUUCAUACAUGCAUGCAAGCUAACUGGAAAUUAUUAAUGUAAGCGAAUCAUAACACAUCCACCAUGUAAGUAAAUCUCAUAACACAAAAUUGAGAGUCCACAAUCGUCUCGCACGUGUAUAGGCGUCGGAUGCUUUCAUAAGGUUUAGGGUUCAGUUUUUCAAAAUGUUGGGCCCGCUGGGCUCUAAGGCUCUAUACAAGUCCACAUAUUUAGGAUUAUAAGGAGGUAUAGCAUACACUGCCAAAUACUGAAUUUCAUACCACUUGCUUCUUCUUUCAUAUCCUCUAUUGACUUUCUGGGACGAGUUCAUCGGUACGUGACAAUGUCCAACUCAAGCGACUCACCUUCCCAAACCCAACCCUCUCAUCACACUCAUCCCAUUCCCACAACCAAACCGUCGUCGUCGUCUUCAUCAUCAUGGCCCUCAGCUUUUCUCAUCUUCUCAAUUCUGGUUCCACUGGCAAUAGCUCUGCUCAUCUACCAACUCGAUUCUCUCGACCCAGCUCCUCUCCCCCUCCACGAGUUGACUAAGCGAGUCGCGGCUGUCCCAACGCGUAAUGCCCACAUGCUCAAAGGGUCGGAGUUUGUGGGUGCUGGGGCUUUGGUGGCGCCCGAAGACGUGGCUUAUGACUCAAAGUCGGGGCUGAUUUACACGGGUUGUGCUGACGGGUGGGUCAAGCGAGUCACGCUGAACGAGUACGCUGCUGACUCGGUGGUGGAGAACUGGGUUUUCACCGGUGGGAGGCCACUUGGACUCGCUCACGGCCAUAAGAACGAGGUCUUUGUGGCUGACACAGAAAAGGUCAGCUCGAUCCUAAAUAUCAGCGCAUAUUAAAUUUGUUCGUGUUUAUUAUUUGGUCAAAGUUCAAGUACACAUGGAUUCUUACCCCCAAAAAAAUAAAGAGAAAAACAAAAACGUAACAAUGAGGGGGUUGGUUCAGUUGUUCGAUACACUGUGUGUAGCCUUAUUAGUGUUCGAGUUCCGCUGUUAUAUCAAUAAUCCUAAUUAGUGCUCAGUUUGUAAUUUUCUAUAUAAAUCCAUAUCAAUGACAAUUUAUAAUUAGAUGCCUCCGAUUCGAGAUUACAGAUAUAUCCUGAUACCGAUGGUGAAAGUAUAAUCAAUCUCCCCGUAAACUUUUCAUAACUAAAAACAAAAACGUACAAAAAUUGGUCACCCGUGAAUUAUUAACUAAAUUUAAUCAAUGCUCAUGUUGGUUUUAGUUUCAUACAACAUGCAGGUAGGUCCCGCUGCUACGGUUUACGCAUGGAGAACAAUUUGUAACCUAUCAGUACUGUCACGUUACUUAGACAUAUAACCUGACAUGAAUUUUUCUGAGAGUAGGGUCUUAUGAACAAAACUCGUAUAGGAACUUGCUUCUCACUGACAAAACUCGUAGGGUCUUAUGUAACGCUUGUUAUGAUUUAACUAGAUAGUCCAUUUCAUGUCACCUAAGUUUUCUACAGUUUCACAACAUGCAUAAAAGUAAGUCCUGAUCUCAUGUGCAUAUUGUAAGAGGGAGGUGGCCUCAUAAUUAUAUCAUUUUUUUUUUUUGGUUAUUAUUUUUUUUUUCAAUCAGGGGCUAUUGAAGAUAAGUGAGGACGGAACAGUAGAACUGUUGACAGAUGAGGCCGAGGGUGUAAAAUUCAAGCUAACGGACUGCGUAGAUGUAGCACAAAAUGGCAUGCUUUACUUCACGGAUGCUUCACACAAAUACAGCUUAAAAGACUUCAUCUCGGAUAUUUUAGGGGGCAGACCCCAUGGCAGAUUGAUGAGCUACAACCCAACAACCAAAGAGACCAAAGUUCUGGUCCACAACCUCUACUUUGCCAACGGAGUAGCAGUCUCUCCAGAUCAAAACUUCGUUGUGUUCUGUGAAACUGUCAUGUAAGUUCUUAGAACUUAAAGACUUCUGUUUUUUUCUGUGAAUCUGAAAGUAUGGACAAAGUUUUUUACUGCCUUAAAUGGUUAAUAUUGCAGGAGAAGGUGUAGAAAAUACUAUCUACAAGGCAGUAAAAAAGGGAGUGUAGAAAAUUUUAUUGACCAUUUGCCAGGCAUGCCUGAUAAUAUCAGAUAUGAUGGGGAAGGCCAGUACUGGAUUGCUUUGGCUACGGUGAUCUUCAUUUUCUCUCUGUUUUCUGAAAAAUCACAUCAGUUGUUCUGUUUUGAAUGGAACAAGGAUGCAUUUUUUUUCAUGGUUUGUUGACAUUUUGUAUGCCAAAUUGGCAGGAGGUUACACCAUACUGGGAUCUAGCACUUAGAUAUCCUUUUAUUCGAAAGGUUCUGGCAAUCGUGAAGCGGUAUGCAGCAGGCAGACCGCAUAUGGAGAAGAAUGCUGGUGUGUUGGCUGUGAAUUUGAAUGGGGAACCUACUGCUCACUAUUCUGAUCCUGAGUUGUUUCUCAUUUCAAGUGGGAUCAAGAUUGGAAAUUACCUCUACUGCGGUUCGAUUGUUAAUCCCUACAUUAUCCGCCUUGAUGUCCAUCAACAUCCUGCACAUCCCACUACAUGAGCUAUGGUGUACUAUUUCCUGCUUCCUUGAUAUAAUUUGCAACAAACAUGCAAUGCUAGUGUAGCUUCAUUGGAGAACCUUAAGCAUACAUAGAUGCAAUGGUAUAGCUUGGUUUAUUAAAUUUUUCCUUUCGUACAAUAGAUAAGGAGCCAACAAGUUACCUUCCAAUUACACUUGUCACAGCUUGUUCAAGAGAGGCUCCCCGAGGCCUUUGCUUUUUCUCUGAGAAUAAAUUUCUGUACCUUUCCGGUUGCAGUUUCUGAUAUAUCAUCAAAAAUUACUGUCCGAGGAGCCAUAUAAUGAGGCAAAUUAUCAGGGCAGAAUUCGAUUAGGUUUUUAGCAUUCAGAUGAUCAAAUCCCUCCUUCAAUUUCACAAAUGCACAAGGAGUCUACCCCCAAUGGUUAUCUGGGCGUGCAACAACUGCAGCCUCAAGAACUGCUGGAUGGCUAAACAAAACUGUUUCCACCUCAACUGUACUUAUGUUCUCUCCCCCGUAUAUGAUUAUAUCUUUCAACCGGUCCUUCACUUCGAUCAAUGUAAUUAUCUGGAUGUUUCACAGCUAGAUCCCCGCUCCCCAACCAUCCACUCAUAACAGUGUUUCCCCUUAACAUAAUCUCACCCACUGUAUUACCAUCAGGUGUUACACUUUCCAUAGUGACAGGAUCUUUUAUGUCAACCUCUUCCAAACCAAGAUGCUGCACCCCUUGUCGAGCUUUAAGCUUUGAUCCUUCAAUGGAAGGCAGAGAAUCCCACUCUGGUUUCAAUGAGCAAUAAGUCCCUGGACCAUAAGAUUCUGUUAGACCAUACAAUUGAUUUACUCCAAACCCCAAUUCUUCCAUCCUGAAAACGAUCUGUGGCAUGGGUGGUGAACCACCCGUCAUUAUUUCCACCUUGCGAGGAAGUGGCCUCCAGUCACUGACCGGUGAAUUAACAAUCAUGUUCAAGACAGUUGGUGCCCCUCCCAUGUGUGUGACAUUGUAUUGAACUAUGUUGUCAAAUAUGUGUUUUGGAUUGACUUUCCUGAGGCAGAUGUUAGUUCCACCCUGAGCAGCCACCCCCCAAGUGAGGCACCACCCAUUGCAGUGAAACAUAGACACUGUCCAUAGAUAAACAGGCAUUGAGCCUAUUCCAUGAAGCAGAACCGUAGACAACGCGUUAAGAUAAGCACCCCGGUACUGUAAACAACCCCUUUUGGCCUGGGUGUUGUGCCGGAGGUAUAAUUUACACUGAUAGGAUCCCAUUCACUCCUUGGCCUUCUUAUCUCAAAUCCACCAUCUCCUGUUUCAAGAAGACUCCCAUAUUCAUAGGUGUUUGAAGUGCAUAUGGUGGGAGAUGUAUCAGAUGACCCCUCGGAAACAGCAAUUAAAACAAGAAUAGGUGGUUUUGUAUCUGUUUUUUGGGUGAGAAGAUCAAGUGUUCCUUGGGCAAUUUCAAGUAACUGGUAGUCUACAAAGACGAUUCUCGCCUCGGAAUGACUCAGCAGCAGGACAGAUAACAUAGCUGAAUCAAGGCGUGCAUUUAGUGUCCAAAGAACUGCCCCUGUCAUUGGAACUGCAAAAUGCAGCUCAUGCGUGGCUGGGACAUUGGGGGCCAAGGUUGCAGCCUGGUUCAACAAUGGAAAUGCUCGAACAUGAGAACAGGCUUCAUCUGCAAUAUCAUUUGACUAAUAAUGUAACAUAAUAGAUGAGCAAAUCAAAUAAUAAAAAAUUUAAGUAUGAUUUUGAGGUAUCUGUUAAGGAAACAUGAUAUUCUGAAAUGGGAAAAAUAUAAUAUUUUAAACGUAUAGCCGUACGGCUAUACUCCAUAAAUAUAAUGUAUAGCCGCGAGGCUAUAUAGAUUAUUUUAACAGUAUAGCCGCGCGGCUAUACCCUUUAAGUAGCAUAAUAUGGUUUUCUCUUUUUUAAUUACUUUGAUUAGUAGUUAUAUUUUAAUUAUUAUUUAGUUAAUGAAUAUUAUAGGGAAAAAUAGAAAAAUUAAUUACUAUUUAUUAAGUGAUAUAAUUCAUGAAGUUAAUUAAAAUAUUGAAUACUAAUUAUUCACUAUAGAAAUAAUAAUUAAAAUAUAAUUACUAAUUUAACUAAUUAAAUAAGGUAAAUAUAUUAUUUAAAUACUAAAAUUAAAAAUAAAAAAAUUAAUUAACCUAAACAUUUAAGCUUAUAUUUAUUUUAAAUAAAUAAAUACAAAAACCUUCCCCACGAAAUUUCGUCGUCACAUGUCUAUCCUAGCAAAACUUGUUGUAUUCGACCUUUCCUGACGAAAUUGUAGUAUAGCCGCUUGGCUAUACUGUUUAAUAAAAAUAUUUAUGAAAAGAGGACCCUCCUAGUUGCAUUAGUUUAUAUUUUAUAGAUAUUAAUUUGGUCACUUUAUAACAUUUUACUAUAAUUUAUUUAAAUAAAAAUGAAAAAACCUGUAUAGCCAAGCAGAUAUACAAAUUCUUUUUUUUAAAAAAAAUUAGAAAAAAUCAAGUACCGCUCGGCGGCUAUACUAUUUCUUUUUUUUUUAAAAAAAACUGAGUUCCUUCGGGCGGCUAUACUAUUUCUUUUUGAAAAAUUAAAAAACAAUAUAGCCUGCUAUACUAUUUCUUUUAAAAGGUUGAAAAAACCGAGUAUCGGGGCCAGGCUAUACUGUUUCGUUUUUAAAAAUAAAAUAAAAGGAGUAUAGCUAAUAGGCUAUUUAUUUUGAAAAAAAUUGAAAAAACCGAGUAUAGCCACGCGGCCAUACGAUUUCUUUUUUAAAAUUCAAAAACAAAGUAUAGCCGAUCGGCGAUAUUAUUUCUUCAACAAAAAAAAAAUUUGGAAAACGGAGUAUAGCCUGACGGCUAUACUAUUUCUCUGAAAAAUUUGGAAAAAGCCGAGUAUAGCCUCCCGGUUUUACUAUUUCUUUACAAAAAGGUUAAAAAAAACAGAGUAUAGCCGCGCGGCUAUACGAUUUCUUCAAAAAAAACAUAUUAUAGCUCGGCGACUAUACUAUUUCUUUAUAAUAAAAAAUUAGAAAAAAAGUGUAUAGCCGCGCGGCUAUAAAUUUUCUUCGGGAGAUUUUUUUUUUAAACUUACUUUAUUUUAAAAAUAUAUAACUAGUUUCUUUACUUUUGUUUUUUGGCCAACUUCUUUACUUUAAUAUAUGUAGUUAAGUAAUAUCUUAGUUUUUUUUAAUUACUUUAGUUAGUAAUUAUGUUUAAAUUAUUAUUUGUUGAGUGAAUAUUUAAAUAUUUUACUGAUUUAAGGAAAUAUGACAAAAGGCACCUAAUAAGAUAAGUUAUACUCUGUUCUUUAUACACAUGCAACACACACAAACAAGGCAUACCCUAAGCGCACACAACUGAUUGAAUUUGGAGCCUGCUUCAGCAGAUAACUGAUGUUCAAUAGCCAUCUGCCCGCCCAUAUCCUGCACUGCACACGAUGCCAUGUAUAUAUAUAUAUUAGUAGCAGCAAUGUUUCGAAAAAUGGCUAGGCGGUAGACUGGCGGCAGGCAGGGGCCUAGCGCCUAGAGGAGUAAUCGCUGCUUAGGCGGGUGCCUAGGUGUUUAUUUUUUUUAUAAUUAUUUUGUAUUAUAAAUUUAUGCCAAAAUCUUGCAAAAUAAAAGGAUAUAUAAAUUAUAAAGUACUAUAAUUGAUAUAAAACAUGGCGAAAACCUAGGAGGCGACGGCUCAAAGGAGAGAGAGGCAUAAACAUCAUUAUGUCAUUAAAUCUUCAAGAUUCCUACCAUAGCUCUUAAAACUAUCAUCGUUUGCAGUCUUAAACUUUUUUACUUUUUUUUUUUUUUUUUUUUCCCAUUUAACUAGGUUAAUUGACUUACAUUUAAAUAAUAAUUGGUACCAUCAACUAGGUUAAUCCAAUUAUCCCUACAUUAUCCUCCUCGAUCUCCAUCAACAUCACGCACAUCCCACUACAUGAGGUAUAGUGUGUACUAUUUCCUGUUUUUCGAUAUAAUUUGCAACAAAAAUGCAAUGGUAGUGUAGCUUCAUUAGAGAACCUUAAGCAUAGAUAGAUGCAAGGGUUUAGCUUGGUAUAUUUAAUUUUUGCCUUGCUUAUAAUAUAAGGAGCCAACAAGUUACCUUCCACUUGUUACAGCUUGUUCAAGAGAGGCUCCCCAAGGCCUUUGCUUUUUCUCUGAGAAUAAAUUUCUGUAUCUUUCCAGUUGCAGUUUUUGGUAUAUCAUCGAGAAUUACUGUCCGGGGAGCCAUAUAAUGAGGCAAGUUAUCCCGGCAGAAUUCGAUUAGGUCUUGAGCUUUGAGAUGAUCAAAUCCCUCCUUCAAUUUCACAAAUGCACAAGGAGUCUGCCCCCAAUGGUUAUCUGGGCGUGCAACAACUGCAGCCUCAAGAACUGCUGGAUGGCUAAAAAAAACUGUUUCCACCUCAACUGUACUUAUGUUCUCUCCCCCAGAUAUGAUUAUAUCUUUCAAGCGGUCCUUCACUUCGAUGUAGUUAUCGGGAUGUUUCACAGCUAAAUCCCCACUUCGAAACCAUCCACCUCUAAAAGCUUCCUUUGUUGCUUUCAAGUCUUUAAGAUAACCACUCAUGACAGUGUUUCCCCUGAACAUAAUCUCACCCAUUGUUUUACCAUCAGGUGUUACACUUUCCAUAGUGACAGGAUCUUUUAUGUCAACCUCUUCUAAACCAAGAUGCUGCACCCCUUGUCGAGCUUUAAGCUUUGAUCUUUCGUUGGAAGGCAGAGAAUCCCACUCUGGUUUCCAUGAGCAAUAAGUCCCUGGACCAUAAGUUUCUGUUAGACCAUACAAGUGAUUUACUCCAAACCCCAGUUCUUCCAUCUUGAAAAGGAUUUGUGGUGGGGGUGGUGAACCACCCGUCAUUAUUUCCACCUUGCGAGGAAGUGGCCUCUGGUCACUGACCAGUGAAUUAACAAUCAUGUUCAAGACAGUUGGUGCCCCUCCCAUGUGUGUGACAUUGUAUUGAACUAUGUUGUCAAAUAUGUAUUUUGGAUUGACUUUUCUGAGGCAUAUGUUAGUGCCACCCUGAGCAGCCACCCCCCAAGUGAGGCACCACCCAUUGCAGUGAAACAUAGGCACAGUCCAUAGAUAAACAGGCAUUGAGCCUAUUCCAUGAAGCAGAACCGUAGACAAUGCGUUAAGAUAAGCGCCCCGGUGACUAUAAACAACCCCUUUCGGCCUGGAUGUUGUGCCGGAGGUAUAAUUUACACUGAUAGGAUCCCAUUCACUCCUUGGCCUUCUUAUCUCAAAUCCACAAUUUCCAGUUUCCAGAAGACUUUCAUAUUCAUAGGUGUGUGAAGUGCAUAUGGUGGGAGAUGUGCUAGACGACCCAUCAGAGUCAGCAAUUAAAACAAGAAUAGGUGGUUUUGAAUCUGUUUUUUGGGUGAGAAGAUCAAGUGCUCCUUGGGCAAUUUCAAGUAACUGGUAGUCUACAAAGACGAUUUUCGCCUCGGAAUGACUCAGCAGGACAGAUAUCAUAGCUGAAUCAAGGCGUGCAUUUAGUGUACAAAGAACUCCCCCUGCCAUUGGAACUGCAAAAUGCAGCUCAUACAUGGCUGGGACAUUAGGAGCCAAGGUUGCAACCUGGUUCAACAAUGCAAAUGCUCAAACAUGAAAACAGGCUUCAUCCGCAACUUCUUUGACUAAUAAUUUAACAUAAUAAAUACGAAAAUUAAAUCAAAAUUUUAUGUACGAUUUUGAGGUAUCUGUCAAGAAAACAUGAUUAUUCUGAAAUGGGAAAAACUGAAGAAACAUGAAACAAUUAAGCAGCACAGAAAGCAGUGAAUUAAAGAAGCCAAAAAAAAACAUGAAGAGAAAAAAACCAACUCACCACAUCACCAGGGGAAAUUCCCAACUGGGUUAAAGCAGAAGCUAGUUUCAGACAGCGUUCAUGAGUUUGAGCCCAGGUAUAUUUCAGACAUCCAUAGACCAGUGAGGUCCUGUCUGUGUAGGCCUUUGCAGCUCGCUCCAAGAACACUAUUGGAGAUAAAGGAACAUGGUUGGCUGGGCACCGAACAAGGCCCUCCAUAGAUUUCCAUGACUCUGGCUCAAAAUUAUUCCCAGAGAAGUGAGAGCAGAAACGAUAAUAAUGAACAACACCAGGACGAAAAUGAUAAGGACUGAUGACAGAAGCCAAGCGAGUGAACGAGUUCUUGACCAAGUGGUUCAUGGUCUUGACGGAGAUGACAAGGGGAUUUCUGAAAAUUCUGUGUCUCUAUGAAUAUUGGAUAAUUGGAUUGUCUACGAGAACGUUAGUUGGUCAGAAGAAGUGGUUUGUUAGUACCGAUUCCUAGGCUGGUAGCUGACACUGAAAAGAUAACUACUAGGGGUAAAUUUCAUGUUGGUGCCAUGCUAAUCUUGCCACAUAUGGUAACAAUGUUUAUUUUGCUAGACUGGCAUGAGGCCAGGCAACAUUAGAUUUGGUAACAACAUUAUUUUAGCCGUUAGAUGGAUGAAUUCAUUCGUAUUCUAUUAUGAUAUAGGUUAAUUUCGAUUUAAUGGAUAGUGAAAGCAUGAUGAAUUCACCCUAUUCUAUUAUAAUUUAUAGUAUAAAUUAAUUUGAUUCAUUCAUUGGAUUGUGUAAGGUUGAUGCACCCUUGAUCGAUACUUUAGAUAAAAAAAUUAUAUUUUAUAUUGUUUGAUUGUUUUUUUUAUAAGAGAACCUUAUCAUGUAGCAAAAGACGUGUGUUUUGGAUUUCAAGUUAAAAGUCUCUAGAUAGCUGAUAAAGACUGCUUGGCCGGAUUUGACUAAUGGACACGGGAUAUGGUUAUUUUCAAUGGAAAGGAGUUAUAAAUAACUUGGCAACACAAAUGGACUUUAAUUAUAUAAUAUAAUAUGGGUUCGUUUGGAGAAAAAUUUGCAUGUAACGGAAAUGCCACCGUACUGAUAUUUCAAACUUAUACAAAUUACCAUAUGUUUUAACUUUUCAACAUGAAAAUGGGUGAUAUACUUGGAAUAUUAUUAUGAUAUAUGGGCAUACAAAAAAUUCAUACUUUUUUAGAUAUAGAAGCCAAUCUUAUCACUACAUUCUCUCAAUAAAGAAAUAAAUAAUAACAACUAUUGCAUUAUUGCUAUGCUAUGAGAACCAGUUGGACGUUUUAAUGUUAGGCCAAUUUUCUUCUAUUUUAUUGGCCCCAUGGCUUCAAACAUUUAUCAGCCCAGCACCUUACCAGCACACUUGAUGCAGCAAGCCUAGUGAACCCAACAACAAGAGCCUACGGUCCAACUAUAGCCCAGCCCCAUUUUGGCGGCCUCCUCAAAAAACCCCAGGCGUAAAAUGGGCCAAAGAUCAACUACAGCCCAGCCCAUUGCAGAAACCCUUCUCUAUAAACUCAAAAAUUGAUGCUGCGACUGCGUGUAUGCACAAGUUCAAAAGCCUUUGUUCCUGGUUCAUGGUGAAUUCAAUUUUCAAUGUACACAAUUGAACCCCAAUAAAAAAUGGACCAGUGUGUUGGUAAAGUUUAUGAACAGAGUAGGAAUGAGCAUAAACUUGAUCAGGAUUUUGUAUGAAAAAAACACCAGAGAUCAGUGUUGUUCAUCUUUGAGAAUUAUUAUGAAACAAAAUUUGUGAAUAAUAUCUAAAGGCAAUCAAAGAAUUAUGUUAAAAAUGUUGGAAAAUUUCUGGGGGGUAACACUCCCCCCUUGCCAAAUCCAAAAAUUCUAUGGGAUGAACAGUAGUAGCUCGAGAAUACCUUCUCUUCUCUGUCAUUCUAGGGCAGCAAUGACUCCAUCAACAACCUCUUGGGUGGUGCUUUGUCCUCCGAGGUCUUUUGUCCUGCAUUUACCCUCUAAUAUGACUCGCGCCACGGCAGUUUCUAGUCGAUCAGCAAAGGAAGGAAACUGCAGAUGUCUCAACAUCAUGGCGGAUGAGAGAAGCAGGGCCACUGGGUUUGCUUUCUUUUUAUCCAAUAUUUUCUGAUUUCCCACGUUCCCUGCAGAAGCGCCUUGCUCGAAAAUAGCAUGAUCAGCCCCAACAUUGCCUGCAGGCAAAACACCAGAACCAUCAUUGUUAAUUUCCAACAAGAAACACAUUGUUCAAAAAUGGAUCAGGUUUCUUUUUACCUAUAAUUUUUCAUUUGAAAGGGGCAUUGCUGACAGUAUUAUAAAGAAGACCGUGAAUGGAAUAUAAAUCAAACAGUUGAAUUGAUAUACCUCCUGGCAUGACACCAGUGCCUCCAGCAAUACCAGCUGCUGUAUUUGCAACUAGAUUACCAUAAAGAUUUGGUGUAACCUGCAAAAUGCAAAUCAGCCUGCGUCAGCUGCAAAACUCACUUUGCCUCUUUGAUUUAUAAAAUAAAAACAAAAAACUGAGAUAGUUCGACCCAGUAGAAUUGUUAAAAGCAACAAUCUUUCAAGAAGAGCAAGAAAACUCACACUGCACUGGUUUUAAUUUUACUCAUCUUCUCAAACUCCCUUACUUUCUACAAUUCAAUAAUUUUUUCCUAAGAAUCUAGAAGGUACAAUGCUCCAACACAAUCAGGUUUUGCUUAACAGAAAGAUUACAGCAAAAAGAAUUUAACUUCCUAACCAAGGAAAUAUUCAUGGUAAUCCAUAGUUUUUUCUCUGACGGAAUCAAAGCUUCAGGAAUCUUCUAACCCUCAUAAGAGAUGCCUCAUCAUUUCUGAGGCAUCCUAGGCUGCUCAAAAGUGCUCAACCAACAGAAGGUCCAGUCCUACUGUCCCACACAAUAAUGGUAAGAGAUGCAGCAUACUUUCUUUAUCCAAUCUGUACAGUAAUAGCCUAUCUUUACCAUGUGGGGUUCCAUUUUUCUAAUAAUAAACGAACAAUUUGCUUAUAACGACCAGAUUCACUGAAUGUAAUUGGCAUACCAUGACAUCAAAUUGCUCAGGCUUCGAAACAAGUUGCAUGCAACAGUUGUCCACAAUUAUUUCCUUGUAGUCAAUCCCAGGAUACUUUGUGGCCACCUCACGACAAGACUCUAAGAACAGGCCAUCUCCAAGCUUCAUAAUGUUUGCUUUGUGCACAGCAGUCACCUUCUUUCUGUUGUUUAGGUAAGCGUACUCAAAAGCAUAUUUAGCAAUGCGCUCUGAACAGAACUUUGUGAUCACCUAGCAAAAGAGUAGGUAUAAGUGACAAAAAUAUCCCCAACACUAUGCAAUAUGGAGAGGAUAACAAGAAACAUUCCUUCAAAUUGCAAGAAAUGUAAGGGAAAAGUUUAUAAGCAGAAAAAGAAACCCAUCAAACAAAGUGAUACUCCUGCUACAAUUACUAGAUCACUUUCUAUAGAUUGAAUGCUAAAAUAUCACAAACUCAAUCAACAUACAACCACUUAACAGCACUUGCAAUUGAAGAACAAACAUUUCCUGCAAUGAACAUAUCACAAUCUUCCAUGCAUUCGAGAAUAUUUUGCGUGUCAUCCUCACAUAUGGCCUCACUCCCACGACACGCAUGCCGGUCCCAGUGCCAUCUAAAAGUGGGUCCCACGUACAUGUUGAACAGAGGGAGGUCAUAUACAACAGUCACAUGCAAUGGUUCCCAUAGUGUGGGACCGCAUAGGUCAGUCAGUGCAAUCUUUUUUUUUUUUUUGGUCAACAGUCAGUGCAAUCUUAACAAUGAAUUAUAAGAGAGAAUAAUUUCAAUCACUACCGUAGGACCAUUGCCAAACAUGUGUCAUGUGUCACAUUUUCUCACUUUUUUAAAUAAAUGCAAUCAGAAUGUUAAACAUAGUUAAUUACCAUGUACUGAAUAUGAUUACCCUAUACUUAACCUUAAACAAAUUCAAUUCCACAUGAUUAAACUAGAAAACGACAAAACCCAAUCAAUAAUCAAACAAUAAACCAAAUAACAACAAAAACCCAAACAGUAUUAUUCAAACAUUAAGAAAUCUAAAAAUCCAAACAGAAUUUGAUAUAUAUACCUUAAGGCUUUCAACGACGCCAGGAACAACCUCAUGCUCGAGCCCCGAGUACUCGCCCUCCGUAUUCUCCCUAAUCACAACAAUGUCGACGUUCUCAUGCUUAGUGACGAGGCCCGGCAGAUUGACGCAGUUGACGAGCGAAGCGUAGAGAUCGAGCUCUUUCCUCAGCUGCAAAUUGAGCGAGCUCACGCCGCCGCCCAUGGGCGUCGCGAGCCCUCCCUUCAAGCACACCUUGUUCUUCUUGAUCGACUCGAUCACCUCGUUUGGAACCUUCGGCAUGUCGCCGUGGACCUCGAAGGUCUCGAAGUAUACCGGCGCGUGCAUUGCGUCCAUGACCUGCUCGACGGCGUUGGUCACCAGGGGACCGAUGCCGUCUCCGGGAAUUAGGGUUACGGCGCGGGGGGCGCCGUCGCCGGGUCGGGGCAUGUAGGUGACGGAUCGUGUAGGGUUGGCGGGGGCGAGGGUCGGGGUGGUUGGUUUGGUGAGAAGGUGGCGGAGGAUGGGUACGGAUCUUCGGGCCAUGGCGGUUAGGGUCCGAUUGGGAUUUUGGACUUUUCGGGAGAGUAGGGCUUGUUUGGGGGACCGGUGAUUUGAUGUUGAUGUUCACGCUUAUGCGAUCCGAGAAGACAUUUGCGGAGAAAAGACGCCGAAUCAGAAGAGAGAGAGAGAGAGAGAGAGAGAGAGAGAGAGAGACUGACUGGAAUGUGAAGAUUCUCAAGAACAUUAACUUUUUAUUUUUAUUUAUUGAAAAUUUUAUUGUUUGAGUGAAAGUGAUAAAAAGCUUGGUGGGCCAGAAAUGGUAAGGACCGUCCAGGGCUCUAUGAAUGGUGGGCCCCGGUGGGGAACAGUUGGACUGCAUGCAGAGCCCACAAUUAGAAAAAGCAGCGGCAGAGCAGUGCGCGGGAAAAAGGUGCCAUUUUUCCGGAGAUUAUUUGUUUGACCAAAAAAAAAGGAGGUCGACGAGAUUAAUAAACAUAAAGACAUUCCACUUUAAAGCUUUUUAAUAUGUUAAUCAGGGCGUGUUCGUGCGGGUUUCUAUGUCAUACAACAGAUUUAGAGGUCAACAAAUUCAUAUUGUAGUAUGGUCAAAUAAGUCCGUUGUUUUUCAAAGAUUAUAAACUUAUAGAAACGAUUAGAAUUUCACCAUAUGCAGAUUACAUUUUAAAGAAAGUUAAGUUUUUUAUUUAAAAAUAAAUUGACAAUAAAAAAAUAACUCAACUUUUUAUAAACACGCAUACAAGAUUCUUUACACGUGAGGAUGUAAACCUUACAAAUUUCACCAUAUUUACUAGAUGGCUCUACAAAUUUGCACCACAGAAUUGUUCACCACUACCCUCAAUCAUUACAUAUAUUAUAUAUAUACCUGUAAAAGUUAGGGGUGGGCAUUUGAACCGCAAAACCGCAAAACCGAACCAAACCAAUCCGGAAAAAACCGAAAAAAACCGUGUUGACCAAAAAAGUCAAAAACCGAGAAAAAUCCAAACCGAACCGGUUCAGACCGGUUCCGGUUCCGGUUUUCCAUCCUAAGGAACCGGUCCAAUCCGAACCGGUCCAAUAGAAUUAAUUUAUAUAUUUUUUAAAUAUUAUAUAUAUUUAUAUUUGAAAUUAUAUAUAUUUUCAUACCUGUCAAAUUUUGAUUGGGUGUGUAUGCUGCUACCAUAGGUAGCGCACACACAGGAUUACACCAAAUUCAGAUUGGGUUUUUUCAUUCUUCGUUCUUUCCUCUCCUUCCCAUUUAGUUUCAUACUCACUCAGCCAGCCGCCAGCCAGCCGCCAGCCACCGAUUCCAAACCUCUCUCUCAACCAGCACGUCACAGUCACACCCCUCUCUGCCGCCGCUCUUCUCUUAGCCUCUCAGUCGUUGCAUUGCAGGUCAGAUUCUCUCUCUAUCUCUCUCCUUUUUUUUUUUCUUUCCCCAAUUCAAUUUUCUGACUCUCUCUGGCAUGGCUGUGAAGGCCAGGUUUAGGUCUUCCAAGGGUGGUGCUGGGGUCUUGGAGCGCCCAAAGUUUGACCAAUCCCAAUUUGACCCUGCUACCCAGCUUGAACAAGGUACCUACUUUAUCAUUUAUCCUUCAACUGUCUUGAUUUUUCUCAUCUGGGAUUUUUGUUUUGUAUUCAAUAGUUGAGAUUUGUUAUGAAAAGGGGGAGAAAAACAUAUUAGAAAACCCAAUUGCAAUGUAGCAUUGUACUGUACUAUUCUUCUGCCUUAUUUAAUGUUGAAAUUACAGGAGGAGAUAUUGGACGACUCAAGGACAAGAGAGGUAUUGGGAGUAGGGAUAGUUACAGAGUUUUGCUGGUUGAUGAUGUUCGCCACACUGAGAAAUUAGGUAAUUUCCUUUUCCUACAUAUACAUGACAUUGAUAUAUACAACUCUACCAGACUUUUUUUACUGCAAGACUUAAUGUACUCUUUGGUUUGGAAACAGUUUAUAAUUUAGUAGAUUUAUUUGGCAAAUUUAUUAAUGCAAUUGUUUAUUUUUUACAAUUGUACUAAUCCAAUUCAAUUUGGCAAAUUUUCGAAGUUGGCAUUAUUCUGCAGAAAAUAGAAAACUCUGCAGCCUAGUCUAUUUUGGAUUUAGUCUUUGACUGGCUUCCUUAACUCGGAAUUCGAUGAAUUUUUGAUAUGUUGAAGUUUUAUAUGUCUACGUGUGAUCUGGAAAUGUUCACACCAUUUUGAAUCAAAAUGGAUUUUUAAUGAUUUCCCAAAGGCAUAGUGUUCCUGCCUAAAUUGUUUAACAAAACUGAAGUUUCUGUUUUUAAUGGAAGUCUUUGAUUUUUUUUAUUAGUCCAGAGCAGAAUCAUGAUCAGAGGCUUUUCUAAGAGAUAGAAUUGUCCUAAGAAAUGGAUAUAUUGGUUUAACAAACCCAACAAGUGGAAGUGGGUUGUAAAUCAAAGUGUUAAUGUGAGUAUGUUGAUCCUUUGAUUUUUUUUAUGUAGAUAUUAUGAGUUCAUCCACACCUAGCACCAUAGCUCCAACUACUUUUCAAUGUUAGGAGGAAUUUAAUUUGGGUUGUAAUGUAUAUUUGGUUGAAUUUGGGUUGUAUUUGGCUAGUAAUUUAUUUUGGAACUUAUUUUGUUGAAGUUUGAUUUAAUUUGGGUUGUAAUUUAUAUGUUGAAGUUGGAUUGAAUUUGGAUUGUAUUUUUGUUGAAGUUGGAUUCAUUUUGAUGAUGUUGAAGUUGGAUUGAAUUUUUGUUGAAGUUGGAUUCAUUUGAAUUUGGAUUGUAUUUUUGUUGAAGUUGGAUUCAUUUUGAUGAUGUUGAAGUUGGAUUGAAUUUUUGUUUAAGUUGGAUUCAUUUGAAUUUGGAUUGUAUUUUUGUUGAAGUUGGAUUCAUUUUGAUGUGUUGAAAGCUUGAUGGAACCUCAAAUUUGGGGUAUGUUAGUAUAUAAAUACAUUUUGGGCAGAUUUGUUAAAUUUUAAAUUAUAAAAAAAAAAAAAAAAAAAAAAAACCGGAACCGCAGGAACCGAACCGGAACCGGACAGGUCUGGUUUGGUUCGGAUUUCUGUAUGGAUGUUGAGCAGAACCGGUCCAAACCGAACCGGUCUGCACUAUCGGAUCAGGUUCUAUUUUUUCCCCGAAACCGAUCCAAACCGAACCGUGCCCAGCCCUAGUAAAAGUUGUGUUUUUUUAUAAAAAAAAAAUGAAAGCUACUCAGUUCACUUUUGUUUUAAAUAUUAAAUUGAAGGCAGGACCAUUGCCUAUGUUCUAUUUUGGUCAAGCUCUGGUUGAGAUUCUUCUUGGUCAUAGAAAUCUUCAAUAUUUGUCCACUUACAAUAAUAUAAUAUGAACCCUCCAUUUCUUCUCUCUCUCUCUCUCUCUCUCUCUCUCUGUAUAUCUAAAGUUAUUGUUGUUUUUUUUACUGCUCCCUGGAUAUUGUUUCAUUGGCAUACAAUUGUUGGAGAAAUGAACCCAUCAACCCAACAAAUGGAAAAAGUGUGAGUCGGAUGUGCAUCAGCUAACGUGUAAUUUUCUAAUGAAUCCCAGAUGCCAAAGAUGCCAUUGUCUUCUUGUAAUAAUCCUAGAUGUCUUGAAUAAAAUUCUGAAUGAUUGGAAGAGCAAUGAUUAGUUAUACAAUAUGGUUGGAGUUGGGAGGGAAGGGAAAGGCCAUACAAAAAUGAAUGGAGGAAUGUCUCUGGCCGAGUACAUGACCACAUUCAAUCUCAAAUGUCCCAAUCCAAUCCUCCUAUCAUACGGGUGGCUUUUUUCUUUUUGUGGGCUUUCAUUUCACGUGCCUACAGUAACACUAGUAAAGUAACUCACUAAGUCACUUGCACCUUCCUCAUCUCCUUUGUCAGCUUCUGCACCCUUUGCGGCGAAGGACACUUUAUCCGUGCGCACUUGCGGUGCUCAUUUUGGAUGGAGCAAAAUUCAUGAGGCGAUGGCAAGUCUGGUUAUGAUUAUUAAGAGACUGAUUAACCCCUUAAUUUAUAAUUAGAUAGAUGAUACAUUAGCAGCAAAUGUAUCAUAUGUCUAUUAAUUAUAGUCAAAUGUGCAACAAUGCUAAUUUUGAUGUUCAAAUUUCAUCACGCUUCUUUGGUUUAUUGGUUAGGAUGGAUUUUUCAUACAAGUAAUAAUCAAAGGGUUUAAUAAAUUGGUGUGCUUUCUAAAAGUUAGUGCGUAAAAUACAAAAAUAAUGCAUCGAGUUGUGAUUAAUCUAUAACUUAAUAAAAUAUAAUAAAUUUAUUCAUCGAUCAAACAGCUACAAAUUAUAUUCGAAUACAAUACGAAUUGCUAUUCCGAAUAAAUUUCAUGAAUCAUUAAUUUUUAACAUAAAAUAAAAAAUCAUAACACCAUGCUGGGAUAACAUGCACGUCCCAUCGAGUUACAUAUGUCGUAGACGUAUUUUGUCUUAAGUUGUUCGACCCACCUCAAUCAAUUUUAGAAAAGCAUUGUUGAUCAAUGAAUGCAUAAGAUAGAGACGAUAUGCAUAAGACCCCCCUCUCAUUCCUUCCAUUAUUGAAGCAGUAAACGUACAUUUAACAUGAUCAUGCGAUGUCUUCCUAAUUGCAUUAGCUGAUGAGCAGGUAGCUUGUCCUAAUUAAACAGGGAUGAAGUCAAUCAGGUUAAUUAAGUGGGUUAAGAGAGAUCGACUUAAGUCUAACUCAUAUACCUGAGUUAGCUCCAUGAGUUUAUAUACCAUUUAGGAAUGUUUCUACCAAACGUUGUUAGAAGUAUUUUAGGUCUAUAAUGUAGUUAAGUUUUCUUAAACUAAAUGUGAACUUGUAUCAUUUCUCCAAAUUGAAUUCACUAAACUAAAUUUAGCAAUCCUACAAAUGAAAGAGUAAUAUGGAAGCGACGCAUAUGUGGUAUUCAACUUUUCAUACCUAAAGUUAGAAAAUCCUUGAAUAAAUAAGUUGAUAAAAUUUCCAACAAAAAAUUUUCGUGCAUUAGAAUGAAUUGUCUCCAAACUACUAUUUAAAGCCAAGUAGGCUAAGCUACUUUUAACUAGAUAUUGACAAGAGUAAUUGAUGAUUGACUUAUUGUAUUUGCUGAUUUCAGUAAAAAAAUUCAUCAUUCUAUUCUUCUCAACGAGCUCCUCUCUUAUUGAGUUUUCGAUUGUCUCGAAGUUCAACCAUGUCGUUGAUUCAAUGAAUCUCCCGCGUCAUCAUAUUCGUCUCAACGAGUCCUUCCUUCAUUGGGAUUUCGUUUGUCUUCAAGUUCAAUCAUGUCCUCAAAUCGAUGCAUCUCCUACUUUAAAGAGUUUAGCUUUAAUGUUGUUUUUAUGUUAUUGAUGCUUGGUUUAUCCAAGCCCCACUUGGUUGGAGAAACACCUUAUUGUCUAGAUGUUAUUCAUAUAACCCUGGUAUUUGUACUGGCCCUUGAAACUACUAGCCAUUUGCGGCUAGAUUACUAACACAACUUCCUCCUGAUAAGAAAAAGCUUUACAAAACAUAAUUUGUCACACAGCGUUGACUCUUAUCUACUAAAAGGAAAAAUGGAUUCACUAUGUUUAUUCAUGAAUCAUGACCAUGGUGUUAACAUAUGGUUUACAAAAAUACAAAGGGGUGAUACACCAUUGUUCCAUUUCCAAAACAUUUAAUCAAUAAACCUGAGCAAUAAUAACAAAUAACAAAUAAUAAUAAUAAUUACACGAAUUUUUACGCAAUAAAAAAGACGAAACAGCAGGGGAGGCAAAAAAAGCGUACCAAAAUCAGAGCCAGAGGCUUUUAAAAAGGAGAAGAAAACCCAACUCAUGAUAUGAACCAUCCGUUCGAAGAAAAUCACAAUUAUCAAAAUCGCUCGCAGAGUCGCAGCCGCGUCUCUAUCUUCAUCCCAGCCACGACAAUUUUCUCGCCAAAAAUAUUGAAAAAAAGGAAACAAACGCGAAGCGAAACGCAGCAAUUUCGUCACCUCCGCCACACCAAAGCCACACUCUGCGACACACAGGAACCCAUACCACCACCACCGCCUUUUCUCUCUCUCUCUCUCUCUCCCCAUGCUUCUCGUUAUUUAUGAGGCUCUCUUUCCCAAUCGAGUGAUUGUGAUUCAGUAAAUCCCUAGCUAGCGAAGCUUCAUUUUCAACCUCUCAUGGCCUGCGUCAGUGAUGAGAGCUGGGUCGCGCUCCCCAAAAUGCUCUCGGAACGCUUGGCUCUGAGACAAGAAGACCGCCACGACGACGAGCAGCCCAGCUUUUUCGGGUCCGAGUCCACCGCGCACCGGUUAGAGAAGGUUUUUCCUGUGUACGCAUUGGGGAUUCCGAAACCCGACUCCGACCCGGUUAAGCCGGCUUCGGUUUCGGGCGACCCGAUAUGGGAUGCCGUCAGGGAAGAGGCCAAGUUGGAGGUACAAAGCAAAUUUUAACGAGGGAUUUCUGGUUCUUUAGUUAGUUGAACUUUGGUGCUCUGAAUAUUAAUAUUUUUUUUUAAAUUUUAAAAAUUUUUGUUAAAUGGUUGAAAAUAGUUGUUUUCAGCAACCAGAAUAAGUGUAUUUUUGGUAAUGAAAAAGUCCGGGAAGUUUUGCAAGUGAGGAAGUAUGAAGCUUUAAGUUAUUUUAGGCAACAAAAUUUGCUGCAAUUAUUAACAAAAAUCCCAUCGAUCUUUUUCUUUGGCGGGUUUUACAGAGGCUAAUGAUUUUAAUUGUUUUUGACACUGCAGGCAGAAAAGGAGCCAAUUUUGAGUAGCUUCUUGUACGCGAGCAUCUUGGCGCAUGAUUGUUUAGAGCAGGCGUUGGGCUUUGUUCUUGCCAAUAGACUGCAAAACCCGACUCUUUUGGCAACCCAGCUGAUGGAUAUAUUUUAUGAUGUGAUGAUGCAUGACAGAGAUAUUCAACGUUCUGUUCGCUUAGACGUGCAGGUAACUUAAAGUUUGUGUUGAGAAUAUAGUUUUGACUUUGUUUAUGCCUCGUAACUGAUGGAAACUGUGUUCUAUUGUUUUGAACUUGUUUCCUCAGGCAUUUAAAGACCGUGAUCCAGCUUGCUUGUCUUAUUGUUCUGCCCUAUUGUAUCUUAAGGUGUUCUGCUCUUAGUUUCCUUAUCAGUUUUCUUUCACUCUCUUGUUAUAGAUGUACAAGAGUGCAUAAGUGAUGUUGUGACUUUACUUUUGCAGGGUUACCAUUCUUUGCAAGUGCAUCGAGUAGCUCAUUCCUUGUGGAGUCAAGGACGCAAGGUUUUGGCCUUGGCAUUACAAAGCCGAAUUAGUGAGGUAUUUUCAUUUUCAGUUGAUGCUCGAUGACCAUUACUACCUGUUUUAUAGGUUUGUGCUUUUCUGUUCUCCUUCUAAUCUUAUAACCAUUUUAUCCUAGGUCUUUGGAGUGGACAUUCACCCAGGUAUUUUCAUUUCUGCACUGCUAUCGGUAGACAUGAUAAUAUUGAGUUUUAUAAGAACAAUGGUGGAAUAUUUUAAACAUAUAAUCGAUGUGAUUUUGGAAACUUCUGACAUGGUCCUCCCAACACGAAAGAUUUUGCUUCUCAUUGACAUAGAGUAUCACUGGAUCACUUGCUAUUGUGUCAUUCAUUAGCAUAAUUUAAUCCAAAUGAUAAAAAAUAAUUAAAGCAAGUAAAUAAACAUAUUAAUUCUUUUAUUGUUUUUAGCACUUGCUUAUGGAACAAAGAACAUGUUCAAGCAAGUGAAAGGUUUGGUCAAAUCUAGAGUAAUUGAAGAUUUAUGUACAACACUUGAUUUGUUUGUUGAAACCAUUGCUCUCAGUAGAAUUUGUGUCUAUAGGAGAUAGGGAAGGACCUCUGGCUAUAAUGUAAAACCAACAUUUGAUAUAAUUUCUCUUUGAUGGUUUUUCUAAAGCUGCAAAAAUUGGAGAGGGAAUACUGCUGGAUCAUGGUACAGGUGUGGUUAUUGGUGAAACUGCUGUUGUAGGAAACAGAGUUUCAUUGAUGCAUGUAAGUUCAUUCCAUAAUUCUCUUUUGUUCUAACUCCUGGGUUCACUUCUGUUGUGUUGAUAAGUAAUUGUUGAUGACAAAGAACUAUGUGUGCUGCACUUUAUUGACAGGGUGUAACUUUGGGGGGAACUGGGAAGGAAAUUGGUGAUCGUCACCCAAAAGUAGGUGAUGGUGCACUAAUUGGAGCCAGUGCAACAAUACUCGGGAAUAUAAAAAUAGGUCAAGGAGCAAUGAUAGCUGCUGGUUCCCUUGUGUUGAAAAAUGUCCCUCCACGCAGGUAGAAAGUAGCUCCUGAUUUUCAGUAUAGUAAUGAUUCUUGAUAUGUACUCUUAGGAAAGUGACAUUUCUUUCUCUGGUUCUCAAGCAUGGUGGCAGGAAUACCAGCAAAGGUGAUUGGAUAUGUAGAUGAAAAAGAUCCUUCGUUAACAAUGAAGCAUGGUAUGUCAUAUGAGCAGGGCCUACAAAUAAAAAAUGUUCGCAUUCCGCUGAGGUCUUGCAUUUGUUUUAUCCAUUUGAUUUAGAACUAGGAUAUUGAGAUCAAGACCAGAAAGUUGUAAGGAAAUCACAUAUCCAUUAGGGAUUGAAGUAAAGUUAUAUGCUACAGGCAGGCAACUUCACAUUCUAUAGUACCAUGGGUUGAAUGUCCUCUGUUCAUCUUGUUUUUUUAAAUUAAGAUUAGUCUUUGCUUGGUUCAAUUAUAUUAUCAUGUCUUACAUUUAGGUUUGUUGUGAAUCUGCAGAUGCCUCCAAAGAGUUUUUCGAACAUGUAGCUGUUCAGUGUAGAGAUACAAGAUCUGCUGGUUAGUGUGUUUUUUUGGUAAUUUUUUUUAUUCCAAAUGUUUCUCAAGAAACUGUUUCCAGAGCUUUAUUUGAGCUUUGUCCUUGAAGAUCUGCUACUUGUUUUCAGGAGGUCACAGUUCAGAACGAACUCAUAGGAGCACUUAAAGAGAUGUAGCUAGGCAUAGAUCUCCGCCACUACUAAAUUGCCAAUGUGAAGGCACUUUGUGGUGUUUGGAGAGGAAAGUGACUUAUUGUAUCAGCCUGUCUUAUACAAUUUCAUUAACCACGUCCACUCUCUGCUAUCCAUGCUGAUGUUGAGGUUCUCAUACCAGUUGUUUAAAGAACAGGAGAUGUUAAGCUUAGUACCUGAUUUCUUCUCUUUCUACCCCCCAUAACAAAUUGGGAGAAGAACCAGCAGCAAAUUUCUUUAGAAGUAGCCGUGACCCAGAAAGAAUGAGCCCAUGAAUCAGAUGGGGAGAAGUUGAAGCUGGUUGGGGAUCCACCUUAGUUUUUCAUUUUAUGCCCGUGUAAGUUAUAAUCAAACUGAACUGCAUUGAAACAUUGAAUGCAUCAGAUUUUAAAAAAAAAGUUGAUAGGAGUUUUGGGUCAUUUUAUUUGAGCCUGUUGGUGGGUGACCAAUGUACUCCUUUUCAUAUUUAAUGCAUACUUUUUGCUAGAAGCAGAUGUGAUUUACGUCAAGUUCAAUGGAGCCAGCAGAAAAUAAUGAGUUUUGUAUUCACACUCGAAAAUUAAUUUUCAUACCCAAAUUCAUAAUUUAUAUUUUUAGAAGAAUGUGUUCUUUAAAAUUAUUUAAUUUUCAUUUUUUAAAAAAGAAUGUGGAAAAUAGCCUAGAUUUAUGGACCAUAUAUCUUAAGUUCGAAACAACAUGGCAUCUUAAUUGUGUGUGUGUGAAAUCCUCCUCAUCUUUGGUUUGUACUCUAAAAAAGAAAAAAAAAGUGUUCUUUAAAAUUAAUUAAUUUAAAGAAAAUUAAAGAAAAGCCAGCAACACUGUCCUAAUAAGAGGUAUGGGCUCUAGGCCUGCAAAUUUUGAGAGUUUGGGCUUCACAAGAAAAGUUCAGUUAAGAUUCCCACCCAAAUUUGGGCUCUACUCUUUUGUUACUAAAAAGCCCUUCUCAAAUUUAAGUAAUUACGGCUCUUAUGACGGAGGCAUCGGCCCCGUCCUCCCGCUCCACCGUUGGAGAUAUAGACAAACAGCAGAUGCACGUCCGUGUCAAAAACGGCGACGUUUACCAUUCUCAGUCCCGCCCUGUGUCUGCGACUCUCACUUCUGUGUGUUUGGCUAAGCGUUAGACUCAGACUUCCAGCCGAGCAACACCAGGGCGGGAUUUCAAUUUUCUGGAUAGAUCUUCAAUUCUCCAUCUCCCAAAACGGUACCGUCUGGUUGUUGCUUCGAAUUUCAGCAGCGUUGAUUUCACUGAAUUGGCUUGUUUGGUUUGGGAUCUGAGAUUCUGAUGACAUCCACACAGCAUUGAUACGCACCGUUUUGAUUGUCGUGUUUGUCUCUCUCAGGUUGAAACUUGAAACCAAGCGUUAACAAUGUCGACGGAGGUUGAGGCUCAAAUGGAAGAGAAAUCGAAGCCGCAGAAGCACGGAGGCAAUGGCAAUGGAGAUCUCGCGUUGGAGAAUGGCGGCCAGGGCUCGAGCGAUGCUCAUGAUCAGCUUGUUCAGAUGGUCAUGGAGCUCAAAUUGCAGAACGAAUUCCUGAAGUCUCAGUUCGAAGGAUUUCAGAAUUUCCAACAAACAGAGCCGAGUGAGACGGAAGGCGGUAAAUCUGAAGAGGUGGAGCAACUGCGUCAAACGAUUGAAUCGUUGAAUGUGGAGCUUUUGGAAGAGAAACAAACACGAGCUGCAGCUGAAGUGGCUUUGAAGCAUCUUCAGGAAGCACACUCGGAAGCAGAUUCUAAAGCUCAAGAGCUCUCUGCGAAGCUCGCUGAAGGUCUGAUUAUGUCUCUGCAUUGGUAAAUUUGUUGUUUCUGUUAGGAAAAUGUAGCUGAUAAUAUCCAAUUAUCGUAAUUCAUAAGUUUCUCUUUGUAAUCUGAAUGUAUUGCACUGUUUGCUGUUCAUUUUGUGUAGCUCAACAGAAGUUGGAUCAAGAAAUAAAAGAACGGGAAGAGAAGUAUUCUGAUCUCGACUCGAAAUUCACCAGGCUUCAUAAACGAGCAAAACAGCGUAUUCAAGAUGUUCAAAAGGUAAAUUCUUUCUGGAUUGUCAACAUACGUAGUGGAAAACCCUUUUAGGUGGAAAUUAAGUUCGGAAGCUGGUCGCUAUUGUCUUGUUUCUUCAGGAAAAAGAUGACCUGGAGGCUCGAUUUCGUGAAGUAAAUGAAGCUUCUGAGCGAGCGUUGUCCCAACAGUCAGCAUUGCAGCAAGAGCUGGAUAGAACAAGGCAACAAGCAAAUGAUGCACUGAAAGCAAUUGAUGCAGAGAGGCAACAACUAAGAAGUGCAAACAAUAAGUAAAUCCUCAGUUAACUUCCUACCAUGACCCAUUUAUGCAUAUGUUGAGAGACUCAUAACUGCUUUUGCCAUUUCUUAUGUUAACUGUAACUAUGUUCUUGUCAUACAGACUACGAGACAACAUUGAGGAAUUACGGCACCAAUUGCAACCAAAGGAGACUGCUAUUGAGGCAUUACAACAUACAAUUUUGGAGAAGGAACAGGUAUGACUAUUUGUGCUUAUACUUUGGGAGGUUCUGUAUUAUUCUUUAACAUGAGAUAUCUAUUAAUAAGAAAUAAACAGAGAAGGAUAUCUAUGUUAAUGUUAACUUGCAUUUAUCUCAGAUGUUGGAAGACAUGCGAGGGUUGCUGCAGGCUGCUGAUGAAAAAAGGCAAGCUUCAAUAGCUGAACUCUCUGCUAAACAUCAGAAGGUGUAUUUGCAUUUGUAUGUCUAAUUUAGUAGUCCUAUUUGUUUAUAAUAAAAGAUGGUGUAUUUCUUUCCCUGCUAUUACUUUCACCAACAAAUUUGUGCUUUAAUUACUGUCUCUGAUUUCUUCAGAAUUUGGAGAGUUUGGAAGCCCAGCUUGCUGAUGCAUCAUCUGAUAGAAAUAAAGCAACUGAAACUAUUUCUUCACUGCAGGUGAGAGUUUUGAUUAUAAUGUUCACUCCGUUUUUAACAACUUAUAGAUAGGUUUGAAAUUCCUUUUUUUUUUUUUUUGAAAAAAGAAGAUAGGGCUGAAGUUAAUCUGGGGCUAGCUUGAAAUCUUACUUUGGUUUUUGUAAUUUUGGAUUGAGCAUGAGCUGAUACAGCAUAUUAAUGAGCUCCAGUGCAUUUUCAAGUUUAGUUCCUUAAUGUGUGAGUGGGCAUGGGCAUGUUUACAAGCUUGAUUGGUAGAUGUUUUCACUCCCAAAACGUCACUAAUAAUCCUGAGUUGGACUUGAAAUCUCAACAAAACAGUAAGUCCUUUUAAGUACCAAGUGAAUAACCAAGAUCCCCAAAUUUUAGAUACUUUUGUAACCUUUUCAACAAGCUUAUAUCUAUCAGUGUUUGGCCCGUAAUUAGAUUAGGAAUAAUUCAACCUUCUUGUUCAUGAAUAUGCUAGGAACUGAUUAGCAUGUUUGAGCUUAGGCUGUGGCUUAAAUAGAUAACCAUAAACAACUCAAGUCAUGUGAAGCCUGAGUCUUGUGCUCCUCUCAAUUGCAGCCCACUGUUGGAAUAAAAGAAAGGUAUAAGAUCCAUUAAAAUAUAAGGGGCUGGAAAGUUGGCAUCAGAAUGGGAAGACAAUAAAGUAGAAGUGGAUUAGUGGUUGUGUUAUCUUAUAUCUUUGCUUGUUUUGGGGAUAAUAAUUUUACUCCAUUGCAUAGUUUAGUCACCUACUGUUUCUGUAACUUGCAAAUGGAUCAGACUAAUUAGUGAAUGUAAUUCUCCAGAUGCUAGUUGCGGAGAAAGAGUCUAAGAUUGCAGAGAUGGAAGCAGCAUCAACGGGUGAGGCAGCAAGGCUUAGAGCUGCUGUGGAAACUCUAAAAGGAGACCUUACUCACCUGAAGCAUGAGCAUGUAUGAAUUAUGGCUUCCAGGAUCUCUUAUUUGCCAGACCAUUAUGUGUAGUUCCUUAUUUGAUGCCCUUUUGUCAACUGAGAGUGGUUUUUUGUGUGCCUCUAAUCAAUGUCACCAUUAUCCUUGCCUGGUUACUUUACCAUAAACAUAUAUAAUUCUUCCAGGAGAAAGAAAAGGAAAGCUGGGAAGCCGCCUCCAGGGCACUGAACACAAAGCUCCAAAUUGCUGAGAGCAACCGGAUAUGUGCUGAAAUUGAAGUAGCCAAAAUGAGAAGUAUAUUUAUAUUCCUUACUGAAUUUUCAUCUGUUUAGAUGUGUAUAUAUAUUUAUAUCAAUUUCACAUGCUUUUCCCAUUGGGCAGGCCAGCUGGAAUCAGAGGUGUCUGCAAAAACACGAAUGCUUGAUGCUAGGGAUGCUGAACUUGCAAUUGUCAAGGAGGAGGUUUAAAUUUAUUAUCCUCUACCCCGGCCCCGCACCCCCCCUCCCUCCUUCUCAACGGGGUUAAAUUUAGUGAAGAUCUAGUUGCUUACAUCCAAAUAUUUAUUGAUCUGUCUUCUGUCCUCAUAUGUUCUACCUAUUAUAUCCUGCAGAUCAACCGCCUUGAACGUGAGUUUUCUUCUUACAAAAGCCGUGCUCAUGCACUUCUCCAGAAGAAGGAUGCAGAGCUGGCUGGAGCUAAAGAUUCCGAACAAGUCAAAGCUCUUGAGGAAGCACUAAAAGUGUGUACUUGCAAUUAAUCUUAUUUUUUAGCAUGAAGUAAAAUCUUGAACUGACAUGCGCAUCUUCCAAUCCUUAUUAAUUACUUAUAUAUAUUCUUUUUUUUCUGUAGGAGGCUGAAAAGGAAGUAUCUUUUGUGUGUGCUGAAAGGGAUAAGGCCCUUCAAGAUCUUCAGAAUGCCUUGGCUAAUCAUUACAAAGAAAUAGCAGAAAGGUAAAUUUAUUGCUGAAUCUGCUGUAGUGAGCCUUGCCCAGGGGCCCAAAUUUGGGAUUGGUUUCGAAUUUCCCUAAUCCAGAAAUGGUAUAGAUAUAUGUUCCUCAUAAAAGGGCAAGGUAAUUAUAAUUUAUUAGUAAUUGUAAUAGAAAAAUGGCAAGACGAUUCUUAAAAUAAAAGGCACCAACAUGUGUUUUACCAGAAGUACAUAAAAGCUCAAUGCUCUGUUGCAACCAAUUUCAACAAUUAGCUAUUUUAGACUUGUAGUAAACUAUUCACCAUUUCAUGACCAUAAUUACUUGCGUCAUGGUGGCUGUUCCUUCCCCAAUGUAGUUUGGUCUUGUUUGUUGUCUAAAAGCCUUCCACUCUUCAUGGAGUAUCAUUUAGUUGUUUACGAGUUAGGUAAUAUACUACUGUAAAGUGUUACGUAAUGAUCUUGAUCUUUCAGUUCCAUACUUGUUACAGAGAUGCUGCUCUUAAGGACGCCUUGCAGCAGAUCAAGAGCUUAGAGUCAAUGCUUGAAUCUGCUAAUAAUCAUCACCGAUCAGCAAAAGAAGCAUGGGAGGUGAACCUUAAGAGUUUGGAAGAAACAUGGCAGGGUACUAUCUCCAUGCUAAUCUAAUUACAUAUCUUGUUUAUUUAUGUUUUUCCCUCCAAUGUUUAUCUUCUUGCUUGUUAUAGGCAAUGUUUAUUGUUCAAAAUUUGAAUGGAGUUAUUCUUGAAAUAAUAAUUUUUGCAGUAAGAUGUGACACACUGAGAGCCCAAAAUGAAGCAUCUUCUGGAGAAGAUAUAAAAAAAGAAUUGGAAGAGCUCAAAUUACAGUAUAAAAAAUUGAAGGUAAUUUACUUUAAUCUCUCUCUCUAUGCUCCUUUACAAUGUUUACAUUUUGGGUUUCUCUUAAUUGUAUUCAUCAUUUUAGGAGGAGCACAGUUCAUUUCAUGAUCUCGCUGAUAGAAUGAUUGAGGAGAAGGACAAAGAAAUUUCUAGACUUGUAGAUGAUAACAAGAAACUUCAUCAGUCAUUGAACUCAAGACCACGAGUAUGUUCCUUUUUCUUAAGUGACAUCUAAACUUUAUCCUCACACUUCAAUUUUCUGAUAAAUUUCUUUCUUCCGUAUUUGUAAUCCGUUGUCCUGACAUUGCGGUGUAUAACCUCAGGCUGAUCAUAACGAUAAUUAUAACACAGGUAGGAGGAUCCUGAGUACAAUUUCUUAUUAUUUGUUCCAGUUAGAAUAAGAGUUUCUUUAUUACUGGAACUAUGGUGUUUUUUACCUGUUGGGGUACCUAGUGGAGUUUUAACAUUUCUUUUUCUUCACACUGGUAUAAUCAGGCAUGUAUAAACAUGACACAUCAAGUAUAAACAACUCUGCUGCAGAACAGCAGAUUCUGGUAAUUAUAUUCUCUCUCUAGAUUUUUCUUGCCAUGUACCACCCAACUGGGAGCUUCUUGUUUUUAGCAGUUUGCUUUUAAUUGUUAUAUUUUACUCUCUAGUCUUGCCAAGAAAAAAAGAGAGAAGGAAAACCUUGGGUUAUUGUACCUGGAGUAUUAUAAUUUUAUGGCUGGUUAUGUUAGAUACUUAUAGUUGUGAUCUCAAAAUAAGACAACUGGAUUUGAUAAAAUUAGAAUGACUAGGUGCUUCACUUUUGUAGUGAUGAACUUAAUGGUAUAAUGAUGGUCUAGAGUGCUGAUAUUUAUUGUAAUUAGGCUACUUGGGGGCUUUAAGAUCUUAUUAUGAGUUCAAGUGUACGAGUUAUUAUGAUUGCAGACUUGUGCACUGGCUUUUACCUUUUCAUGCUGUGCAUCCAGAUGUGUUCAUACACUGUUUUAAUAUGAAUUUCAGAUUUUGGCAAGGCAGCAAGCCCAAAGAGAGGAAGAACUAGCACAGUCACAGCGGCACAUUUUAGCGCUUCAAGUGUGUAAUCCGUCAUCUUGAAUACUACUGUUCUUUAGGUCAGUUCUGAUACAUGUUUUUUGUUUCAACUCAGGAGGAAAUUGAGGAGCUGGAGCGUGAGAAUCGGUUGCAUAGCCAACAGGUAUCAAGAAGCCUGGAUUUUUGCAGAUUUUAGCCUCUGUUCUUUUGGCUUGAUUGAUUUCAAUUGUUUGGAAAUUCCUUUUGAAAGUUGUAGUAAAUGAUAGAAUGUGUAUGAAUUGAGCAGAUCUGAAAAUGAAAUUGCUGAUGAACUGGCAAUGGUGUGACAUAUAUGCAGGAAUCUAUGUUGAAGGCUGAGCUUCGCAACAUGGAAAGAACGCAGAAGAGGGAAGGAGUAGAUAUGACAUACCUGAAAAAUGUUAUCUUAAAGCUUCUUGAAACAGGUAUUUCUAUUAUAGACUGAUGUAACAAUCAAAGUCGUCUAUUUUAUAUUCAAUAGAUGAAGUGGAAUGUCUGAUUGUUUUUAUUACUCAAAUAGGUGAAGUGGAGGCCCUAUUACCUGUAGUUGGUAUGCUUCUUCAAUUUAGUCCGGACGAGGUGAAAUUCUUAUCUCCUAUGUUGCUGUUGUAGUUAGUGAGUUGUCUAUGAUGCUCCGAAACUAUCACACUUCCCUUGUGGUUUUCCUAGAUUGUCAAUUCCAUUCUAAUUUGUGCACACUUACUAAUGCAGAUACAGAAGUGUCAACAAGCGUACCGAGCAUCCGGAGAUGUUCCUCCUAGCCCAGCGAGUGAUGCUUCAGGAUCAGCGACUUCUCUUUUCUCAAGAUUCUCAUUUUCAUGACCACAGAAGUGAGAUUGUAGAGAAUUCUUUGCACGGAAAGUAGCUGCUCCAGCUAACCAACUGCUUGCCUCCAGAUUCAAAGGUGGAGGGUGCGGUCAUAGUAAAUCUUGUAUUCUUUUGUAACGGCGAACCCCUUGUUUAUCAACACUGUCCAGAAAAUGUAAAGUACGACAGAGCAAUUAUACGUCACGAAGAGAUAGAGAGAGGGUGAGUGAACAUUUGGCCGGGAUCUGUAAGGAACCCCCUAUUCUCAGUGUAACAACAGAAGAGCAACGGCGUGAUUUUGGAGAUUAUAUUGGGACAAGAGUACCUAUCAUAAAUUUGAAGGCGUGGUGUUACUCGACACAAGAGUUUACGCAUACUCUGAUAAUGGUAAAUGAUAAAUCUCAAUGGUAGUCAGAUAGUAGAGCCUCCUCAGCAGGCAAUUGGUUGUCUUCGACUAUGCUUCUCUUGUUCACGUUGCCAUAUGUCUUUUGCCUUUGAAGUGAUGAGUUAUUUUUGUUUCCGUAGUGAGUUGGGACUAUCCAUUUUGCAUUCCACCAUCUGGUGGUUUGCAAUAGGUGAUAAGGCGGGUUAUUUUCUUCAAUAAAUAUUAAUUCAGUCUCUAUUACGUGAUAUUACUUGAUAUGAAAGAAGAACAAAUAUAAGACGGAAUAAAUAAGGCCUUGGGUAUUUAGUUUAUUGCCCAAAUAUCUUUUUUUUUUACUUGCAUUUUGUCUUUUAAACAGCUCGAUUGCCUCAAGAAGUAGAAGGAGAGAGGUUUAACUUAAUAUGAAAGAAGAAUACUCCAUUGUCUUCAGUUUAUCACUACUAAUUUCCAUUAGGAGAUUGAGAAGCUACCAAAAAUAGAGGCCUACGCUACAGACUUGAUCACCUCAGUUAGUUCAUCAUUCACUCUUGGUCUGAUGGGUGCUGAAGUAAAAAAGAAUAAGAAAAUAGAAAAAAUGAGAUCCCUGGCAUGGCGGCAGCUCAUACCGAGCUUAACAACUUAUUCUUCUUUACAAACUGCCAUUACACUUAGGGGUGAGCACGGGUUGAUUUAGGUCAGAUUUUUGCCCAACCCCUAACCCAACAGCUUCGGGAUUAGAAACCCAUUAGCCGAAAAUUAAGCACAAAACCCAACCCUAUUAACUCGGGGUUGGGUCGGUCGGGUUGUCAGGUUUCACAAGAAGAGCCCAACAAGACCUUGUUUCUUUUAACGCAUACUGAAUUCAAGUCUACUUGUUUUCAUUUCUGAAUGUAGCCUAUUUUCUAUUUAUUUAUGAAACAAUUAUGUAUAUGUAACUGAGAAUUGUUGAUUGAUGAGAAUUUCACAUUACUAAGAAGUUAUCUUCACAAAAGAGAAAAAACCACUGAGCCUUAUCUUUCGAUCUCUCUAUCUCAGAUGGUCAAGUUUUUCGUUCUUCACUCUUGCUUAAAAUCUAGCUGACUUCCUUUUAUGAGCAUGAGGGUCUGAUCUCUGAAAAACUUAAAUAUUUAUUUAUUUCUUUUUCUGUUGUGUACCCUUUGAAGCCCCUCACUUGAUACUUCAACGUGGUGCUACUUUCGGCAGAGAGAGAGAGAGAGAGCAGUGCUUGUUCCCCCCGUGUCCAUUAACCAAUAUUGCCGCGAUGCUGAGUAGCUUUAUUAUGUCCUUGGUUUUGGAAUUUUCUCCUUGGUGGCCAAUGAAAUACGACAUUGAGUAGCUUUAUUAUUACAUCACAUAAUAUUCCUUCAUUACAAUAACCUCACACCCAUUCAUUAUCAUAGCUCUAUUUAAUUGAAACAGACAAACUAAUCUCUCUAUGCCCAUAUGAUAUCCGUUAGGAGAAGCUACCAAAUCACCUCCUUCGCCCGGACAAAAUCCCAUAAAGUAUUGACGAAAACAAGAGAACCAAACCAAAUAUUUUUGCAAUCAUGGGUUCGGGGGGCCCAUUCAUAGAACGCAAAAAUCGUACCCUGCCGUUGGUAGCAUGAACUUUAUUCCCAAUAAUGUUGUUGAAGACAGAGCCUGUGCCUCUGCCGUGCUUUCUUUCGGCUCCAUUUUGGGAGAGGCUGCUCAGUUGGAGUUGAGGAACAGGUGGUGCCUUGCUUAGCAUAUAUUCAUGAAUCGCAUCAAUUACCUUCUGACGUUCAGAAGUGCCAUAUUUUGGGGCUGCUAUACGAGAAUUGAUGGCCAGGACACGCAUUAUAUUCUUAUUGUAUUUUACUGAAUCCAAUUCACCAUCACCAUCUGGAUAGGUGGGCAUUUCCUCAAUAAGUGCAAGUAAAGCAUUUCGCACAAUCCUUGGUGACUGCCAGUUCAAUAAUAGCCUUGCGCUGAUGUCGGUUUGGGUUUUGAAGCGACCAUUUUUCGUCAAAAACAUGAUUGAAGGAGGCUUCGAUGGGUAUCCCUCCGAAAACUGGACCACCCCAUGAUAAAUCCCACCCUCGAAUUCAGUUCCACUAGGGCCUCUGAUUGCAAAUUGCCAUUCAUAUGGGUUCCAAUCGAGCUUGAGGCACUUGAAAUCGUUGGAGGGAUUGGAUUCAAUCUCAUUAUACUCCUCUAGAAUCCGCUUCUCCCCUGAGUUCUGUAUGUUGGACUUGUCCUCCACUAUCACACUCCGAUCCAAUUCCAUCUGCGUUGAUCCGACUCGAUCCACAACCACCUCUUCCUGUUAACAAAAAUUUAAAUAUACAAUUAUUCCCAAAAUACGAAGAGCAAAUAUGAUAAAUAGCCGGUGUCUGUUUAUAGGUAGGGCUAGUCAUCCAGAGUAAAUAUGAUAAAUAGUUUUGCUUUCUUAGGGGAUUUGUAGAGGUACUCAUUCAUAGAACCCAAAAUUCCUACCCCGUCGGAAUUGGUAGCAUUAAUAAAUGUAUUCCCAACAACAUCGACGACAUAGGCGCCUGUGCCUUGCUGCUUUCUUUUGGCUCCAUUGCCACCCUCCUCCUUCAACUACUCUCUCACAAAUCUUACAAAUUGUUAUGGAAGACAAACUUGGAUUGUAAAAGCCCAAGCAUUUUCCACCCCUAAAAGGACCCUAAGUAAAACAAAUACAUAAAUAUAUAUACAUAUAUCCAUAUACAUCUUCUCCGUCCAGAAAUCGCAGAAGCCCCUUCCCAGAAAUCGCAGUACUCUUCCUCAGAUUUUUAAACUCUGUUUUCUGUUUUUUCAUAGAUAGACUAAAUAAAUAAAUAAAUAAAAUAAAAAGAAGAGGGUUGCAGCGAGAGAGAAUGGAAGAGAAGAGGUAAAAAGAAGUUUAAAAUUUUUCACCCAAAAAAAAAGUCAAAAUAAUUGACCGGUGGAUUGCUGACCUGACACGGAACGUUUCUCGUCCGUCGGACUUGAGGAACAGGAAUAGGUGGUGACUUGCUUAGCAGAUAUUCAUGAAUCUCAUCAAUUACCUUCUGACGUUCAGCAGUGCCAUAUUUUGGGGCUGCCGCACGAGAUUUGAUGGCCAGAUCACGCCUUUCUUCCCUAUUGUAUUCUACUGAAUCCAAUUCACCAUCUGGGUAGGUAUGCAUUUCAUCAAUAAGUGCAAGUAAACCAUCUCGCACCCUCCAUGAUGGCUGCCAAUAAUUCAAUCGCCUUAUCCCGGUCUUGUUUUGGGUUUUGAAGCAACCAUUUUCCGUCAAAAGCGUGAAUGAAGGAGGCUUCGAUGGGUACUCCUCCGGAAACUGGAUCCACCCAUGAUAAAUCCCACCCUCUAAUUCAGUUCCACUAGGGCCUCUGAUUGCAAAUUGCCAUUCAUAUGGGUUCCGCUCGAGCAGGCAGCACUUGAAAUCGUCGGAGGGAUUGGAUUGCAUCUGAUAAAAUUCCUCUUGAAUCCGCUUCAACGAUCGGUAGCGAUCCAAUUCCAUUUGAUUUUGUUCGAUCUGCGUCGAAACGACUCGAUCAGCCACAACCACCUCUUUAGAUGGAUUCAAGGCUCUCACAACUUACAGGGGCAGAGAAGAAGAGGCAAAGCUGUAACUGUUUGAGAGUUGGACAGAACUAGUCUAGAGAUGUCUAUUUGGCUGAGAAAGAACUGAACAGGGGAAAUCGAGCAUGAGAUGAAAGCGGAAGGGUAGAGAGUGCAAGAGAGCCAAGUCGAGAGGAGGAGAUUGCAGAAUGAGGGAACGGCGCCCAAAGAUAGGAGUGCGUGAAAAUUUUUAGGUAGUAUACCAGGUGCACCGGUAGCAGGUAACAUCGCACACCAGUUGCACGGGUAGCAAGGUAGCGUUGGUAACGUACGUAGCAGGUAAUAUCAUACACCAGGUGCACCGGUAGCAGGUAGCAGGUAAUAUCACUUUGAACUGUUCCACAUGUCGCUUUACAAAUCUUAUUCCCAAAUAAUCACUUUGGGACUUGAAAUUACCCAAUUAGCCUCCUUAUAAAAGGAUAUCUAUUGUGGUGAAGAUAUAAUUUCUGGGUCCAACCCAGAAAAAUAAGGGCUUUGCCAAAGCCAUGGAUACCUGUCCAUUAAGUUUUAAUCCUUUAUUUUUUUCUUUCCAGAAGAAGAAAUAAUGGACGAAAUCAGAGUCGAUUUGCCGCCUUCUUAUAGCAUUUACUUCAUGGUGGGAAUCAUUAACAAGAAGCUCGAUGUGGAUCAGUUCCAAAAAUGUCCAUUCUUGCCGCAGUGGGCUAUCGGGUUCUUGUCUCGGAUCGUUGAAACGGGGCAUCCAGGUAUUUAUUUAUAACCUUUCUGUUCUGAUUACAUUUCGAACUUUGCGUUUCUGUUUUUAUUGAAAUCAUUUUGUGGGCAUUUCAAUAUGUGUGUGUGUUUCUUUUGGGAUUCUUUCAAUUGUCUGUUUUUGGGUUGUUGUUCUAUUGGUCCUGUUCUCACGUAGCUGAGUAAUUGCAUAUGAAUUUGUAUGCUGGAACUAAAUAAGAUAUAUUAAAAUAUAUUUUAAAUUUUGGAGUGGUCUUUUUUAUUAAAAAAAGGAUCAGUUUUCUUUUUAAAGAUUCUCCUUUUGUUUAUGUGUACAUACAUACAGUUCGUGAUAUUUAUCAGAGGUUUAUUUCAAUUCCUAGAUAAUCUUUUUUCCCCGAUAAUUGACAAUGAAGUUUACUCAUCGAAUAUUGUGAUAGUAAUUAGCUCAAUCCUGUUUUGUAUGACGUUCAUGCAUUGAAUUAGAAUGGACUAUGAAUUGUUGUUUGUGGAAUGAAGUUGUGGAGGGUUUCAUAGAAUGGUUGAAAACUUUUGGAAUGUGAGAGCAUGCUGUUAAGUGUAUUCGAAAUUGAAAGAAAAUCGAGUGUCGGAGUGUGUGAGUAUCAUGAACUUGAACCAGAACAUCCAAUUUUUAGAACUCCUGUUCGAUGCAAGUGCAUGAUCAUUAUAAAUUCUUCGCUAGUUUGUCUGGUAAUAUGCUAUAAGCUCGUCGUCGUUGUGGGUUAUGGUUCUUAUGAAACUAUACAAUGGUUUCAUUAUGUGGGGGGGGGUGAAGAUUGGAAGUAAAAUAUUGUUUUUCUUGCUUACCAAAUCUCUUCAGUAUAAAAGGCAACAUAGGAAAUUGAGGACGAGAUUGUUGUUUCCUUGACUUAGUAUAGUUAUGGGGAUUUGGCUUACUCGCAAGUAGAGGAAGAGGAAGAGGGUCCAACAGAUGACCUAUGACCAAGAAAGAGGGUAAGAUAAGAGUUACAGCUCAUUCCUAACUCAUGGAAUAUUACUUAUUCUAAUUAGAUACUAUUUCUAGAAGUUUCCCUGCAAUGGUAAGAAAUUAUAAUGGGUUGGGCUUGGGUGAGUGCACUUUAUCUUUCAGUUCUACACUUGUUACAGAGAUGCUGCUCUUAAGAGCAUCUCCAGCGCAGGGCCUUUAGCCCUGGCAGGAGGUUCCUUUUGAAGGGUUUGGACCUCCAGUGCACAACCAACAGCUCGGGCAAGCCCAAGGGCGCUGAUGUCAGCAAGCGAAAAAAAAUUCAAAAAAUUGGAAUAUUUUUUUUAUAAAAAAAUAUCAAAAAAUUAUUUUGUUGCAUAUAUAUAUUUUUUCUUGCCCUUGUCCCAGCCUUUUGGGGUGGAACCAAAAAAAGUAAGGCUGCCACUAUUCAUGUAAAUAGUAGCAGCCCUUGUCAUGCCUUUGCCUUAGCCUUAGCCUUAGCCUUUUUGGGGUGGACAUGCUCUAACAACGCCUUGCAUUGCAGCAGAUCAAGAACUUAGAAUAAAUGCUUGAAUCUGCUAAUACUCUGAAGCAUGGAAUGUGAACCUUGAGAGUUUGGAAGAAACAUGGCGGGGUACUAUCUCCAUGCUAAUCUAAAUACAAAUCUUGUUUCUUGAUGUUUUUUACCCGCCAAUGUUUAUCUUAUUGCUUGUUAUAGGAAAUGCUUAUUGUUCAAAGUUUGAAUGGAGUUAUUCUUGAGAUAAUAAUUUUUGCAGUAAGAUGUGACACACUGAGAGCUCAAAAUGAAGCAUCUUCUGGAUAAGAUAUUUAUUAAAAAAAAUUGGAAGAGCUCAAAUUAUGGUGUAUUUGUAAUCCAUUGUCCUGAUAACCUCAGGCUGAUCAUAACGAUAAUUAUAACACAGGUAGGAGGAUACUGAGUACAAUUUCUUAUUAUCUGUUCCAGUUAGAUUAAGGAAUUUUAUAGGAUGUUGUUAAAAAAAUCCUAAAAUUAACUGAGUACACCUAUGAUCUAAGUAAGUCAUAAUAUUUAAAUUAAAAUGUAAAAUUAAUUAAGUACACCCUAUUUAACUAUAAAAAAUACCCUUGAUACACCUCAACAUCACAAAUUUACUCAGCAAUUACAACAAGAAGGAAGAAACAAAAUAUAUACGCAUGAUCAAAUGAAUAACCUCAGAAGCUUUGUCGUUCCCUUCAAAUUAUUACCACUACAAUGAUCUGUUGUUAUAGUCGAACAUGAUGAUCAUGAACGCAAUUGUAGUGGUCGUCACGAGUGACGUACUCAAGAAGUGGCUCCAGUAUGCCGUCGUGUAGCACGCCACCACCGCCUGGCCACCUCCCACUUCCCACUCAAGAAGCCUCGUCGCUCCAUUCACCGGAUUUAUAGUCCGCCCUACCGCCUCAAAAAAGGACUGAAAUAAAGAGAUUACAAAACAGAACCUAAUUAGCAUAAACAAAUAGAAAAAUAAGUAAUUCAACUAAAAAGCUAAAGACCAAAUGUCUUGGGUACAGCCAUGCAUGCAACAAGACCAAAAGUUUUUAGUGCUUCUGCUUUCUCUUUUGUUUUGGUAGGAGAGCACAGUGCCUCAAGAAAAUUUCAUAAUUCAUAAAAGAAAAAAGUACAUACCUAGUAAAUAAUAUGUGCAGUUGAAUAUAAUAUGUAUAGUUUAUUUAUUAAAAUUAUAUUUGUUUUAUAAUUCAAUAUAUUCUUUAAUCAUUUUAUAUUAGGGUAAAUUAGUAAUUCAAUAAAUAAUUUAAUAGUAAGAUAUACUUAAUUAAUUUUAGAGUUCGAUUAACAACACUCAUUUUAUAAUAUAUUAUGAAAUGUAUAAAUAUAUAUAUAUAUAUAUAUAUAUAUAUAUUUGGACAAGUAAGAAAAGCGGAAAGAGAAGGGAUUAUAUAUAUGGGAAAAUUCUACGUUGUGCCGGUGUAUGGAAGCCAUUGGCUCACUUGAAAUCUAUGGCUGUGAAUAACCACUAUAACUCAACCCCAUCAACUGGUACAACCAGUCAAGGAAGAAAGAGAAAAACAAAGGGGAAAUAAGAAUAACGCAAAAUACUGCCCAGCUCUCCCUAGCAGUUCUCUCUUCCUCUCUCCAUCGUCUAGCUCUCAUCUCUCUCUUCUGAUUCACGAAACCCACCAUCAACGAUGAGACAGAGGAAGAGGAAGAUGAGGAGAAUAGGCAGCAUUCCUACGCUGUUGACGAGCCAUGUUGACUACAAAAAGAAAAAAGGAAAAACAAAUCCCAAUGAAGUGCUUUUGUGCAAAUUCAUUUUCAGCUAUGUUUAACCUCUGCUGCGAUAUGCUAGAGAUGCAACGUUUAACCUUGACAAGCAAUAUAGGUUGUGUGUGAAUGUGAUAUUAGUAGGUGGUUUACAGAUAUGAUUUCUUUGAGAUAUUUGUAGCAUUAAUUAUUAUUAUUAUUUUUUCCAUUAAUUUUGCAAGAGUUUUCAUGUUCAUAUGUGUGACAGUAUUAUUAUUAUUUUUUGUACCACUUUAAAUCAAUCAAUAGUCUUUUUUCUGCUUCCUAGAGAAAAGAGUAGUACUCUACUACUCUAUGCUUAUUAUCUCCCCGAACCCCUGUCCAUCUCCAUCUUCCUUAUCCUUUUCUCUUUUCUCCCCUAUCUCUCCCCCUCCCCGACCUAACAGCAACUUCGAGAUUUUAGGGGCCUUGUGCCAAAACAAUAAGAGGUAAAAUAGUCUUUAACAAAAAAUUAUAAAAAAGAAUCAAACUAUAUAAUCAAAAGUUUGUGAUAAUAACUAAAAAUAAUAAUAAUAUAUAAAAUAUAGGAAAAAUAAAAUCUGAGAAAUCGAGAGAGAGAGAGAAUUGAGUGGUUGAUGGCUGAAGCUUGCAAAAAAAUGAAAAGAUAAAUGCGGUGAGAAAUAUUUUUUGCACACGAAGUUCAAAGUUGUAUAUUGAAGUUGAAGGACUCUUAUAUUGGUUUUGGGAAACAUGAAAACCAAUAUUAAAUAAGAAUAUGAAAAUCAACAUUAAUAUUAUCCUAUUAAUAUAUAAGAAGUCAAAAGUCAAAGCAAUCGGAUACUAAUAUAAUAAAGGAAAAAUUCUUGCCCUAAACCCCCUGGAUCAGAAGCUGCGCCAGCUCCUAAAUUAGAAGCUACCAAUAAAAGAGAAGUACGCUAAAGAGUAUGACCAAACUCGAAAGUGUACCGAAGACCCAAAAAACCCCCCAAAAACGUUCUGUUAUCAUGAGGUUGGGGACCUCAUUCUCAGAUUGAAAAAUUCCUACCUGUUUGGAACCGUGAACAUUAAAUGUAUUGCCAACGAUGUUGUUGACGACAGAGCCAACGAUGUUGUUGACGACAGAGCCACCGCCUGUGCCAUUGCUCACAGGGCUCAGUUGAGAAACAGGAACAAGUGGUGCCUUGCUUAGCAUAUAUUCAUGAAUCCCAUCAAUUACCUCCUGACGUGCAGAAGUGCCAUAUGUUGGGGCUGCUGCACAAGAUUUGAUGGCCAGAUCCCGCCUUUUUUCCCGAUUGUUUUCUACUGAAACCAAUUCACCAUUUGGGUAGUUAGCCAUUUCCUCAAUAAAUGCAAGUAUAGUUUUUCGCACACUCCAUGAUGGCUGCCAGUUCGAUAAUAGCCUUAAGCUGAUGCUGGUUUUGAUUUCGAAGCAACCAUUUUCCGUCAAAAACACAAUUGAAGGAGGCUUCGAUGGGUAUCCCUCUGAAAACUGGACCAUCCCAUGAUAAAUCCCACCCUCGAAUUCUGUUCCACUAGGGCCUCUGAUUGCAAAUUGCCAUUCAUAUUUGUUCCACCCCUGCGUGAGGCACGUGAAAUCAUAGGAGGGAUUGGAUUUAAUCUCAUUAUACUCCUCUAGAAUCCGUUUCUCCAAUGAGUUCUUUAUGUUGCACUUGUCCUCCACUAUCACACUCCGAUCCGAUUCCAUCUGUGUUGAUCCGACUCGAUCCACAACCACCUCUUCCUGUUAACAAAACUUUAAAAAUAUAAUUAUGCUCACAAUACGAAGCAAAGAGAUGAGGAAACAUAGUCGGCGGUGUCUGUUUAUAGGUAGGGCUAGUCAUGCAGAGCAAAUAUGCUAAAUAGUUUUGCUUUCUUGGGGGAUUUGUAGAGGUACUCAUUCAUACAACCCAAAAUUCCUACCCAACAACGUUGGUGACAUAGCCGCCUGCUCCCUGCUGCUUUCUAUUGGCUACCUCAGUCAGCUGGGAGAAAACUUUCCCUGACACGGCGAUAUCACGUCAGCAAUCCAACUCAUUAUCCCAACUCUGUCUCUCUCCUCAGUAACACCUCUGCCACCCUCCUCCUUCAACGACUCUCACAAAUCUAACAAAUGGUUAUGGAAGACAAACUUGGAUUGUAAAAUCCCAAGCCUUUUUAACCCCUAAAAAGCACCAACUAUUGAAAUUGGGAAAACACUUUACCAGCUUUGGAAGAUAUACUAAAGAAAGAUGGACAAAUGCUAGACACAUUACAUUAUAUAUUAGAUUUUGUAUUGGUGAGCUUCACCUCUCUAAAUGUAGUAUAUGAAUGUGAUAAGCCUGUACAAAUAAAUAAAUAAAGGGUUGCAGCAUGAGAGAAAGGAUGAGAAGGUAAAAUAAUUGACAGGGGGAUUGCUGACCUCACAUCUCUGUGUCAGGGAAGUGUUUCUCGUCAGUUGGAGUUGAGGAACAUCCCUUUGCAUAUAGUCAUGAUUCACAUCAAUUAACUUCUGACGUUCAUAACUGCCAAAUUUUGGGGCUGCGGCACGAGAUUUCUUGGCCAGAUCACGCCUUUCUUCCUUGUCUUUUACUGAAUCCAAAUUACCAUCUGGGCAGGCGGGCAUUAAACCAAUAAGUUCAAGUAAAGCAUCUCGCACCCUCAUUGAUGGCUUCCAGUUUAAUGUUACCUUGGUUUUGAUAUUGAAGGAACCAUUUUCCGUCAAAAAGAUGAAUGAAGGUUCCUUCCAUGGGUAUUCCUUCGGAAACAGGAGCCGCACAUGAUAAAUCCCACCCUCGAAUUCAGUUCCAGAAGGGCCUCUCAGUGCACCUUGCCAUUCAUAUGAGUUCCAAUCGAGCUUGCGGAACUUGAAAUCGUCGGAGGGAUUGCGUUCAAUCUUAUCAUACUCCUCUAGAAUCCGCUUCUCCCCUGAGUUCACCAUGUUGCACGUGUCCUCCACUAUCAACUCCGAUCCAAUUCCAUUUGAUUUUGUUCGAUCUGUGUCGAUCCGACUCGAUCCACAACUCUUCCGUCCGGUUAACAAAAGGCAGGGCUCGUCAUGCCCAGUAAAUAUGCGGAUCUGGGUUGUUGCUGUUUCUUCAGAGCAAAUUCAAAAGCUUGGAUGGAUUUGAAGUUCAAGGCUCUCACUUGUGCUUGCAGCUGCGGCGAAUCUUCAAUUGCAGACACUUGCUGUGCGAAGAAGAGGCGGCUUAAUUACAAAAAUUGUUUUAUCUAUAUCUAUAAAGCAAAAGGCAGAGAAUGGUGAAACAUUCAAAAUACCAGAAAAUGCCCUUGGUUAAUGCAAACAUUAAGAAUUGAAAUUAUUAAUUAAAUGAGGAUAAUAUGGUAAAUUCACAAUUUUUCGUAUUAAAAAAAUUAAAAUUUAAAGAAAAUUCAGAUAAUGGGUCCUAUUUUUAUGGAACACAAAUAUCCAUUAUCUUUUUUAAUUUUAAAAUAAAUUUAAAUUUUUUUUUAAAAAAACCUCUCGCAUGCGCGGAAGCGCGUGCAGAGAGGCUAGUACCUUUUUAAGUUCGAUACAUUCAUUUGGGAAAAACAUAAGGAAUCAGAAAAAAAAAAACAAAACAAAAAAGGCCAAAAUGCUAAUUUUACAUAUAUAUAUAUAUAUAUAUAUAUAUACAGAGAGCUUCCAUUGAGGGAUCCCUCAAAUAAGCUUAUUUGAGGGACACCCCUUGUAGGCCCCACUCCGGAUUGUAUUUCACUAAUCCAAACCGUCUAUUUUGUAGAUACUCAUUCAAAGAUCAUCUCUACAAAAAAUCACUUGAAUCCGAUAUCGUUGUGACCACUCUCUUGAGUUAGUUGAAGUUGUAGUACCUUGCGGGAAGGUUUCUACAAUUCUUUUCUUAAUAAUCCAAACCAUCUAUUUUUUAGGACUUGGUUUAUAGAUCAUCCUUACAAAAAAUUAGACAAAUCGGAAACCGUUUCGACAUCCAAUUGUGUCUAUCAAAAUCAAUGAACACGGUGCUUCAAGAAAAUGCUAAAAUUUCAAUAACUUAAUUGAGUGGUCAAAUGAUAUCGGAUUCAAGUGAUUUUUUGUAGAGAUGAUCUUUGAAUGAGUAUCUACAAAAUAGACGGUUUGGAUUAGUGAAAUACAAUCCGGAGUGGGGCCUACAAUGAGUGUCCCUCAAAUAAGCUUAUUUGAAGGAUCCCUCAAUGGAAGCUGUCUGUAUAUAUAUAUAUAUGUUUAUAUAUUUAUAAUAUUUAUAUUUAUAUCGGUGUCGUAUCCGUAUCUUAUUUUUUUUAGAGAUUUUCCGUAUUGAUAUAUCGUAUCGCUGUAUCCGUAUUCAUAUCGAUGCAACAUAAGUUGUAACUGUUUAUUGUAAAGUGCACAAAAGUAAAAGAGGAUAGGCAAAAAAGGAAAAAAUAUUCAUUCGUUGACUAGUCAAAAAUAGGCUUACAUGGAAUAGCAAAACAGUAAAACAAUGUUAUUAGGCCUCAUUUGGUUCACGGAAUGAAUUUGAGGGGAAAUAAUUUCCUAUGUCAUUUCCUAAGGGAUGGAAAAUGGAAAAUUCCUUUUCCACAUUUGGUAAUGCUGGGAAAGUAACCAAGAGAUAUCACUUGUUUUCCAUUUCUUUUCCCAUGUUUGUUUUGAGUAGGAAUGGAAAACAAAAUUUGUAUAAAUUUUCAAUUAUACCUAUAUUAAAUCAAAUAAAAAAAGAAUGCAUUUAAUGAUUUAUUGUAAUUCUAAAUUGUUAAUAGGGAUAAAAUUGUCAUGAAAAAUGUUUAUGCUCAUUUUCUCAAACUUUCUCAUGAGAAGGGAAAACAAAACUCAAGUUGGGAGGAUGACUUCAUUUUCUCCCCUACUUUUCCAUGGGCCAAGAAACGAUUUCUCAUGCCUGGACUUACCAAACAUAGGAAAGCAAUUGAUUUUCUAUCCCCAAGUCUCAUUUCCCAUGAACCAAACGGAGCCUUAAUGUUCAUUGAAGUGUUAUUCAGUUGCAACUAAAUACAGCUCAUCCCUACAAGAGGAAUAGAAUAUUACUUAUUCUAAUUAGAUACUAUUUCUAGAAGUGUCUCUGCAAUGACAAGAAAUUAUAAUGGGUUGGGCUUGGGUAAGUGCAGCAAGUAGACUUUGAAUAGAGCUUGGGCUUGUGUACAUUGCUAAUCAAUGAUCUUGAUCUUUCAGUUUCACACUUGUUACAGAGUAGUUAUUCUAUGGUGAGAGCCUUAUAUAUGGUCCUUAGAGUACUUCCACUCAUUUUCCAUGGCAAAGGAUAAGGGCAAGGCAAGGACUGUUACUAUUCACGUAAAUAGUGGCAGCCAUUGCAAAAGGUUGUCGUGUUUCCACCCAUUGCCAUGACAAUCACUAUUCACAUGAGAUAUGAGGAGAGAAAUUUGUAUAGAGUUUUAGUGUGGAAAGUGAAGAAUAUGACUAAGUUUUUAUUUAAAAAAAUUCUGAAAUUCUUAGUAUUUUUUAGGCUUAAAUGUUAAAAUGGUCUCUGUGUUUUAUCUCAUAGGCCAAUUUAGUCCCCGUGUUAUGAAUUUGGCCAAUUUGGUCCUUGUGUUUGUAUAUGUUAGUCAAUGUGGUCCAUUCCUUUAAAAAUAUAAAAUUAAAACAGUUUACUUCCAUAACUUCUCACGAUUCGAUGGUAUUCUAUUUUUGAAAUAUUUAGCUUCUCAUGGGGAUAAGUACACCUUUAAACCACUUAUGAGGGACCAAAUGUAAUUGAUGAUAAAAUUUUUAAUUCAAACUGAAAAUGGAAUAUAUUUCUUUUAAAUUUCACCUUCCCCAAUUCGCGCACACACCUCAACCACCUCCCAAACCCAGCCACCAUCACCACCACCACUCCAACCCCAAAACCAUAGCCACCCUCACCACCAUUCCAACCCCACCUAAACUACAACAACUCUCUCUCUCUCUCUCUCUCUCUCUCUCUCUCUCUCUCUCUCUGACAAAUCAUGAAGAUCAUCAUAGCCAGUCACCGUAAGCUUGACGGCUCUACCGCCAAUUGAUCAUCUUGGCUGUAGCAAAAGUCGAUGACAUCCAGAUCCAUGGAUCGGAGAGGAGAGAGAGAUGAAGGGUAGAGUAUGAGAAAAUCUUAAACAGAAGAUAGAAGAAAAUUUGCAGCAAGAAAAGAGUAAGCAUCAAUUCUACUAAGAACCCUUUUUUUUUUCCUACGAGAAUCGAGACCAUUGGAGGUUGAGGUUGUGUGAGUUUUAAUCAUUUUAGCAUUAUUAUUAUUUGAGUUUAAAUCUUUACAAUUAAUUACAAAAUUUUAAAUUAAUUUUAAAUGUUCUUUUUUAAGGUUUUAACAUAAUUUUGACUAAAAGGGACUAAAUUGGCCAAAUUAAUAACACAAGGACUAAAUUGGCCGAUAAGAUAAAACACAGGGACCAUUUCAACAUUUAAGCCUAUUUUUUAAGAUUUUUUUUUUAAAAAAAUUUUGGUUGCUGACGUCAGCAAACCCAAAUUAGAGGUCAAGCCAGUUUGGCCUGUGGGCUGGCCCAGUUGCGUGGGUCCUAUAGCUUGCCUUGGCAAGCAUGGCCCUCUAGAAGCACUUCCUUGGACUUGGGCCCUGUCUUGCUCGGGCCGCAGUCCACCGCUGGAACUGCUCUUAGGUGAGGUCAUAUCUCUUAAUCAUUAGAUCAGGCUAUCUAAUUUGAUUCAACGGCUAACCAAUUUGAUCCAACGUUUAAGAAAUAGGACAUCACUUAAAGGCCAUAUAUAAGGCUCUCACUAUAAAAUUCUUGUUGUGGUGCAUUAACUUCAUCCCACACAACAAGAAGUUCAUAAAAAUUUACAUACAAACUUCUUGUUGUUCACUCACAUUCAACAACAAUUGCCCACGGUUGCAUUAUAAUUUCCAAACAUUAUUAAUAUCAAUCAAUUAUAAACAUUCGACGACGAGUGAAUAAUUCUAAGUCGAAAACAAGUUGCCGACACAGGGCCAACACGCUGUUAGCAACAGUGGGCGCCUUGAGAAAAUUCCGGCAACGAAAAAUCCUCAAAACUCCUUGCAAUAUUUGUUCCAACACUUUCAUACUAACAAGAGGAAUAACUUUUGAUCUCAGACCACAGCCAAAAAGCGACCGGAUCUAAAUGAAAUCACGGCCAAACCGUCGGCCCUUUAUGGUUAUUUUGAUUGACUUCCAAAAUUCCAAAAUCAAUCCAAACCACUUACAUAAACGGAUAGAGCACGAAGAGUAGAUUAAGUUUCAUACCUCGAUCGACGAAAAUAGAGGUCGGAGUCGCCGAAAAAGACAUCGGAAGCUUUUAAAAUCACGGACACUUCUAAUCGUUCCAGCGGGGACCAAUUUCACCUGAAACGGUCACCGCAGGGCGAUGCAAUUGCUGGCCAAAGUCUGGCGUCUCGUGGAGUGGGAGAGAGAGAAAGUCGAGAAAGGAGAGAAAGCGCGCUGCCAGCUAUUAAAAUUUUGACUUUGCAAAAAUUACAGUUGAAUAAAGCUCGGACUUUGAAUAGAGCUCGGCUUUAUAUAUGCCCUUUAGGUGAGGUUAUAUCUCUUAAUCAUUGAAUUAGGCUAAUUAAUUUGAUUCAACAACUAACCAAUUUGAUCUAACGUUUAAGAGAUAGAACAUCACUUAAAAGCCAUAUAUAAGGCUCUCACUAUAGAAUUCUUGUUGUGGGGCAUUAACUUCAUCCCACAUGACAAGAAUUUCAUAAACAUUUGCAUACAAACUUUUUGUUGUUCACUUACAUUCAACAACAAUUUGCCCACGGUUGCAUUAUAAUUUCCAAACACAUUAUUAAUAUCAAUAAAUUAUAAACUCUAAUAUAAAUAACAAUCAAUCAAUAUUAAGUCAAUCGUUAAUGACAUAAACUAUGAUGACUCUGGGGCUUAUUAUAUGCUCGAAUGAGUGUGGUUGUACUUGUGUUUUUGACCUAUGUUAUUUGCUUCUCAACCUAUGUUGUAGGUAUUACAUCAUAUUUAGGUAUUUAACUCCACAUUGAAACGCAAAUUCUACUUCAACCCAUUUACAUAGGUUUUUAGACUAAUAUGUUCAUUGAACACUGAUUGACUUUAUGCAACCUCUUGUUCAUAUCUUUCUGAUUUCUUCAAGAGUUGAGAUAGCAUCUCCUUGAUAGAAGGAUCUUCUUGUUGACCCCGAUGAAUUUGUGGGUCCCAUUAUAUUCUGUGAAUUGCUCCAAGAAAAGUUUGGGUAUUGUCUCCAACCCGGGUUGUACGUAUUGGAGUAAGGAUCAUUUUGGAGUCUUCCAUUGAAUGCAAUGACCUCUUGCACAUCUUCUAAAGUAGGAUUCGAUGGGCAAUUUGCAGUGUCGUGGGCGAUGUUAGCACAUAAAUUACAUGGUUGUGCAGUUACCUUCUUUAUCAGUGGCGUGAGAAAAUAAAACUCAGACUUCGAUUAUCCCAUUACCUUCUUUAAAUUACAUGGUAUCAAGCAAAUUCGACUUCGAUUAUUCCAAUUUACUAGAUACAAAGCCAUAAGGAGAUCAAUCAAAGAACUUAAACAAAUAACAACAAUUAAAAUAGUGAUUAUUCAUCUAAUAUAAACCAAGAAUCAAUUAAAUCACAUUAGAAAUCAUAACUAUCCAUGCUUGGGCGUAAUCCUCGCCCUAGAGAAUAAUUUAGUUACUCAUGUUCAAAGAAAACAAAAUUGAAAAACUAGAAAACAUAACUUAUGGAUUGUGAUGGUGCUCGAGAACUUGACGAUGGUAGCGGCUCUUUGACUCUCCUUCUACUCCAGCAUCCGCGAACCCUAUUUUGUGCUCUUCUUUAAAUGACUUGGUAACGAUGAUUUCCUAAUUUUGCUUCAAUUGUCUUUGAUGCGUUGGCAUCCAAAAUCCUACAAAAUAUAGGAUCAGACCUUAGAAAAUAACCUUGCUUCCUUGUAGGCACUUCCCAUAUACAAUAGACAUAAAUUAGACUCCAAGGAUUGAACUUCAAAAGGAUUAUUUUGCAAAACCCGCAAAACGCAUUCUGCCCUCACAGUCUGUAUUAAAAGGGCCACAACUCUUUCCACACACGUCUAAAUCACAAACCGCAAAAUUCUACAGAAAGCUAACAUUCGUAUCUUUCCAACGAUAAGGCUCAACAUCUGGUUCACUCUGAGGAAGUACAGUAUAUUCUGUCAAGUUCACUGAUCUGCACAGGACAUUUUUGCAAAACAUCUUUCAAUCCCAAAAAUGCUCAUUUUGCUUGCUUUUCCAUCUUUACUCUUCAAACCUAGUAAAACACAAAACUAAGUAAAAAUGGACUAAACUUAUUUAAGAACAUAGCAAGAAUCUAAGAGAAAAAUAAUAAAAAUGCACGAAAUAAUGGUUAUUUCAAAUACCCCCAAACUUAGACUUUGCUUGCCCUCAUGCAAAACAAAACAAAACAAAGACUGAGUAUUAUGCCUCCACAUAUUAGUCUCAAUAAAUCGCACAAGGUAUAUAACUCUAAAGAAUCAAAUAAGCAUCAUAUAAACCACAAGCAUGAUUCAAAAGUUAACAAAACCGUACAUAACAUUCUCAAGUGUAGUGUGUGAAAUAGCCAAUAUCAAUACAACUCACUCAACCCGGAUAGGUAUAUGCAAAUCAAAGCUUCAACUCCAAACUUCACCAAGAAUGUCACUCACGACGAAAACGCUCUAAGUUUGGGUUAAGUGUUUCACUCAAUAAAAUGAAUGCAUGAAAACAAAAUCAAAUCCUAUAAGCUUGCUCUUCAUAUCACAUCUCCACAGAUUAAAUUCACACAAUUUCUAGGAUCAAAAGGUCUUAAAUUACGGUUGUAAUGGGGUUAGAGGUUAAGGUUAAAAGAAAGAAAGGAUAUGGAAAACAAAAAUAUUCUAUGAGAAUUAGUAGAGCACAUGAUGACUAUGAAGGAUUGCAAAUUCUCUUGUAUCUCUUGUGGUAUCACCAAUUAUGUACUUCAUUGGAAGCCACAUUUCAUCUUCAACUUCAUUUUGAUCAAUAUAUUUCUCAAACUUCUUCAAUCUUUCUUUCUUUUUCUUUCCUUUUUUUAACAAACACCAACCUCAAACUCAUCUUUGCUUCUAUUUUUUUCUUUUCACAACAACUUUGAUACUCACAAGGUAAGGUGCAAAUCGCGCAAACUUAAAGCUCCACCAAUUUUUCAUAGAACAAGGUAGAUUGAAGUGUUUAAGUAUAUGGUUAAGGAUAGUGUGGUUCAUGAAAGAAAAUGCUUAUUUAGGCUCAAAGGGGCUAUCUAAGAAAUAAUGUAGUAGGGAUAAAAGCUUGUUUGGCCAUGGUGUUGAUCCUAGGUGCCUUAAUCACUUCCUAGAUAGAAUCAUGUGAAUCAAUACAAAGCCUUGAAAGAUAUUGAAGCAAGUUCUAGUAAAUGAUAGUUGCACUCAUGAAAAGAAUAUAUCUCUCAUGAAAUGAAUAUACAAGUCUACACUAAAAUCCACAUAUAAUUCUCUAAGUCAAAAGCAAAUUGCAUUAAAUUGGCUAUGUGCAUUAAAAAUAUGAGAAUAAUCAUGCAAGAGAAAGUUAACUAAAGAAUCACACUUGAAAUUCACAAAAUGAUUACCAAUCCUCAAAAGCUAUAUAACAAGUAGAAUUCAAGUGUUAUCAUUGACUUGUGGAAAGCUUAACUAAAAUGACUCAAGAAAAGGAAAAAAGAAAAUCUUUUUGGAUUUUUGAAAUUUUUAUGGGUUUUGUGACUUUAAAAACAACAACUUAACCACUUAACUACCUAAAAAUACAAAAGAAACAAAACAAGACUCAAACAAACCAAGAAAACAAAGAGUUUCAAAAUGCAGUUUUUGGUAGUUUCGACCUCUGUUCAAAUUUUAGCUCAUAACUUUCAAACCGCUGGUCUGAUUUUCACGUUCUUUUAUUGUUAGAUUCAGCACCAAAAAAUGAAGAACAGAACGCGAACCAAAUUGUCAGCACAAUUACCAAUUAAAACAGUUUUUAAGCAAAAAGAAACCCCCCCCCCCCCCCCCCCCAAACAAAAAAAACUUAAAUGAAACAUUGUCCUCAAUGUAAAAAGAAUCAAAAUACACGCAAUGAAUCAAGCAAAGGAGAAAAAAAUUAAAACAGUAUAAUAAAGAGUAAAGAGUAAGGGUUAGAGCUCCCUGGGCAUAUAAUAAUCUCGAGAAGUAAGUGCUGCAAAUGCCAAGAUCCUCGCAUCAUCAUCAUGCAUCCAAAACAUGGGUUACUUCCCAAGAAUCGCUUAAUUUAAAGUCUUCAGCCGGACUCAGCGACCAUCAUAUAUCUGGGGGAUCAUCGAUACAUCACCUCAAUGGUCUUGGUUUGUGCCGUCAAAGUAUCAUUAUUCUCUAUAGGAUCUGUGAGGCUUGAUUCAAUGAAUGGGUUCCCUAUAAUUUGAUCCGCAACUUCGAUGUGAAAACAAUCAUAAGGAUCUAAGGGUCUUUUCAAACCUUCAAAGACCUGAAAAUUUAUAGUAGAAUCUUGCAUCCGGAGAUGUUCCUCCUUUUUUAUAUUCAACGGCAAUUUCCAUUAGGAGAAGCUAACACAAAAGAGGCUUACACUAAAGACUUGAUCACCUCAGUUCAUCACGCUUGGUUGUCUUUGCAGACGUUUUGUUUUGCUUUCAAAACCAAAAAAGUACUGAACAAAACCAAAAAAGUACUGAACAAAAGCAAACAAGUACAGACCAAAAGCAAACAAGUACUUACCAAAACCAGAUUCCGUAUUUCUCUCACCUCAUUCAUAGAAUUAGAAUGCGAAAUUCCUACCCUGGUGGAAUUGUUAGCGUAAAUUAUAUUGCCACUAAUAAUGGUGUUGAAGACAGAGCCCCCGUGCUUUCCAUCAUUUUGGGAAUGCUCAUGCUCUCUAGAGGCCUGUUGAGGAGGAACAGGAAUCAUAUCAACUACCUCCUGACAUUCAGAAUUGCCAUAUUCUGGGGCUGCUGCACCCGUGGUUUCAAAUAGCCAUACAUAUGGGUUCCACCUGAGCAUACAGCUCUUGAAAUCGUCGGAGUUAUUGGGUACAGCCCCUGUAAAAUUCUCUAUAAUCGACUCAAAAAUCUGCCGCUUUACUCUCCCCCGCUUCAUCGAGCCCCCGUGCUUUCCAUCAUUUUGGGAAUGCUGAUGCUCUCUGGAGGCCUGUUGAGGAGGAACAGGAAUCAUAUCAACUACCUUCUGACAUUCAGAAUUGCCAGAUUUUGGGGCUGCUGCACCCGUGGUUUCAAAUAGCCAUAUAUAUGGGUUCCGCCUGAGCAUACGGCUCUUGAAAUCGUCGGAGUUAUUGGGUACAGCCCCUGUAAACUUCUCUGUAAUGGACUCAAAAAUCCACCGCUUUACUCUCCCCCGCUUCAACGCUACAGCCAUUUGAUUUUGUUAGAUCUGCGUCGGACGAUGAUGGGUGCACGGGUUGGUUCCCCUAAAAGAAAGGGAAAAGAUAAAGAAACGCAGAAUUAAAAAUGGGAAAUGUAUAUUCUUCUGUGCCUCACUGCCGUAAGGCCACGGGGCUCCUUUAAUUCAACGAAGAUGGAAAAGCUAAUGAGGAUGGCAAUAUAAGACACGUGGUAGCUAUCUUAGAGUUACUCGAGUCUGCCCACCAAAACUAGGCAUGAAAUCCAUCUGCAACUUCUUUAUAGUAUUUGAUUAACAAUUAGAUAUUUACUUGAUUUACGUGGAAAUUUUUAGGGUUAGAGAUGCGGCGUCGUUUUAAAGAUGAGGUAAUAGAAUUGGUUAGGGCUCGUCAAUGGGCUGGUAGCCUGGCCGAAAUGGGCUUCUUGAUAUAACAAUGGUGAUUUUUUUUCUCUCUCUUAUUUCUCUGUUUUUCUAUGUAAUCCCUCAUCUUGAUUACCUACUAUUCUGUAGGCCAGUUCUGAUACAUGUUUUUUAUUUCAACUCAGGAGGAAAUUGAGGAGCUGGAGUGAGAAUCGGCUGCAUAGCCAACAAUAGGUAUCAAUAAGCCUAGAUUUUUGCACAUUUUAGCCAACAAUUGGUUGUUUUGGCUGGGUUGAUUUAAGUUGUUUGGAAAUUCCUUUUGAAAGUUGUAGUAAAUGAUACAGAAUGUGUAUGAAUUGAGCAUAUCCGAAACUGAAAUUGCUGAUGAACUAGCAAAGGUGACUGAUAUUUGACGUAAAGCCUCAGCAGGCAGCUGGUUGUGUCUUUGACUCAGUGUUACUCUCGUUCGCGUUGCCAUUGAAGUGAUGAGUUCCAUGGUUGUGAAUCAAUUUCUGAGUCGGGGGACCAUCCAUUUUCCAUUUCACCAUCUGCUGGUUUCCAUAUCAGGUCCUUUUAUUCAAUAAACAUUCAGUCUCCCUACUUGCCAUGUUACUAAUUUUAUUUGACUAAAUAAGAAUCAGACAGGAUAUCAAAAUAACCCCUUGAUUGAGCAUUCAUUGCCCAAAGAUUUUCUCACUUGGAUACAGCACAAUUGCCUCAAGAAGUAGAGAGGUUUAACUUGAUAUGAAAGAAGAGCCCAGAAUUGAAUUAUUCAUUACUCUCAGCUUAUGACAACAAAGUUUUAAACAGAGGAUAUUGGCCUAAAUUCCUAAACUUGUUAGGGCAUUAACUUCAGUUGUUUGGAAAUUCCUUUUGAAACUUGUGAAUUAUAGAAUGUGUAUGAAUUGAGCAUAUCCGAAAAUGAAACUGCUGGUGGACUGGCAAAGGUGACUGAUAUUUGACACAAGGCGAAGCUUCCCUUUUUAUUAUAGACUGAUGUAACAAUCAAAGUCGUCUGCCCUUUUUUAUAUUCAACGGCAAUCACUUAGUGAGACAUGUUUAUACAAGUAAUAUUGGAAUGUCGUCUGAUUGUUUUUAUUACUCAAAUAGGUGAAGUGAAGGCUCUGUUACCUGUGGUUUUCCUGGAUUGUCAAUUGCAAUUUCUAAUUUAUGCACACUUUAUAUACUAAUGCAGAUGCAGAAAUGGCAACGAGCAUAGUGAUGCUUCAGGAUCAGCGACUUGUCUUUUCUCAAUAUUCUUAUUUUCGUAACCGCGGAAGUGAAGAUUGUAGAGAAUUUUUCCCACGGAAACUAGCUGCUCCAGCUAACCAACUGCUUGCCUUCAGAUUCAAAGGACAGCACAGGCGUGAUUUUGGAUUCUUGUAUACUUUUGUAACGUCGAACUACUGUUUAUCAACAAUGUCCAGAAAAUGUAAACUACGACAGCCAUUAUACGUAGAGUGCAGCGUGAUUUUGGAGAUUAUGUUGGGCAACAACACCUAUUGGAAAUUUGAAGGUGCGGUUUUACUCAACAGAUAUCAGCUGGUUUUGUCUUUGACUCUGUUACUCUCGUUCGCGUUACCAUUGAAGUGAUGAGUUCCAUGGUUGUGAAUCAAUUUGUGAGUUGUGGGGGACCAUCCAUUUUCCAUUUCACCAUCUGCUGGUUUAUCUGCUGGUUUGCAGGCGGAUGAUGGCGGUCCCUUUUUGUCUUUGAUAUUACAAAUUUUAUUUGACUAAAAAAGUAGCAGACAGGAUAUUUGAGUAUUCAUUGCCCAAAGAUUUUUCUACUUGGAUCCAUCGAAAUAAGGCCUUGGGUAUUCAUUAACUAGAAGCAGGGAGGUUUUAACUUGAUAUGAAAGAAGAACAAAUGCAAGAAGAGACAAGAAUAUUCAUUAAACUAGAAUGCACAUUUUCAAUUUCAAUUUCAAUUAGUACUACAGCUACAGGACAGAAGCUACGCUACAGACUUUAUCACCUCAGUUCAUCACUCUUGAUCGUGUUCACAGACGUCUAGUUUUGCUUUCCCCACCACCUAAGAAGUUUUAGCCAAGAAGGUAAAAGAAGCUUGUGGUCUUUGUCGGAGAAGGCAUUCAUAGAAUCCAAAAUUCCUACCCCGUUGGAAUUGGUAGCAUGAAAUGUAUUCCCACUGACGACAUAGCCGCCGUUGACGACAUAGCCGCCGCCUGUGCCGUUGGAGGCCUGUGAGGGGAUCAGUUGAGGAACAGGAACAGGUGGUGAUUUGCUUAGCAGAUAUUUAUGAAUCUCAGCACUUAACUUCUGACGUUCAGAAGUGCCACAUUUUGGGGCUGCUACACGAGAUUUGAUGGCGAGAUCACGCCUUUCUUCCUUAUUGUAUUCUACUGAACCCAAUUCACCAUCUGGGUAGGUGGGCAUUUCAUCGAUAAGUGCACCUAAAGCAUCUCGCACCCUCCAUGAUGGCUCCCAAUCAUCCAGUCGCCUUAUCCUGAUCUUCUUGUGGGUUUGGAAGCGACCAUUUUCCGUCAAAAGCGUGAAUGAAGGAGGCUUCGAUGGGUACUCCUUCGGAAACUGGAUCCGCCCAUGAUAAAUCCCACCCUCGAAUUCAGUUCCACUAGCGCCUCUGACUCCAAAUUGCCAUUCAUAUGGGUUCCGCUCGAGCAUGCGGCAGUCAAAAUCGUCGGAGGGAUUGGAUAUAAUCUCUAUAUACUCCUCUCCAAGCCGCCCCACCACCCUAGCGACAGUAGGUCCGACUCGAUCGGAGGGUUUGGAUUCAAUCCCACGAAUCCGCUUCAUCGCCGGGUAGCGAUCCAAUUCCAUUUGAUUUUGUUCGAUCUGCGUCGAUCCGACUCGAUCGUCGGAGGGUUUGGAUUCAAUCUCACUAUGCUCCUCUAGAUUUCGCUUCAUCGCUGGGCAGCGAUCCAAUUCUAUUUGAUUUUGUGCGAUCUUCGUCGAUCCGACUUGAUACACCAUCACCAUCUCUUCCGGUUAACAAAACUUUAAAUAAAUACUUCUCAAAUACGAGGAAAGAAAGCCGGCGGUGUUUAAUUAUUCUCAAAGGAAAGAGCCGGCAGUGUUGAAUUUCAUAGGUCUUGUCAUGGAGAGUAAAUAUGCAUAUCUUGUUGCUAUUUCUUCAGAGAAAAUUCAAAAGCUGAGAUGGAUUUGAAGUUCAAGGCUCUCACUACUUACAGUGACAGAGAAGAAGAGGAAAGCUGUAACUAGUUUAGAGAUGUCUAUUUGGCUCAGAAAGAACUGAACCGGGGAAAUCGAGCAUUAGAUGAAAGCGGAAGGGUAGAGAUUGCAAGAAAGCCAAGUCGAGAAGCGGAGAAUGCAGAAUAGGAGAGUGCGGCGCGCAAAGAGAGGAAAGCGUGAAAUUUUUUAGGGUUACAGAUGUGGCGUCGUUUUAUACAUGGGGUAAUAGAAUAGGUUAGGGCUCGUCAAUGGGCUGGGCUUUCUAAGGCGCACCGGGCCGGGCCGGCCUAAAUGGGCUUCUUGAUAUAACCAAGGUCUUUUUUUUCUUUUUUUUUAUAUGCCAUGUUACUAAUUUUAUAUGACUAAAUAAGUAUCAGACAGGAUAUCAAAAGAAGCCCUUGAUUGAGUAUUCAUUGCCCAAAGAAUUUUCUACUCGGAUACAGAACAGUUGCCUCAAGAAGUAGAGAGGUUUAACUUGAUAUGAGAGAAGAGCCCAGAAUUGAAUUCUUCAUUACUCUCAGCUUAUGACAACAAAGUUUUAAACAGAGGAUAUUGGCCUAAAUUCCUAAACUUGUUAGGGCAUUAACUUCAUCCCACACGACAAGAAUUUCAAAAACAUAUGCAGACAAACUUCUUGCUGUUGUCCACUCACAUUCAACAACAAAAAUAUAGCAAACACAACAAACCAAAGAUGCGUUAACUCUACCAGUAAUGUAUGCUACUAUAUCUUAAGCAUGCUUUGCCUGGAAAUCCUUCAUGAAAUCAACUUCUCAACCCCAGCCAAAGGCAUGGCAUUAUAAAUAGAAGCCCUCAUCCCUCCCACUGACCUAUGCCCCUUGAGCUGAACCAUCUUCUCCUUAGCUGCCUCCUUCACAAACUCAGCUUCCAACUCUGACUUCUCAAACGUGAAGGGCACAUUCAUCAAUGACCUCACAGACUUCUCAACUGGGCACCUGUAAAACCCUUUGCUCUCAUCAAUGGCGUUGUACAAAAGAUCAGCCUUCCUCUUGUUCUUCUUCUCAAUCUCACCCAAACCACCCUGCUCCAGCAAGUCCUCAAACACCAACCCACACAUGUAAAUACCAUAGCAUGGUGGUGUGUUGUACAGAGACUUGUCCUCAUCAUGAAUCUUGAAGUCCAGCAUCACAGGUGUGAUCUCUUGAGCAUUGCCAAUCAGAUCCUUCCUGAUGAUCACAACGGUCACUCCGGAUGGACCCACGUUUUUCUGAGCCCCAGCAUAAAUGAUCCCAAACUUGGACACAUCCACCGGCUUGGAGCAGAAAUUUGAGGACAUAUCAAGAGGCCAUUUUUGGGAGUUGGGUAGGUCUUGAACUCAACCCUGUGGAUGGUUUCAUUGGCGCAUAUAUGCACAAACUUGGCGUCUGGGCUCUGCUCCAAUUCUUCAAAAGCUGGGAUCUUUGUGUACUUCUCGGACUUGCCGGACCAGAUCACCUGGGCUGAGAAUACUUCUGGGCCUCCUUGAAGGCCUUUUCUCAAUCUCACUCAAACAACCCUGCUCUGCUCCAAGUAGUCCUCAAACACCAAUCCACACGUAUAUAUCAUAACAUUUUUGAUGCAGAAAUGUUAUAAAUAUUACUUUUAUAAUUUAUUAGUUAUUGUAAGAGAAAAACAAUUUCAACAAUUUCAACAAUGCGUUUAACCAGAAGUACAUACUAUUGCUCUGACGCAACCAAUUUCAACAAUUAGCUGUUUUAGACUAGUAGUCGAUUGUUCACCAUUUCAUGACCAUAACUACUUGAGUCAUGGUGGCUGUUCCUUACCUGCUCUUCAUCCAGUGUCGUUUGGUUGUUUACUAGUACUAUAUCUUAAGCACAUUUUUUACAGAGAUAUGUUGCUCUUAACAACACCUUGCAGCAUAUCAAGAGCUUAGAAUUAAUGCUUGAAUCUGCAAUACAGUCUUAAUUGAAUUGUUUGGGAUUCCGUAGGAAAAAAAAAAAAAAAGUUUGUCAAACAAAAAAACCAAAAAAAGAAGUAUAAAUCCAAAGGAAAGGCGAGAAAAUUGGUCGUUCUCUCUCUGGUUAGGUUACAUAUACAUACAUUGUCGUGGAGCACAAGUCACAAAAUCCUCUGGGGCGGCCCUGCCCAAGUCUAUAUAUUGUAUUAAUAACCUCUCUCUUCUCAUCGACUCAAAAUCUUUCAAUCCAUCGUCGUCUUCUCAGAUGAAGAAACCGGUGCAAGUGUAUAUCAGUUCGGUUCUGAAAGCAUGCCGGAACCAUGUCGGCAAUACUCGUUCACCUCCACAACUGAAUAUCAAAAGAGUAAGGGCUCCUGCUGCAACUCUAACUGCUCCAACAACAACUCUUGUUGGUCCUCCAGAUCUCACAAGAUUAACCAACAAGGUCUUCCCCUCCUACGGUAACCCCUGCCUAGAUCUGUUUUACCAAGUGGUACCAGACGCCGCCGACGCUGGUACCGAUUCCCACAAAUAUCUUAAGCAACUGCUGCCGGUGGCCUGGUCCCACAAUCCCUCAACGACCCUCAAGCUCAUCUGCAACAUACUCAAUGUCCGUGGAAAAAACGACGAAGACGGCUUCUACACGGCGGCGUUUUGGCUCCAUCAGAACCACCCUAAGACCCUAGCCUGCAACGUCCCGUCUAUUGCCGGGUCCUUGGGCAAUUUAACGACCCUUUUGGGAAUUCUAUACCGGAUCCUACAAGACCAAGAUCGCCCCCUCCAUCUCUGUCUCUACGGGGAUAUCAGUAAAGUCAGCUCUGCUGGUAGCGAGAAGAUCCUAGCCUUGGCCAGAAUGGCCGUUGAGAGGUACCAGCGUGACCCGGAUUAUCGGUUCUUACACGACCGGAUUUCGGAUCUUUUCGCCGAUUGCUUGAAGUCUGAUAUUCAAAACCUGAACAAACACCAGCAGCAGAGUAUCAAUGAUGAUGAGGAUGAUGAGUCUGCUAAGUGCUUGGAGAUAACCUCCGCGGCGGAAUGGUGCCCUUCCAUCGACUCCUCUUUCGAUCACGCCACUCUACUCUGCGAGAGCAUCGCCAAGAAGUUUUUUCCCCGAGAAUCGUACCCGGAAUACGAAGGUGUUGAGGAGGCCGAUUACGCCUACAGAGUCCGUCACCGUUUGAGGAAGGAGGUUCUGGUGCCUUUGAGGAAGGUCCUGGAAUGUUCCAACUAUCACACACGUAUGAACAAGUGGGGUUAUGAUCCGGGAUUCAAGCGAGAGCCCUGUGCGGUCAAGAAGUAUUUGGAGGACGUGAAAGCCGCUGGCAACUCCAAGAUUGAGCCCGGUGCUUUGCUUCCACAUGAGAUCAUAGGCUAUGUGAACGACGGGGAUGUCGGCCAAGUCGCUGAGAUUCAGUGGAAGGCAAUGGUGGAGCACAUCUACUUAAAGCAGGGCAAGUUCAAAAACUGCUUGCCUGUAUGUCAUUACUUCGGAGAAACGGCUUUGCAAAUACUGAUGUCCGAACUGAGUGAAGAGCCAUGGAAAGGAAAAUUGAUCAAUUUCAGUAAAAACCCUCAGCUAUAUUCAUUACAAGGGCUUGAUGAUCUUAAGUCCAAGUGCGAGCUUGUGAAGAGGAUGGACUGCCAGGACUGGGAGGUUGAUAUGCACAAGGUGUUUGAUUUGAUUUUGGAGGUUGCCGUGAAGGGUCAUUUGAAUCCAGAGCAGAUGAUAAGGAGGGUGUUCGUGUUCGCCAGCUACAAAGGCUUUGAUGACGCUUUGGGCUAUGACCGUUGCUGGAAGACUGAUUAUGAGGCGAUACAGCGAAAGUUCAAGGACAAAGGGUACGGGGAUGUGGUGCCACAGAUUGUGUUUUGGAAUGUGUGCAAUGUUAUCCCUACUUCCGUGCGUUCUACACAACAAGGGGUGGCGAUGUUGAGUGGCUUCCACACAAAUUUGAUCAAGUCCUUUUUGGACAAUGACGGCGAAAUUGGUCCGGAGCAUGUCAUGGAAGCAGCCAUAUCUUACACAGAAUAUCAAAAUCUAGUAGUAGUGGACUGAAUCUCUGAUCAUCCUAUGCUAGAGUCUAGGAAAUGACAACACUAUUUUCAUACUAAUAGAUUGCGACAGUACGGCUAUUCAAUUUUCACCCGUUAACAAAGCGCACAUACAUCAAUGACCUAACAGACUUCUCAACUGGCCACAUUGCUCUCAUCAAUGGCGUGCGUUGUACAAAAGAUCAGCCUUCCUCUUGUUCUUCUUCUCAAUCUCACUCAAGCUACCCUGAUCUGCUACAACAAGUCCUCAAACAUCAAUCCACACAUUUAUAUCUGAUAUAUCAUAACAUUUUUCUGCGCCCCAGUAUAGAUGAUCCCAAUUUUGGACUCAUCGACAGGCUUGGAACAGAAAUUUGAGGACAUAUCAGCAAUCAAGAGGCCAUUUUUGCUACUGAAUAUUUAUGUAGCUGCUUAUAUUCAAAUAUUUCCUCAUCUGUCUUCUGUACUCGCAUGUUGUACUUGCAUUUGCUUAUAAAAAUAAAAAAUAAAAGAAGAGGCCUACGCUACAAUCUUAGUUAUUUAACUGUAUAGGUAAAUUGUUACAUGGUACCCAAUUUACUAUAAAUAAAGGUCAAUUAUUUUACUAUAAAAACAAGUCUAUUAUUUAUUGACAAUUUUUUUUUUCUUGCUAUAGGUGGGUUACAUGACGAAAUUAGUAAAUUACCAAUUCAUAAUUCAAAUUUUGAAUUCGUAGUGAAAGAUGCAUUAAAUCAGGAUUUUAAGUUUCUUACUAUAUGUAUUUCCAAGGGCAAAAGGGACAAACAAAAAAGAGAUAUAAAUGCAGUGGGACACCAUAGAUUAAACUUAAUAAAAACCGAAUUUCGACAACAACAAAAUUAAAAUAAGAACCGAAUGAUUAAGGCUGGAGGGCAACUCAUACUGAGCCUAACUACUUAUUCUUACCUACACAACCAACGGUGGACUAAAACAUAAGUGUUGGGCUGGAGAAUUGGCAUCCUAAACAUGGUCGUCCAAUUUUUGCUUCUUCACCAAAGCCAACACCGUUUUGCUUUCUUGGGGUUGAAGGCCUCAUUCAUAGAAUCCAAAAAUCCUACUCCGUUGGAAUUGAUAGCAUGAAAUGUAUUCCCAAUAACAUUCACGACAGAGCCGUUGUCGCCGCCGCUGCUGCCUGUGCCACCUGUGCCGUGCUUUCUUUUGGCUCCAUGAUUUUGGAAAUGCAGUUGAGGAGGAACAGGAAUAGGGGGUACCUUGCUUAGCAUAUAUUCAUGAAUCUCAUCAAUUACCUUUUGACGUUCACAAGUGCCAUAUUUUGGGGGUGCUGCACGAGAUUUGACGGCUAGGGCACGCCUUUCUUCCUUAUUGUAUUCUACUGAACCCAAUUCACCAUCAGGGUAGGUAGACAUUAAAUCAAUAAGUUCAAGUAAAGCAUCUCGCACCCUCCAUGAUGGCCGCCAUUUCAAUCUGAUCUUGGUUUUGAUUUUGAAGCGCCCAUUUUCCGUCAAAAACAUGAAUGACGGAGGCUUCGAUGGGUAAUCCUCCGGAAACUGGAUCCUCCCAUGAUAAAUCCCACCCUCGAAUUCAGUUCCAAUAGCGCCUCUGACUGCAAAUUGCCAUUCAAACAUGUUACGCCCGAGCAGGCCGCACUUGAAAUCGUCGGAGGGAUUGGAUUCAAUCUCAUCAUACUCCUCUGCAACCCGCUUUAACGCCAAGUACAACUUGUCCUCCUCCAUCGCACUCGAUCUACGACGGUCAAACUCCUCUUGAAACCGCUUCCGCGCUGAGUGGCACUUGUCCUCCUCCUCCAUCACAGAUCCACCUCUUCCGGUUAACAAAACUUUAAUAAAUAUAUAGCAGAUCUGGGUUGUUGCUGUUUCUUGAAAUACCACGUAAAUAUGCAGGCUGGUCUAAAAGAUUACCUAUUGGUCAAUAUUUUGACCCAAAAUAAAAAAAUUAUCCAGGUAAGAGUGACGACAACUCAUUGCUCCUUCCCCUCAUGUGGCAUCCGGGUUUCAACGCGUAGUAAUGUGCACUCUUGAGGAAACCCCAAAUAAUAAUGUAUUAUCCCCCUCCCCUUCGACUAAUUUUGGGGUGUUCCGGCUACACCACCCGGAACAUAUAAAAAUUUAUCCUCCCUCUCCUUCCUAGUGGCAGAAGAAAAUAAAAAAUAAAAAAAACUUAUCCUUACACUUCAAUUUUAUGAUAUAUAUUUCUUCCGUAUUUCUCAUUAUCUUUUGCUUCUUGUUGUUUGCAGUUUUCUUUAAAUUUUUAGUUACACUUACUUUCAAGUCUUGCCGAAAAAAGAAGGAAAACUUGGGUUAUUGUAACCGGAGUAUUAUAAUAUCAUGGCUGGUCACAGCUUACAAGUGUUUGGAGCCAGGUGAUGUUCUUGUUUGCAUGAAUGGGGAAGUGAGUUAUGCUUUUCGACUCACGAUUAAUUUAUGCUCAAGGCUGAGCUUGGCAACCUGGGAAGAACGCAGAAGCCUCCUCAGCAGGGAGGUGGUUGUGUCUUUUGGCUAUGCUAAUCCGGUUCACGUUGCCAUAUCUAUUGCCAUUGAAGUGAUGAGGUGUUUUUGUUUCCUUGGCAGUGAGUUGGGACCAUCCAUUUUGCAUUUCACUAUCUGGUGGUUUGCACUAGGAGAUAAUGUUGGAUUCGGCUUGAAUUAAAAAGCCCAAUUUUUUGUUUCAUAAAGCUUACGGCCCAUUUAUUUGGUUGGGGUCAGCAUAUUUGCCCCACAUAAAUAUAUUAUCCCCCUCCCCUUCCUACCUAGUUGUUUGGUUUAAUAUGAAUUUUAGAUUUUGGCAAGGCAGCAAGCCCAAAGAAGCGCUUCUCUUGAUUACUACUGUUCUUUAGGUCAGUUCUGAUACACGUUUUUUCGUUUCAAAUCAGGAGGAAAUUGAGGAGCUCGUGAGAAUCGGCUGCAUAGCCAACAGGUAUCAAGAAGCCUUGAUUUUGCAGAUUUAAGCCUCUGUUCUUUAAAAAAAACUUACAUGUAACGGAAAUAACACUGUUUUGCUAUCUUUGGUCAAUAACACAAUGACUCGUAAAAAAGUUAUCCUAUAUGUCAUUGCGUUAUUGACCGGAGAUAGCAAAACCCAUCCCCAUUACAUGAGAGUUUAUCUCCUGUGCUUUUGGCUUGGUUGAUUUCAGUUGUUUCGAAAUUCCUUUUGAAAGUUGUGAAUUAUAGAAUGUGUAUGAACUGAGCAUAUCCGAAAAUGAAACUGCUGAUGGACUGGCAAAGGUGAGGUGACUAAUAUUUGACAUAAGGUAAAAUCACCUCCAAUUUUGUUUGCUUUUAUUGAUAUAUAUCUAUUUAUGAAUGUUGUGACAUAUAUAUAGGAAUCUACGUUGAAGGCUGAGCUUCGCAACAUGGAAAAAAACGCCGAAGAGGGAAAGAGUAGAUAUGACCUACCUAAAAAAUGUAAUCUUAAAGCUUCUUGAACAGGUAUUAUAGACUGAUGUAACAUUCAAAGUCGUCUGCCCUUUUUAUAAACAAGUAAUAUUGGAAUGUCGUUUGAUUGUUUUUAUUACUCAAAUAGGUGAAGUGGAGGCUCUGUUACCUGUGGUUGUCCUGGAUUUUCAAUUGCAAUUUCUAAUUUAUGCACACUUUAUAUACUAAUGCAGAUGCAGAAAUGGCAACAAGCGUACCGAGCAUCCGGAGAUGUACAUCCUAGCCCGAGCGAGUGAUGCUUCAGGAUCAGCGACUUCUCUUUUCUCAAUAUUCUUAUUUUCGUAACCUCAGAAGUGAAGAUUGUAGAGAAUUUUUUCCACGGAAACUAGCUGCUCCAGCUAACCAACUGCUUCCCUCCAGAUUCAAAGGUGGAGAUGCGAUCAUAGUAAAUCUUGUAUUCUUUUGUAACGUCGAACCAUUGUUUAUCAACAAUGUCCAGAAAAUGUAAACUACGACAACCAUUAUACGUAGAGUGUAACAAAGAACAGCACAGGCGUGAUUUUGGAGAUUAUGUUGGGCAACAAUACCUAUUGGAAAUUAGAAGGUGCGGUUUUACGCAACAGAUAUCAGCUGGUUUUGUCUUUUGACUCUUUUACUCUCGUUCGCGUUGCCAUUGAAGUGAUGAGUUCCAUGGUUGUGAAUCAAUUUGUGAUUUGGGGGACCAUCCAUUUUCCAUUUCACCAUCUGCUGGUUUGCAGGCGGAUGAUGAUGGGCCCUUUUUUUCAAUGAAUAUUCAGUCUCCCUACGCGCGAUAUUACUAAUUUUAUUUGACUAAAAAAGUAGCAGACAGGAUAUUUUGAGUAUUCAUUGCCCAAAGUAUUCAUUAAUUAGAAGCAGAGAGGUUUUAACUUGACAUGAAAGAAGAAUCAAUGCAAGAAGAGCCAAGAAUAUUCAUUAAACUAGAAUGCACAUUUUCAAUUUCUAUGUAGUUGUACAUGAGAGAAGCUACAAGAAAAAGAGGCAUACGCUACAGACUAUCACCUCAGUUCAUCACUCUUGGUCGUGUUCACGGACGUCUAGUUUUGCUUUCUCCACCUAAAAAGUUUUAGCCAAGAAGGUAAAAGCUUGUGGUCUUCGUCGGAGAAGGCAUUCAUAGAAUCCAAAAUUCCUACCCCGUUGGAAUUGGUAGCAUGAAAUGUAUUCCCACUGACGACAUAGCCGCCGUUGACGACAUAGCUGCCGCCAGUGCCGUUGGAGGCCUGUGAGGGGAUCAGUUGAGGAAGUUGAGGAAAAGGAACAGGUGGUGACUUGCUUAGCAGAUAUUCAUGAAUCUCAUCAAUUAACUUCUGACGUUCAGAAGUGCCAUAUUUUGGGGCUGCUGCAUGAGAUUUGACGGUUAGAUCACGCCUUUCUUCCUUAUUGUAUUCUACUGAGCCCAAUUCACCAUCUGGGUAGGUGGGCAUUUCAUCGAUAAGUGCAUCUAAAGCAUCUCGCACCCUCCAUGAUGGCUGCCAAUCAUUCAGUCGCCUUAUCCUGAUCUUGUUGUGGGUUUUGAAGCGACCAUUUUCCGUCAAAAGCGUGAAUGAAGGAGGCUUCGAUGGGUACUCCUUCGGAAACUGGAUCCGCCCAUGAUAAAUCCCACCCUCGAAUUCAGUUCCACUAGCGCCUCUGAUUCCAAAUUGCCAUUCAUAUGGGUUCCGCUCGAGCAUGCGGCAGUCAAAAUCGUCGGAGGGAUUGGAUCUAAUCCAUCUAUACUCCUCUACAAUCCGCCGCACCGCCUCUGAGAAAAGCCUAGGAGUCACACAACCGAUUUCCGUUUGAUAUUGUCCGAUCCGCGUCGAUCCGACUCGAUCGGAGGGUUUGGAUUCAAUCCCACGAAUCCGCUUCAUCGCCGGGUAGAAACCCAAUUCCAUUUGAUUUUGUUCGAUCUGCGUCGAUCCGACGAGUCUCACUAUACUCCUCUAGAAUCCGCUUCAUCGCUGGGUAGCGAUCCAAUUCCAUUUGAUUUUGUUCGAUCUUCGUCGAUCCGACUUGAUCCACCACCAUCUCUUCCGGUUAACCAAACCUUAAAUCAAUACUUCUCAAAAUACGAGGAAAGAGAGCCGGCGGUGUUUAAUUAUUCUCAAAGGAAAGAGAGCCGGCAGUGUUUAAUUUCAAAGGUCUUGUCAUGCAGAGUAAAUAUGCAUAUCUUGUUGCUAUUUCUUCAGAGAAAAUUCAAAAGCUUGGAUGGAUUUGAAGUUCAAGGCUCUCACUACUUACAGUGACAGAGAAGAGGAAAGCUGUAACUGUUUGAGAGUUGGACAGAACUAGUCUAGAGGUGUCUAUUUGGGUGAGAAAGAACUGAACAGGGGAAAUCGAGCAUGAGAUGAAAGCGGAAGAGUAGAGAGUGCAAGAAAGCCAAGUCGAGAAGCGGAGAUUGCAGAAUGUGAGUGCGGCACCCAAAGGGAGGAAAGCGGGGAGAUUUUUAGGGUUAGAGAUGUGGCGUCGUUUUAAAGAUGAGGUAAUAGAAUAGGUUACGGCUCCUCCGUGGGCUGGGCUUUCUAGGGCGCACCGGGCCGGGCCGGGCCGGGCCGAAAUGGGCUUCUUGAUAUAACCAAGGUGAUUUUUUUUUUCUCUCUCUCUAAUUUCUCUGUUUUUCUAUGUAAUCCCUCAUCUUGAUUACUACUAUUCUGUAGGUCAGUUCUGAUACAUGUUUUUUGUUUCAACCCAGGAGGAAAUUGAGGAGCUGGAGUGAGAAUCGGCUGCAUAGCCAACAGGUAUCAAGAAGCCUAGAUUUUUGCACAUUUUAGCCAACAAUUGGUUGUUUUGGCUGGGUUGAUUUAAGUUGUUUGGAAAUUCCUUUUGAAAGUUGUAGUAAAUGAUACAGAACGUGUAUGAAUUGAGCAUAUCCGAAAUUGAAAUUGCUGAUGAACUAGCAAAGGUGACUGAUAUUUGAGUAAAGCCUCAGCAGGCAGCUGGUUGUGUCUUUGACUCAGUGUUACUCUCGUUCGCGUUGCCGUUGAAGUGAUGAGUUCCAUGGCUGUUAAUCAAUUUCUGAGUUGGGGGACCAUCCAUUUUCCAUUUCACCCCAUCUGGUGGUUUGCAGGCAGAUGAUGAUGAUGGGUCCUUUUUUUCAAUAAACACUCAGUCUCCCUACAUGCGAUGUUACUAAUUUUAUUUGACUAAAAAAUUAUCAGACAGGAUACCAAAAUAAGCCCCUCGAGUAUUCAUUGCCCAAAGAAUUUUCUACUCGGAUACAGCACGAUUGCCUCAAGAAGUAGAGAGGUUUAACUUGAUAUGAAUGAAGAGCCCAGAAUUGAAUUAUUCAUUACUCUCAGCUUAUGACAACAAAGUUUUAAACAGAGGAUAUUGGCCUAAAUUCCUAAACUUGUUAGGGCAUUAACUUCAUCCCACACGACAAUAAUUUCAAAAACAUAUGCAGACAAACUUCUUGCUGUUGUCCACUCACAUUCAACAACAAAAAUAUAGCAAACACAACAAACCAAAGAUGCGUUAACUCUACCAGUAAUGUAUGCUACUAUAUCUUAAGCAUGCUUUGCCUGGAAAUCCUUCAUGAAAUCAACCAACUUCUCAACCCCAGCCAAAGGCAUGGCAUUAUAAAUUGAAGCCCUCAUCCCUCCCACUGACCUAUGCCCCUUGAGCUGAACCAUCUUCUCCUUAGCUGCCUCCUUCACAAACUCAGCUUCCAACUCUGACUUCUCAAGCGUGAAGGGCACAUUCAUCAAUGACCUCACAGACUUCUCAACUGGGCACCUGUAAAACCCUUUGCUCUCAUCAAUGGCGUUGUACAAAAGAUCAGCCUUCCUCUUGUUCUUCUUCUCAAUCUCACCCAAACCACCCUGCUCCAGCAAGUCCUCAAACACCAACCCACACAUGUAAAUACCAUAGCAUGGUGGUGUGUUGUACAGAGACUUGUUCUCAUCAUGAAUCUUGAAGUCCAGCAUCACAGGUGUUAUCUCUUGAGCAUUGCCAAUCAGAUCCUUCCUGAUGAUCACAACGGUCACUCCGGAUGGGCCCACGUUUUUCUGAGCCCCAGCAUAGAUGAUCCCAAACUUAGACACAUCCACCGGCUUGGAGCAGAAAUUUGAGGACAUAUCCGCAAUCAAGAGGCCAUUUUUGGGAGUUGGGUAGGUCUUGAACUCGACCCCAUGGAUGGUUUCAUUGGUGCAUAUAUGCAAAUACUUGGCGUCUGGGCUCUGCUCCAAUUCUUCAAAAGCUGGGAUCUUUGUGUACUUCUCGGACUUGCCGGACCAGAUCACCUUGGGCUGAGAAUACUUCUGGGCCUCCUUGAAGGCCUUGUCGCCCCACGACCCAGUAACCACGUAAUCAACUUUAUCGUCAGGUUUGCAGAGAUUUAGAGGUAUGGCGGCGAACUGGGUGGUGGCGCCGCCUUGGAGGAACAAAACGGAAUAUUCCGGUGGGAUGUUCAGAAGGGUUCGGAGGUCCGCCUCCGCCUUCUGGAUUAUGGAGAGGAACUCUUUGCCUCUGUGGCUCAUUUCCAUGACGCUCAUCCCAGAUCCGCGCCAGUUGUAGAGCUCUGAUUGGGCCUUCAAGAGGACGUUCUCGGGUAGAUUGGCAGGUCCGGCGGCGAAGUUGAAGACCCGAUCUUGGGACUGGGGCUGGGCCGGUGGGCGAUCCUGGAUGUGGGUCGUGGUGGCUGAGCAUUUGACGGAGAUGGCCUUGUUGGGGUUUAGGGUGGUAGUGGUGGUGGUGAGACGAGUGGAGGUCAUGGGGAUGGUGGUGAAGGGUAUUUUGGGGUUUUUGAGGAAUUGGGUAUUUGGGUUUUGGAGGAGGAGAGAGUGAGGUGAGGUUGCCAUUGCCAUGGUGGAGCUGUUGCUUCAGAGCAAGCGAAAGAGAAAGAAGAAAGAGAGAGGGUGAGAAGAGGGCAG